UAAGCCCGCCCUGAUAUGCUGUUAUUUUGGUCGUCUGGGACUAAGUUUGCUCUACUGUGGGCUUUGCAUCCAUCUGCUUGGCGUACCGCAUGAUAUAUGCAGUGAAUAAUUUUAGCUUGGGGUUUGUCGGUUGGUGAUGUGUCGAAGGGGAAAAAUGGAUUUACUAUGUUUUCUUUUUAAUGUUUGGCAUCGCGUCGUAUCAAACUCAGCCGCUCUUUCGCUGAGUAAUGUACAUUUGCCUGGUCAUGGUAACUUGUGGGUUCUGCUGCUGCUUUAUUGAAAGAUGAUUGCAAUUUUAGUGACGUGCUUGCCUGGUAGUACUACUUUGUGCCGUUCCAUUACAGUUGUCUGCCAGCAAGCGUCAAUUUUCACAUACUUUUAUAGAAGAAGCCCAUCUGGAUGAUGCACCAGAAAUGUGCUCCUAACACUGGGCUGAGGCACCAGAAAUUCGCUCCUGACAGGAUUCAACACUGUACCACUGGCCCACUGCGUACCCUUGCCACUGGGCUACAGCCAAUUUCAUUUGUCAGAUCCACUCACCUAAGGGCCGACGAUAGCUGCGCCUCCAGUUUGAAGUGCCGAGGAUAGCUAGGGUUGAAAGUUUCCGGAGCUAGUUGUUUUGAAAAAUUCUGGAGCUAUUCCCUCCGUUCACAAAUAUGGGAUGUUUCCGGGUUCACUAAUAAUCCAGCUAUUGCUUUUGGCCGUCCGUCGUGGUUGUUUUACAAAAACGCCCCUUGGUUUACAUCAAAUCAAUCCGUAGUCUCUGUUUUAGUGGCACCACCCAGAGAAAAUGUUUUGUUCUUACAAAAAGCCCCUACACUUUUUAGUAUUCAACCCGUGAUCCUUUAUGUUGAACACAGACAACGCUUGAGCACAACUUUUGGAUCGGGUCAACAUGGCUGCUCGAGCAGCUGGCGGCAGCGUGGCGGCUCAAUGCAGUACGGCGGCGACGGCUGGAGCUUGCAGGGGCCGGAUCCGUACGCGGCAAGUGCUAGGGAGGCGAAUCCGAAGGAAGGCGGCGAGGCAGGGUCACCGGUGACGACGAAGAAGAUAGGAGCGCGACUUUGAUCAAUGGAAUCCGCGGCUCUAGGCAGAAAGGAGAUAUGGAGGUGAGGGAGAGAAGAUGGGGAAAGGAGGGGUGGUGCGGCCACCAAGGAAGGAGGUCUCUAUCCCAUCACAUCCGGAGCACUUAGUCGCAAGCGUCGUCAAGUCUACUCCGUCAUCAAGCUCUCUUUGGCAAGGUGGCAUCAAAGAUUAGGACAUCCAUCGUCGAUCAUUGUUAAACAAGUAGUCAAUAAAGGCGAUCUUUUAUUGUCACAUAGUUCAGUUAAUGAGUCUAUUUGUGAAGGUUGUUAAUGUGCCAAGAGUCACCAACUCCCUUAUCCCAAGUCGAAUAGUGUAUCUCAUGCUUCUUUAGAACUUUUUCAGGGAUGUAUGGGUCAUGCUAGAGAUUCUUUCGGAGAAAAAAAAUAUUAUGUCAGUUUCAUUGAUGACUAUAACAAGUUUAUCUGGAUUUAUUUGCUCAAGAAUAAAUAUGAUGUUUUCUCUGUUUUUCAAGAGUUCUAAAGACUUGUUGAACGACACUUUGAUCGAAAUUUUUUAACAGUCCAAAGUGAUUGAGGCGGGGAGUAUGAAAAAAUCAACUCUUUUUUUCGUAGCAUAGGUACUGAACAUCAUGUAUCUUGCCCUCAUGCUCACCAACAAAACGGCUCCGCUGAGCGGAAACAUCGCCACAUUGUUGAAGUUGGUCUAUCUCUUCUUGCUCAUGCAUCUAUGCCUCUCAAGUAUUAGGAUGAAGCAUUCAUUGCUGCCACCUAUCAUAUAAAUCGUCUUUCUAGUAAAGUUAUUGGCAACACCACUUCAUUGGAGCGUCUGUAUCAUCAAAAACCUGACUACAAUUCUCUCAAAAUAUUUGGAUGUGCCUGCUAUCCCAAUCUACGUCCAUACAAUCGCCAUAAACUUGAGUUUCGUUCCACUCAAUGUGCGUUUAUUGGCUAUAGCAAUAUUCAUAAAGGAUACAAAUGUCUAGAAGUUGCAACUGGACGGAUCUAUAUUUCUCGAGAUGUUGUUUUUGAUGAAACCGUCUUUCCAUUUGCCAAACUUCAUCCAAAUGCCGGAGCCCUUCUUCGUGCUGAAAUAGCACUCCUUUCAGAUCACGGGGGUGAAUUAAAUAAAACUGGAUGUGUGCAAAAUUCCAUCGAUAAUAGUGGUUCUGUUGAUGUAUAUGUAGGAUUGGGCCAUCAUUUAAUGUGUGUAGGAAAAGACAGGAAUGGCACAGAACACGAGGCGGAUUCAGCUGGCAGCAGCAGCGCGCGAUCCGACGCUGAUUCGCGCGCUAGCCCUGCUCCUGUUGUCGCGCGAUCCGAAUGAAGAAAAUAUGCCCUAGAGGCAAUAAUGAAGUUAUUAUUUAUUUCCUUAUAUCAUGAUAAAAGUUUAUUAUUCAUGCUAGAAUUGUAUUAACCGGAAACUUAGUACAUGUGUGAACACAUAGACAAACAAAGUGUCACUAGUAUGCCUCUACUUGACUAGCUCGUUGAAUCAAAGAUGGUUAAGUUUCCUAGCCAUAGACAUGAGUUGUCAUUUGAUUAAUGGGAUCACAUCAUUAGAGAAUGAUGUGAUUGACUUGACCCAUUCCGUUAGCUUAGCACGAUGAUCGUUUAGUUUGUUGCUACUGCUUUCUUCAUAACUUAUACAUGUUCCUCUGACUAUGAGAUUAUGCAACUCCCGAAUACCGGAGGAACACUUUGUGUGCUACCAAACGUCACAACGUAACUGGGUGAUUAUAAAGGUGCUCUAUAGGUGUCUCUGUGGUACUUGUUGAGUUGGCAUAGAUCGAGAUUAGGAUUUGUCACUCCGAUUGUCAGAGAGGUAUCUCUGGGGCCCUCUCGGUAAUGCACAUCACUAUAAGCCUUGCAAGCAAUGUGACUAAUGAGUUAGUUGCGGGAUGAUGCAUUACGGAACGAGUAAAGAGACUUGCCGGUAACGAGAUUGAACUAGGUAUUAAGAUACCGAUGAUCGAAUCUUGGGCAAGUAACAUAUCGAUGACAAAGGGAGCAACAUAUACCGUUAUGCGAUUUAACCGAUAAAGAUCUUCGUAGAAUAUGUAGGAGCCAAUAUGAGCAUCUAGGUUCCGCUAUUGGUUAUUGACCGGAGAUGAGUCUCGGUCAUGUCUACAUAGUUCUCGAACCCGUAGGGUCCGCAUGCUUAACGUUCGAUGACGAUUGGUAUUAUGAGUUUAUGUGUUUUGAUGUACCAAAGGUUGUUCGGAGUCCCGGAUGAGAUCAGGGACAUGAAGAGAAGUCUCGAAAUGUUCGAGACGUAAAGAUCGAUAUAUUGGAAGGCUAUAUCCGGACAUCGGAAAGGUUCUAAGUGGUUCGGGUAUUUAUCGGAGUACCGGAGAGCUACGGGAAUUCGUCGGGGAGUAUAUGGGCCUUAUUGGGCUUUAGGGGAAAGAGAAAGGGGAGGCUGCACGCCCCCAAGGCCUAGUCCGAAUUGGACUAGGGGGAGAGGCAGUGCCCCAUCCUUCCUUCUCUUCUCUUUUUGCUUUCCUUCUCUCCUACUCCUACUACAUGGAAGGGGGGAGGGGGAAUCCUACUCCCGGUGGGAGUAGGACUCCCCAGGGCGCGCCAUAGUGGAGGGCCGGCCCUCCCCCUCCUCCACUCCUUUAUAUUCGGGGGAGGGGGGCACCCCAUGGACACACAAGUUGAUCAGUUGAUCUUUUAGACGUGUGCGGUGCCCCCUCCACCAUAAUCCACCUCGAUCAUUUCGUAGCGGUGCUUAGGCGAAGCCCUGCGUCGGUAACAUCAUCAUCACCGUCAUCACGCCAUCGUGCUGACGGAACUCUCCCUCGAAGCUCUGCUGGAUCGGAGUUUGUGGGACGUCAUCGAGCUGAACGUGUGCUGAACUCGGAGGUGUCAUAUGUUCGUUACUUGGAUCGGUCGGAUCGUGAAGACGUACGACUACAUCAACCGCGUUCUCAUAAUGCUUCCGCUUACAAUAUACGAGGGUACAUGGACGACACUCUCCCCUCUUGUUGCUAUGCAUCACCAUGAUCUUGCGUGUGCGUAGGAAUUUUUUUGAAAUUACUACGUUCCCCAACAGUGGCAUCCGAGCCAGGUUUAUGAGUAGAUGUUAUAUGCACGGGUAGAACACAAAGGAGUUGUGGGCAUGGGUAUAUACAUAUUGCUUGCCGUCACUAGUUGAUUCUUGAUUCAGCGGCAUUGCUGGAUGAAGCGGCCCAGACCGACAUUACGUGUACGCCUACGCGAGACUGGUUCUACCGACGUGCUUCGCACACAGGUGGCUAGUGGGUGUCUGUUUCUCCAGCUUUAGUUGAAUCGGAUUCAAUGAACAUGGUUCUUUCUGAAGAUCAAAAAGCAAUCACUAUACCGCGUUGUGGUUUUUGAUGCGUAGGUAAGAACGGUUCUUGCUCAGCCCGUAGCUGCCACGUAAAACUUGCAACAACAAAGUAGAGGACGCCUAACUUGUUUUUGCAGGGCAUGUUGUGAUGUGAUAUGGUCAAGACGUGAUGAGAUAUUGAUACGUCUCCAUCGUAUCUACUUUUCCAAACACUUUUGCCCUUGUUUUGGUCUCUAACUUGCAUGAUUUGAAUGGAACUAACCCGGACUGACACUAUUUUCAGCAGAAUUACCAUGGUGUUAUUUUUGUGCAGAAAUAAAAGUUCUCGGAAUGACCUGAAAAUCAACGGAGAUUAUUUUUGGAAUAUAUAAAAAAUACUGGCGAAAAUAUCCACGCCAGGGGGGCCACACCCUGUCCACGAGGGUGGGGGGCACGCCCCCUGCCUUGUGGCCCCCCUAACGCUCCACCGACCUCAACUCCAACUCCAUAUAUUCGUGUUCGGGGAGAAAAAAUCAGAGAGAAUGAUUCAUCACGUUUUACGAUACGGAGCCGCCAAGCCCUAAACUCUCUCGGGAGGACUGAUCUGGAGUCCAUUCGGGGCUCCGGAGAGGGGAAUCCGUCGCGAUCGUCAUCAUCAACCUUCCUCCAUCACCAAUUUCAUGAUGCUCACCGCCAUGUGUGAGUAAUUCCAUCGUAGGCUUGCUGGACGGUGAUGGGUUGAAUGAGAUUUAUCAUGUAAUCGAGUUAGUUUUGUUAGGGUUUGAUCCCUAGUAUCCACUAUGUUCUGAGAUUGAUGUUGCUAUGACUUUGCUAUGCUUAAUGCUUGUCACUAGGGCCCGAGUGCCAUGAUUUCAGAUCUGAGCCUAUUAUGUUUUCAUCAAUAUAUGAGAGUUCUUGAUCCUAUCUUGCAAGUCUAUAGUCACCUAUUAUGUGUUAUGAUCCGUUAACCCCGAAGUGACAAUAAUCGGGAUACUUACCAGUGAUGACCGUAGUUUGAGGAGUUCAUGUAUUCACUAUGUGUAAAUGCUUUGGUCCGGUACUCUAUUAAAAGGAGGCCUUAAUAUCUCUUAGUUUCCAAUAGGACCCCGCUGCCAUGGGAGGGUAGGACAAAAGAUGUCAUGCAAGUUCUUUUCCAUAAGCACGUAUGACUAUAUUCGGAAUACAUGCCUACAUUACAUUGAUGAUCUGGAGCUAGUUCUGUGUCACCCUAUGUUAUGACUGUUACAUGAUCGAUCGCAUCCGGCAUAAUUCUCCAUCACCGAUCCAAUGCCUACGAGCUUUUCCUAUAUUGUUCUUUGCUUAUUUACUUUUUUGUUGCUACUAUUACAAUCACUAUAAAACCCCAAAAUAUUACUUUUGCUAUCGUUACCACUACUAUCAUAUUACUUUGCUACUAAAUACCUUGCUGCAAAUAUUAAGUUUCCAGGUGUGGUUGAUUGACAACUCAGCUGCUAAUACUUGAGAAUAUUCUUUGGCUCCCCUUGUGUCGAAUCAAUAAAUUUGGGUUGAAUACUCGACCCUCGAAAACUAUUGCGAUCCCCUAUACUUGUGGGUUAUCAAGAACAUUUUCUGGCGUCGUUGCCGGGGAGCAUAGCUCUAUUAUUUGAGUCACUUGGGAUUUAUAUCUGCUUAUCAUUAUGAAGAACUUGAAAGAUCAAAGAACCAAGAUUUUUUCCCUCAACUACGAGGGGAGGUAAGGAACUGCCAUCUAGCUCUGCACUUGAUUCACCUUCUGUUUUGAGUAAGCCGGCGACACCUAAACCUGCUUCUGCUAUUAAUUUUGAUAUGUCGCAUGUUAUUGAUGAUGUCACUUCUGCUAUGCAUGAUACUUAUGAUGAAACUACUUCUAUGCUUGAUAAUACUGUGCCACUUGGUGAAUUUCUUGAUGAACAACUUGCUAGGGCUAGAGAGAAUGAAAUUAUUGAAAGUGAUGAUGAAGAUUCCCCCCCUAGAUAUGAAUUGCCUAUUGUUCCUAAGGGUUAUGUUAUGGAUGAAGAAUCUGCUAGAGACUUUCUUGCCUGCAAUGAUAGAAGUGAUCUUAAGAAACUAUUAGCUAAGCCAAAAGAAAAAUCUCUAAAUGCUAGAAUGAAAUAUGAUCCUGCUUAUGCUACUUCACCUAUCUUUAUUACUGAUAAGGAUUAUGAUUUCUCUGUCGAUCCUGAGUUAAUUACUUUGGUUGAAUCUGAUCCUUUCUAUGUCUAUGAAUCUGAAACUGUUGUAGCACAUCUUACUAAAUUAAAUGAUGUAGCUAUCCUGUUCACUAAUGAUGAGAAAAAUCGCUAUUAUUAUAUCCUUAAAUUAUUUCCUUUCUCAUUAAAGGGUGAUGCUAAGAUAUGGUUUAAUUCUCUUGAUCCUAGCUGUGUGCGUAGUCCCUAGGAUAUGAUUUACUACUUCUCUGCUAAAUAUUUCCCUGCUUAUAAGAAACAAGCUGCUUUGAGGGAAAUAUAUAAUUUUGUGCAAAUUGAAGAAGAGAGUCUCCCACAAGCUUGGGGGAGGCUUCUCCAAUUACUUAAUGCUUUGCCUGAUCAUCCUCUCAAGAAAAAUGAGAUACUUGAUAUCUUUUAUAAUGGACUAACCGAUUCUUCCAGAGAUUACCUGGAUAGUUGUGCUGGUUGUGUUUUUAGAGAAAGAACAGUUGAUCAAGCUGAAUUGCUAUUGAAUAAUUUGUUGACUAAUGAAAAUAAUUUGGCACUUCCUGAACCAACUCCUAAGCCAACUCCGAAGAAAAGGGGUAUUGUAUUUCUCAGUCCUGAAGAUAUGCAAGAGGCAAAGAAAUCAAUGAAAGAAAAAGGUAUAAAAGCUGAAGAUGUUAAGAAUUUACCUCCUGUUGAAGAAAUACAUGGUCUUAAUUCAUCACCUAGAAAUACACGGUCUCGUUAACCCGACAUAGGUAGUAAAGGUAAAUUCUCUCUAUAGAUAUGAUAAAGCUGAAAUCCCUCCUGCUAAGUUUGCUAGCCAAUGUUUGGAUGAAUUUGAUAACUUUAUGGUUAAGCAAGAAGAUUUUAAUGCUUAUUUUGGUAGACAACUGAAACACAAUGCUUAUAUGAUUGAACACUUGAGUGAUUAUAUGGAUAAUGUUAAAGGUGAACUUAAACUUAUUAGUAAACAUGCUUCUAUGGUUAUCACUCAAGUAGAACAAGUACUUAAAGCUCAGAAUGAUUUGCUCAAUGAAUUGAAUAGUAAGAAUACUGACUUUGCUGUUAGAGUUGCAACUAGAGGAGGUAAAGUGACUCAGGAACCUUUGUAUCCUGAGGGCCACCCUAAGAGAAUUGAGCAGGAUUCUCAGAGAAAUAACGUUGAUGCUCCUAGCCCUUCUAAAAGGAAUAGAAAGAAAAAUGAUAGGACUUUGCAUGCUUCUAGUGAACCUGUUAUUGACACACCUGAGAAUCCCAAUGAUAUUUCUAUUUCUAAUGCUGAAACACAAUCUGGUAAUGAACAUGAACCUAGUGAUAAAGUUAAUGAUGAUGUUCAUGUUGAUGUUCAACCUAGCAAUAAUAAUGAGGUAGAAAUUGAACCUCCUGUUGAUCUUGAUAACCCACAAUCAAAGAAUCAACGUUAUGAUAAGAGAGACUUUGUUGCUAGGAAGCACGGUAAAGAAAGAGAACCAUGGGUUCAGAAACACAUGCCUUUUCCUCCUAAACCAUCCAAGAAAAAGGAUGAUGAGGAUUUUGAGCGUUUUGCUGAAAUGAUUAGACCUAUCUUUUUGCGUAUGCGUUUGACCGAUAUGCUUAAAAUGAAUCCUUAUGCUAAGUAUAUGAAGGAUAUAGUUACAAAUAAGAGAAAGAUACCGGAAGCUGAAUUUUCCACCAUGCUUGCUAAUUAUACCUUUAAGGGUGGAAUACCAAAGAAACUUGGAGAUCCAGGAGUACCAACUGUACCAUGCUCCAUUGAAAGAAACUAUGUUAAAACUGCUUUAUGUGAUCUUGGAGCCGGUGUUAGUGCUAUGCCUCUCUCUUUAUAUCGUAGACUUGAUUUGAAUAAGUCGACACCUACUGAAAUAUCUUUGCAAAUGGCUGAUAAAUCAACUACUAUACCUGUCGGUAUUUGUGAGGAUGUGCCUGUUGUGGUUGCAAACGUUACUAUUUUAACGGACUUUGUUAUUCUUGAUAUUCCCGAGGACGAUAGUAUGUCUAUUAUUCUUGGGAGACCCUUUUUGAAUACUGCAGGGACUGUUAUUGAUUGCACCAAAGGCAAUUUCACUUUUCAUGCUAAUGGUAAUAAGCAUACGGUACACUUUCCGAGGAAACAACCUCAAGUCCACAGUAUCAAUUUUAUUGGAAAAAUUUCAACAAUCACUAUUGGAGGUUUUGAAUUUCCUCUUCCCACUGUCAAGAAGAAAUAUGAUAUUCUUAUUGUUGGGGACAUGCAUAUCCCCAUUGAGGUAACCAAGUGUUAUUCGAAAAUUCUCCAGCUUCAUGUUAUUCGAAAUGAGUUUGUUAACAAGACCUGAUCAACCUUGUUAGUGGAUUCCUUUUGAUGAGCAUGAGAUGGAUGAAUUUAGAAAACACAACUCUUUGUACCUCUUUUUACUUUAUGUUAUUUAUAUUAAAUAAAGCAAAAAUAGUAUUUUUCUGUCUGUUUUCUAAAUUAUCCAUGCAAUAAAUAAUACCCCGAAAAUAAAAGUUCUCCAAAUGCCCUGAAAAUUAAAUAUGAUUUUUUCUAGAAUAUUUGAGAAUAUCUGGCACUAAGAACAUAGCAGGGGGAGCAAGCACCUGGCCACGAGGGUCCAGGGCGCACCCACCUGCCUCGUGGGCCCAUGGUGGCUCCCCUCCACUUAUUACAGCCACCACACACUCCUUCUUCCUCCCAAAAAAAAUCACCAACCAGCUCAAGCACGAGUUCUAGCUCAUCUUGCUGCCAUUUUCGAUCUCCUAGCUCAAAGCUCCAUUCACAAAACUGCUUUGGGGGAUUGUUCUUUGGUAUGUGACUCCUCCAAUGGUCCAAAUAGUUUUUGUUCUAGUGCUUUAUUCAUUGCAAAUUUUUGCUGCUUAGGUGACCUUGUUCUUGAGCUUGCAUGUCAAAUUUAUAUGGUUAAAAUUAGUUUUAAUGCAUGAUAUAUCCUCUAGGCACUUGUAGGAGUAGUUGCUAUCAAUUUUGUUGAGUUUGGUUCACUUUUAUUUUCAAGUUGCUAAAAAUUUCAGAAAAAGAUGAAGAGAUUUUUGAGGGGCUCAUCGAGCCGAAGCUCGAAGGAUAAACAAAGUGAAGAGAACAAGAAGCCCAAGUAUAAUCUCCCUCGCACCGUGGAGGUUCGGCCGUGUGAAUGGCCUUGUGAUGAUUUCUUGAGAGCAGCCGGGAUUUAUGAUGAUUUCUAUGAGUUGGCUGAGAAUGCAGGCCUCACUGCCUUCCUCCAUGACCAACACGAACAGUAUGUCUUACUCACCAAUAGCUUUGUGCAAAACUUUCAUUUCCAUGCUAGGAGCUCACCACCUUCGGUGGAAUUUUAUUUAUAUGAUGAGCACAAGGAGAUGUCACUUCGUGAUUUUUGUCGGGUUUGUUUGAUCCCUUUUGAGGGCAGUGUAGAGGAACCACAUCGUGACAAUGUGGAAGGGUUUAUUGAUACAAUUCCUGUAGGGGAAACGAGAAAGGUUUUUGAUGUAAGAAUUACUAGCAUACAUUUCCCUAUUUUAUGUUACUUUGCAAUAUUUGCUAGUAGAUGCUUAAUUGGUCGCGGAAACUGUGGCAACCAUAGUGCCCCUGAUAUUGUUAUUUUGUGCCAUGCCUUGUUCCGUGAUGACACAUUUAGUAUGAGCGCUAUUGUUACAAAGUGGUUAAAUCUUAACCGUACUAAGGGCCCCAUCUUGGGAGGUAUCUUCGCCUCGCGCCUCGCUGCACAUUUUAACAUACCUAGUAGACAUUAUGAGAAGGAAGAGAAGUUGUUGCCUCCUGUUUUUCUAGACUAUAAGAGUAUGGUAGCACAUGAUUUUAUCAUUAAGAAUAAGGAAAAGAUGCUUAAGUACAAGCUGAUAUUUGAUAAAAAUCACCCCGAGACUAUUAAUUUGCCUGCUCCUUCCUUAUUUGACUUGUCACGCCUUACUUUUCAUUAUAGAACUUGGCUUGUAUAUUCCAACAAUGGGCCUCCACAAGUGCCCUAGGUCUUCGUGAGCAAGCAAGUUGGAUGCACACCCACUUAGUUUCUUUUGUUGAGCUUGCAUAAAUUUAUAGCUCUAGUGCAUCCGUUGCAUGGCAAUCCCUACUCCUUGCAUCAACAUCAAUCGAUGGGCAUCUCCAUAGCUCAUUGAUUAGCCUCGUUGGUGUGAGACUUUCUCCUUUUUUUGUCUUCUCCACAUAAUCCCCAUCAUCAUAUUCUAUUCCACCCAUAGUGCUAUAUCCAUGGCUCACACUCAUGUAUUGCGUGAAGGUUUAUAAAGUUUGAGAUUACUAGAGUGUGAAACAAUUGCUUGGCUUGUCAUCGGGGUUGUGCAUGAUGAGAGCAUUCUUGUGUGAUGAAAAUGGAGCAUGACUAAACUAUAUGAUUUUGUAGGGAUGAACUUUCUUUGGCCAUGUUAUUUUGAGAAGACAUAAUUGCUUAGUUAGUAUGCUUGAAGUAUUAUUAUUUUUAUGUCAAUAUGAACUUUUGUCUUGAAUCUUUCGGAUCUGAAUAUUCAUAUCACAAGUAAGAAGAAUUACAUUGAAAUUAUGCCAACUAGCAUUCCACAUCAAAAAUUAUCUUUUUAUCAUUCACCUACUCGAGGACGAGCAGGAAUUAAGCUUGGGGAUGCUUGAUAUGUCUCCAACGUAUCUAUAAUUUUUGAUUGCUCCAUGCUAUAUUAUCUACUGUUUUGGGCAAUAUUGGGCUUUAUUUUCCACUUUUAUAUUAUUUUUGGGACUAACCUAUUAACCGGAGGCCCAACCCAGAUUUGCUGUUUUAUGCCUAUUUCAGUGUUUCGAAGAAAAGAAAUAUCAAACGAAGUCGAAACGGAACGAAAUCAACUGGAGAAGUUAUUUUUGGAAGGAAACCUACCGGAUAGACUUGGACCCUACGUCAGAAGAUGAAGGAGGAGCUCACGAGGGUAGGGGGCGCGCCCACCCCCCUCAUGGCCCCCUUCGGUCCACCGACAUACUCCUUUCACCCAUAUAUACCUACAUAUCCUAAAACUUCCAGAGAGCACAAUAGAUCGGGAGUUCCGCCGCCAGAAGCCUCCGUAGCUACCGAAAACCAAUCUAGACCCGUUCCGGCACCCUGCCGGAGGGGGCAAUCCUUCUCCGGUGGCCAUCUUCAUCAUCCCGGUGCUCUCCAUGACGAGGAUGGAGUAGUUCUCCCUCGAGGUUGAGGGUAUGUACCAGUAGCUAUGUGUUUGAUCUCUCUCUCUCUCGUGUUCUUGAUUUGGCACGAUCUUGAUUUAUCGCGAGCUUUGCUAUUAUAGUUGGAUCCUAUGUUUCUCCUCCCCCUCUUCUCUCUUGUAAUGAAUUUAGUUUCCCCUUUGAAGUAAUCUUAUCGGAUUGAGUCUUUAAAGAUUUGAGAACACUUGAUGUAUGUCUUGCCGUGGAUAUCUGUGGUGACAAUGGGAUAUCACGUGAUUAACUUCAUGUAUGUUUUGGUGAUCAACUUGCGGGUUCCGCCCAUGAACCUAUGCAUAGGGGUUGGCACACGUUUUCGUCGUGAUUCUCCGGUAGGAACUUUGGGGCACUCUUUGAGGUCCUUUGUGUUGGUUGAAUAGAUGAAUCUGAGAUUGUGUGAUGCAUAUCGUAUAAUCAUACCCACGGAUACUUGAGGUGACAUUGGAGUAUCUAGGUGACAUUAGGGUUUUGGUUGAUUUGUGUCUUAAGGUGUUAUUCUAGUACGAACUCUAGGGCUGUUUGUGACACUUAUAGGAAUAGCCCAAUGGAUUGAUUGGAAAGAAUAACUUUGAGGUGGUUUCGUACCCUACCAUAAUCUCUUCGUUCGUUCUCCGCUAUUAGUGACUUUGGAGUGACUCUUUGUUGCAUGUUGAGGGAUGGUUAUGUGAUCCAAUUAUGUUAUCAUUGUUGAGGGAACUUACACUAGCGAAAGUAUGAACCCUAGGCCUUGUUUCAACGCAUUGCAAUACCAUUUAUGCUCACUUUUAUCAUUAGUUACCUUGCUGUUUUUAUAAUUUCAUAUUACAAAUACCUUUAUCUACUAUCCAUAUUGCACUUGUAUCACCAUCUCUUCGCCGAACUAGUGCACCUAUACAAUUUACCAUUGUAUUGGGUGUGUUGGGCACACAAGAGACUCUUUGUUAUUUGGUUGCAGGGUUGCUUGAGAGAGACCAUCUUCAUCCUACGCCUCCUACGGAUUGAUAAACCUUAGGUCAUCCACUUGAGGGAAAUUUGCUACUGUCCUACAAACCUCUGCAUUUGGAGGCCCAACAACGUCUACAAGAAGAAGGUUGUGUAGAAGACAUCACAAACUACUCAAACAUCAUCGGAGGGGCCAUGGAGUUGAUGUAGAGGCCCUCCGUGAUCAAUUCCCCCUUUGGCGGAGCUCCGGAAAAGGCCCCAAGAUGAGAUCUCUUGGGCACAGAAGGUUGCGGGGUGGAAAUAGGGUUUCGUGGUGCUCCUGGAUGUUUGCGGGGUAUGUGAACAUAUAUAGGAGGAAGAAGUAGGUCGCUGGAGCAACGAGGGGCCCAUGAGGGGGAGGGUUCACCCCUUGCCUCCUGGCCGCCUCGUUGAUUUCUUGACGUCCACUCCAAGUCCUCUGGAUCACGUUUGUUCCAAAAAUCACGUUCCCGAAGGUUUCAUUCCAUUUGGACUCCAUUUGAUAUUCCUUUUCUAUGAAACACUGAAAUAGGCAAAAAACAACAAUUUGGGCUGGGCCUCCGGUUAAUAGGUUAGUCCCAAAAAUAAUAUAAAAGUGUAAAAUAAAGCCAAUUAACAUCCAAAACAGAUAACAUAAUAGCAUGGAACAAUAAAAAAUUAUAGAUACGCUGGAGACGUAUCAGCAUCCCCAAGCUUAAUUCCUGCUCGUCCUCGAGUAGGUAAAUGAUAAAAACAGAAUUUUUGAUGUGGAAUGCUUUCUAGAAUAUUCUUCAAUGUAUUUUUCUCUUUUGUGGCAAGAAUGUUCAGAUUCGAAAGAUUCAAAGUUUAUUGUUGACAUAAAAGUAGUAAUACUCCAAGUAUGAUAAUCAAGCAAUUAUGUCUUAUCAAAAUACCAUAGCCAAAGAAAACUUAUCCCUACAAAGUCAUAUAGUUUGGCCAUGCUUCAUUUUCGUCACACAAAAUGCUCUCAUCAUGCACAACUGCGAUGACAAGCCAAGCGAUUGUCUCAUACUUAGCCUUUUCAAACUCUUUCAACUUUUACGCAAUAUAUGAGAGCGAGCCAUGGACAUAGCACUAUGGGUGGAAUAGAAUAUGAUGAUUGAGGUUGUGUGAGAAGACAAAAAGGGAGAAAGUCUCACAUUGACGCGGAUAAUCAAUGGGCUAUGGAGAUGCCCACCGAUUGAUGUCAAUGCAAGGAGUAGGGAUUGCCAUGCAACGGAUGCACUAGAGCUAUAAAUAUAUGAAAUCUCAUCAAAGAAACUAAGUGGGUGUGCAUCCAACUCGCUUGCUCACGAAGACCUAGGGCAUUUGAGGAAGCCAAUCAUUGGAAUAUACAAGCCAAGUUCUAUAAUGAAAGAUUCCCACUAGUAUAUGGAAGUGACAAAAUAAGAGACUCUCUAUCAUGAAGAUCAUGGUGCUACUUUGAAGCACAAGUGUGGAAAAAGGAUAGUAACAUUGUCCCUUCUCUCUUUUUCUCUCAUUUAUUUAUUAUUUUUUGGGCCUUCCUUUUUUUCUUCUUUUUUGGCCUCUUUUUUUUUCCGUCCAGAGUCUCAUCCCGACUUGUGGAGGAAUCAUAGUCUCCAUCAUCCUUUCUUCACAUGGGACAAUGCUCUAAUGAUGAUCAUCACACUUUUAUUUUCUUACAACUCAAGAAUUACAACUCGAUACUUAGAACAAAAUAUGACUCUAUGUGAAUGCCUCCGGCGGUGUACCGGGAUUGCGAUGAAUCAAGAGUGACAUGUAUGAAAAAAAUUAUGAAUGGUGGCUUUGCCACAAAUACGAUGUCAACUACAUGAUCAUGCAAAGCAAUAUGACAAUGAUGAUGCGUGUCAUAAUAAAUAGAACGGUGGAAAGUUGCAUGGCAAUAUAUCUCGGAAUGGCUAUGGAAAUGCCAUAAUAGGUAGGUAUGGUGGCUGUUUUGACGAAGAUAUAAGGAGGCUUAUGUGUGAUAGAGCGUAUCAUAUCACGGGGUUUGGAUGCACCGGCGAAGUUUGCACCAACUCUCAAGGUGAGAAAGGGCAAUGCACGGUACCGAAGAGGCUAGCAAUGGUGGAAGGGUGAGAGUGCGUAUAAUCCAUGGACUCAACAUUAGUCAUAAAGAACUCACAUACUUAUUGAAAAAAAUCUACAAGUCAUCAAAACCAAGCACUACGCGCAUGCUCCUAGGGGGAUAGAUUGGUAGGAAAAGACCAUCGCUCGUCCCCGACCGCCACUCAUAAGGAAAGCAAUCAAAGAACACCCCAUGCUUCAAAUUUGUCACAUAACGUUCACCAUACGUGCAUGCUACGGGACUUGCCAACUUCAACACAAGUUUUCAUCAAUUUCACAAUUACUCAACUAGCACACUUCUAAUAUUACCACAUUUAUAUCUCAAAACCAUCUAUCAAGCAUCCAACUUCUCUUAGCAUUUAAAAUUUAUAACCAAAGUGAAUUACCAUGCUGUUCUAAAGGACUCUCAAAAUGAUAUAAGUGAAGCAUGAGAGAUCAAUUAUUUCUAUAAAAUAAAACCACCGCCGUGCUCUAAAAGAUAUAAGCGAAGCACUAGAGCAAAAACUAUAUACCUCAAAAGAUAUAAGUGAAGCACAUAGAAUAUUCUAAUAAAUUCCAAUUCAUGUGUGUCUCUCCCACAAUGUGUGUAUAGCAAGGAUGAUUGUGGUAAACUAAAAGCAAAGACUCAAAUCAUACAGGACGCUCCAAGCAAAACACAUAUCAUGUGGCGAAUAAAAAUAUAGCUCCAAGUAAAGUUACCGAUAGACGAAGACGAAAGAGGGGAUGCCUCCCGGGGCAUCCCCAAGCUUAGGCUUUUUGGUGUCCUUGGAUUUUACCUUGGGGUGCCUUGGGCAUCCCCAAGCUUAGGCUAUUUCCACUCUUUGGUCCAUAAUCCAUCAAAUCCUUACCCAAAACUUGAAAACUUCACAACACAAAACUUAAAAGAAAAUCUUCGUGAGCUCCGUUAGUAAUAGAAAGCAAACCACCACUUCAAGGUACUGUAAUGAACUCAUUCUUGAUUUAUAUUGGUGUUAAACCUACCGUAUUCCAACUUUUCUAUGGUUCAUAAACUCUAUUACUAGCCAUAGAUUCAUCAAAAUAAGCAACCAACACACGAAAAACAGAAUCUGUCAAAAACAGAACAAUCUGUAGUAAUUUGUACGUUUUGACUACUUCUGGAACCCCAAAAAUUCUAAAAUAAAUUCCUGGACGUGUGGAAUUUAUCUAUUAAUCAUCUACAAAACGAAUUAACUAAAUAGCACUCUCCAAUAAAAAUGGCAGCAAUUCUUGUGAGCGUUAAAGUUUCUGUUUUUUACAGCAAGAUCAAAAAGACUUUCCCCAAGUCUUCCCAACGGUUCUACUUGGCACAAACACUAAUUAAGCACAAAAAACACAACCAAAACAGAGUCUAGAUAAUUUAUUUAUUGAAUAACAGCAAGGAAAAGUAUUGAGUUGACUCCCAACAAGCGCUUUCGUUUAACGCCCCUAGCUAGGCAUUGAUAAAUUCAACAAUGCUCACAAGAAAGACAAGAAUUGAAGCACAAAGAGAGCAUCAUACAACAUGUGACAAACACAUCUAAGUCUAACAUAGUUCCUAUGAAUAGUAAUCUUAAAAGCAAACAAAUUAUCAUAGCAAGCAAAAACUAGCAUAUGCAAGGAAGCGGAAAUAAACAAUAGUAAUCUCAACAUAACGAGAGGUAAUUUAGUAACAUUAAAAUUUCUACAAUCAUAUUUUCCUCUAUCAUAAUAAUUACAUGUGGGAUAAUAAGCAAAUUCAACAAAAUAGUUAUCACAUAAAAUAUUUUCAACACGAUCCACAUGCAUGCAAAGUUGACACUCUUCCAAAAUAGCGGGAUUAACAUUAACUAAAGUCAUGACCUCCCCAAACCCACUUUUAUCAAAAAUUUCAUAAGAUUGAAUAUUCUCCAAAUAUGUGGGAUCUAAAGUUGACACUCUUCCAAACCCAAUUUCAAUAAUAUUGCAAACACUAUUAUCAAUCUCAUAAUCAUCAUGGGGCUUAAAUAAAUUUUCAAGAUCAUAAGAAGAAUCACCCAAUCAUGAUCAUUGCAACAAGUAGUAGACAUAGCAAAACUAGCAUCCCCAAGCUUAGGGUUUUGCAUAUUAUAAGCACAAUUGACAUUAAUAGAAUUUAUACUAUCAUCAUUGCAAUCAUGCUUUCUAUUGAAAGAUCCAUCGUGAAUCACUCCAUAAAGCAUUUCAUCACAAUUUUCAGAUUCACGAAUUUCAAGCAAAACUUCAUAAAGAUAAUCUAGUGCACAAAACUCACUAGCAAUUGGUUCAUCAUAAUUGAAUAUCUUAAAAAGAUUAGCAAGCGGAUGAGGAUCCAUAGAUCUUAGGUUCUCCUUUAGCAAUAAAUAAAAAACUAUUCCAACCAAACGAGCAAAGGAGCCAAGUAAGACAUCAAAGCAAAUGGAAAGACGAACAGAAGAAGGGCGAAUAAAAUGGCAGGGGUGAAGUGGGGGAGUGGGAAACGAGAGGCAGAUGGCAAAUAAUGUAAUGGGAAGGAUAAGAGUUGUGAUGGGUACUUGGUAUGUCUUGACUUGGCAUAGAUCUCCCCGGCAACGGCGCCAGAAAUCCUUCUUGCUACCUCUUGAGCACUGCGUUGGUUUUCCCUUGAAGAGGAAAGGGUGGUGCAGUAAAGUAGCGUAAGUAUUUCCCUCAGUUUUUGAGAACCAAGGUAUCAAUCCAGUAGGAGACCACGCGCGAGUCACCUCGUACCUACACAAACAAAUAAGAACCUCGCAGCCAACGUGAUAAAGGGGUUGUUAAUCCCUUCACGGCUACUUGCAAGAGUGAGAUCUGAUAGAGAUGAUAAUAAUAAGAUAAGUAUUUUUGGUAUUUUUAUGAUAUAGAUUGAAAGUAAAGAUUGCGAAAUAAAAUAGAUUGGAAACUUGUAUGAUGGAAAAUAGACCCGGGGGCCAUAGGUUUCACUAGUGCCUUCUCUCAAGAUAGCAUAAGUAUUACGGUGGGUGAACAAAUUACUGUCGAGCAAUUGAUAGAAAAGCGAAUAAUUAUGAGAAUAUCUAGGCAUGAUCAUGUAUAUAGGCAUCACGUCCAUGACAAGUAGACCGACUCCUGCCUGCAUCUACUACUAUUACUCCACACAUCGACCGCUAUCCAGCAUGCAUCUAGAGUAUUAAGUUCAUAAGAACAGAGUAACGCCUUAAGCAAGAUGACAUGAUGUAGAGGGAUAAACUCAUGAAAUAUGAUAUAAACCCCAUCUUUUUAUCCUCGAUGGCAACAAUACAAUAUGUGUCGUUUCCCUUUCUGUCACUGGGAUCGAGCACCGCAAGAUUGAACCCAAAGCUAAGCACUUCUCCCAUUGCAAGAAAGAUCAAUCUAGUAGGACAAACCAAACUGAUAAUUCAAAGAGACUUGCAAAGAUAAACCAAUCAUACAUAAAAGAAUUCAUAGAAGAUUCAAAUAUUGUUCAUAGAUAAUCUGGAUCAUAAACCCACAAUUCAUCAGAUCUCGACAAACACCCCGCAAAACAAGAUUACAUCAAAUAGAUCUCCAAGAGAAUCAAGGAGAACUUUGUAUUGAGAUCCAAAGAGAGGGAAGAAGCCAUCUAGCUACUAGCUAUGGACCCGAAGGCCUGAAGUAAACUACUCACACAUCAUCGAAGGGGCCAUGGAGUUGAUGUAGAGGCCCUCCAUGAUCAAUGCCCCCUCCGGCGGAGCUCCGGAAAAGGCCCCAAGAUGGGAUCUCUUGGGUAUAGAAGGUUGCGGUGGUGGAAAUGGGGUUUCGUGGUGCUCCUGGAUGUUUGCGGGGUAUGUGAACAUAUAUAGGAGGAAGAAGUAGGUCGGUGGAGCAACGAGGGGCCCACGAGGGGGAGGGCGCGCCCAGGGGGGUAGGCGUGCCCCCCUACCUCGUGGCUGCCUCGUUGAUUGCUUGAUGUCCACUCCAAGUCCUAUGGAUCAUGUUUGUUCCAAAAAUCACGUUCCCGAAGGUUUCAUUCCGUUUGGGCUCCGUUUGAUAUUCCUUUUCUAUGAAACACUGAAAUAGGCAAAAACAACAAUUUGGGCUGGGCCUCUGGUUAAUAGGUUAGUCCCAAAAAUAAUAUAAAAGUAUAAAAUAAAGCCCAUUAACAUCCAAAACAGAUAAUAUAAUAGCAUGGAACAAUAAAAAAAAUUAUAGAUACGUUGGAGACGUAUCAAUAUACACGUUAUUGAUGUGUACUUUACUAGUGUUUAUAGCAACCCCUCAGUAUUUGAUACUAGUUCAGUUGCUAAGAUUAGUAACUCGAAACGAGAGUUGCAGAAUGAACAGAGACUAGUUAAGGGUGAAGUGACGAUGUGUGUUGGAAGUGGUUCCAAGAUUGAUAUGAUCAUCAUCGCACACUCCCUAUACUUUCGGGAUUAGUGUUGAACUUAAAUAAACGUUAUUUGGUGUUUGCGUUAAGCAUGAAUAUGAUUUGAUCAUGUUUAUUGCAAUACAGUUAUUCAUUUAAGUAAGAGAAUAAUUGUUGUUCUGUUUACAUGAAUAAAACCUUCAAUGGUCAUACACCCAAGGUGAAUGGUUUAUUGAAUCUCGAUCAUAGUGAUACACAUAUUCAUAGUAUUGAAGCCAAAAGAUGCAAAGUUAAUAAUGAUAGUGCAAAUUAUUUAUGGCACUGCCGUUUAGGUCAUAUUGGUGUAAAGCGCAUGAAGAAAAUCCAUGCUGAUGGGCUUUUGGAAUCACUUGAUUAUGAAACAGUUGAUGCUUGCGAACCAUGCCUUAUGGGCAAGAUGACUAAGACUCCGUUCUCCGGAACAAUGGAGCGAGCAACAGAGUUGUUGGAAAUAAUACAUACUGAUGUAUGCAGUCCGAUGAGUGUUGAGGCUCGUGGCAGGUAUCGUUAUUUUCUGACCUUCACAGAUGAUUUGAGUAAGAUAUGGAUAUAUCUUCUUGAUGAAACAUAAAUCUGAAACAGUUGAAAAGUUCAAAUAAUUUCAGAGUGAAGUGGAAAAUCAUCGUAACAAGAAAAUAAAGUUUCUACGAUCUGACCAUAGAGGAGAAUAUUUGAGUUACGAGUAUGACCUUCAUUUGAAACAAUGCGGAAUAGUUUCUCAACUCACACCACCUGGAACACCACAGCGUAAUGGUGUGUUCGAACAACGUAACCGUACUUUAUUAGAUAUGGUGCAAUCUAUAAUGUCUCUUACCGAUUUACCACUAUCGUUUUGGGGUUAUGCAUUAGAGACGGCUGCAUUCACGUUAAAUAGGACACCAUCUAAAUCCGUUGAGACGACGCCAUAUGAACUGUGGUUUGGCAAGAAGCCAAAGUUGUCGUUUCUUAAAGUUUGGGGUUGCGAUGCUUAUGCGAAAAGGUUUCAUCCUGAUAAGCUCAAACCCAAAUCGGAGAAAUGUGUCUUCAUAGGAUACCCAAAGGAGACAGUUGGGUACAACUUCUAUCACAAAUCUGAAGGCAAGACAUUCGUUGCUAAGAAUGGAUCCUUUCUAGAGAAGGAGUUUCUCUCGAAAGAAGUGAGUGGGAAGAAAGUAGAACUUGAUGAGGUAACUGUACCUGCUCCCUUAUUGGAAAGUACUUCAUCACAUAAAUCUGUUCUUGUGACUCCUACACAAAUUAGUGAGAAAGCUAAUGAUGAUGAUCAUGUAACUUCAGAUCAAGUUACUACCGAACCUCGUAGGUCAACCAGAGUGAGAUCCGCACCAGAGUGGUACGGUAAUCCUGUUCUGGAUGUCAUGUUACUUGACCAUGACGAACCUAUGAACUAUGAGGAAGCGAUGAUGAGCCCAGAUUCUGCGAAAUGGCUUGAGGCCAUGAAAUCUGAGAUGGGAUCCAUGUAUGAGAACAAAGUAUGGACUUUGAUUGACUUGCCCGAUGAUCGGUGAGUCAUUAAGAAUAAAUGGAUAUUGAAGAGGAAGACGAACACUGAUAGUAGUGUUACUAUCUACAAAGCUCAAAUUGUCGCAAAAUGUUUUCGACAAGUUCAAGGUGUUGACUAUGAUGAGAUUUUCUCACUCGUAUCGAUGCUUAAAAGUCUGUCUGAAUCAUGUUAGCAGUUGCCACAUUUUAUGAAAUCUGGCAAAUGGAUGUCAAAACUGUAUUCCUUCAUGGAUUUCUUAAAAGAAGAGUUGUAUAUGAUGCAACCAGAAGGUUUUGUCGAUCCUAAAGAUGCUAACAAAGUGAGCAAGCUCUAGCCAUCCAUCUAUGGACUGGUGCAAUCAUCUUGGAGUUGGAAUAUAUGCUUUGAUAAAGUGAUCAAAACAUAUGGUUUUAUACAGACUUGCGGUGAAGUCUGUAUUUACAAGAAAGUGAGUGGGAGCACUACAACAUUUCUGAUAAGUAUGUGUGAAUGACAUAUUGUUGAUCGAAAAUAAUGUAGAAUUUUCUGGAAAGCAUAAAGGAGUGUUUGAAAAGAGUUUUUCAAAGAAAGACCUUGAUGAAGCUGCUUACACAUUGAGCAUCAAGAUCUAUAGAGAUAGAUCAAGACGCUUGAUAAGUUUUUUUUCAAUGAGUACAUACCUUGACAAGAUUUUGAAGUAGUUCAAAAUGGAACAGUCAAAGAAGGAGUUCUUACCUGUGUUGCAAGGUGUGAAGUUGAGUAAAGACUCAAAACCCGAACACAACAGAAAAUAGAAAGAGAAUGAGAAGUCAUUCCCUAUGCCUCAGUCAUAGGUUCUAUAAACUAUGCUAUGCUAUUUACCAGUCCUAUUGUAUACCUUAGCAUCUUUCUGGCAAGGGAGUACAAUAGUGAUCUAGGAGUAGAUCACUGGACAACGGUCAAAAUUAUCCUUAGAGGACUAAGAAAAUAUUUCUCGGUUAUGGAGGCGAUAAAAGAGUUCGUCGUAAAGAGUUACGUCGAUGCAAUCUUUUUACAUCGAUCUAGAUGACUCUAAGUCUCGAUCUGGAUACAUAUUAAAAGUGGGAGUAAUUAGUUAGAGUAGCUCUGCACAGAGCAUUGUAGACAUAAAAUUUUGCGAAAUACAUACGGAUCUGAAUGUUGCAGACCCGUAGGCUAAACUUCUCUCACAAGCAAAACAUGAUCACUCUUUGGGUGUUAAUCACAUAGCGAUGUGAACUAGAUUAUUGACUCUAGUAAAACCUUUGGGUAUUAGUCACAUGAAGAUGUGAACUAAUCACAUAAAUAUGUGAACUAGAUUAUUGACUCUAGUGCAAGUGGGAGACUGAAGGAAAUAUGCCCUAGAGGCAAUAAUAAAGUUAUUAUUUAUUUCCUUAUAUCAUGAUAAACUAGCGGGGUAACCCGCGCAUUUGCGCGGCUAGAUGUAUUCCCUGUUGUAAGAGUUGGUAUCAUUUUCCUUCCAAAUGAUGUACUAUUAAUUGUUGCUGGACUUUAUUCACCUGAUUUUUGGCUUUUUAUGUGCAUAUCAUUUCAUGUUGUAAGGUAGACAUGUUAUUAUUUAACAGUAUCAUGUAUCAAUAUUUUUUGCUUCCACACAAAGACUACCCUUGUUCUAUCUUCCACUUCUUCUCAUCGAGGAAUGUCUAUUUUUUCAGUAAAAUUUUGUUAAUAAUUUUAUAUGCCUUUGUACUGAUAUCUUUACACCUCUACCGACUUCCCGUGCAUGUUGGUAAAGUAGACAUGCUCAUCAUUCUAAAUACUACCAUUGACUAAAUAUGCCAGAUUCUGACACGCAUGACAUGUCUCCACAGCAUUCCUGCCACUUUUCCUAUAGAAUUAUGAAUAUUGAAAUGACCUAUGUGGCCAUGGGAAUCGGAAUUCAAAUGGUCUUAUACAUUCUCACAAUCAAGUGCUAUAAAAUUCGGAUACUUCAUAUAUUUGCCUUGCCUAUCAAUUUCUAAAAUAGAGUAGUAGUCUUUGCCCACAUAAUAAGCUCUAUAUUUAGUAUUGAUAUCUAAAUUUACAAAUUAGCUACAUUGCUACAAUGUUGACCCACUAUACGAUCGAAGAUGGAGAUAUUUUAGCAUUAGUGAAUUCACAUGCUGGCUUCUUUAGUGUCAUUGUAAGUUGUAUUCUACUGUCCAUUAUGCAAAACAUAUGCUUUCAUAAACGAAAUGCAAAUCAACAUGUUGGAUUCCUAUUUCUUCACCAUGUAUGGGUGGCUUUUAUCAAGCUCAAGCAUGUGCAUGUAAUCACUUGGGCAUAUGGUGGUUUCUUGAAGUUCAUGAAACCAUAACAGACAAAAGGUGAUUUCUUGAAAUUAGCACAUAUUGUCUAGAAUUUUCUUAAAUCACAGUCCAUCUAAAUCCCAGUUUUCAACUUUUGGAAAGACCUCUAAGUAUGCUCACGUUCAUCGCUUAAUGUAAUACUAACAUGUUUCAAUAAAUGACAAAAAAGUGAAUGCAAUAACAUUUUGCAAAAGUUCUUCAUUUCCUUGAAUUGCAUUAUUAAUAGUAUCAAGGUAUUUUUGGAUCUGCAAUAAUUCAGCGAUGGUAUAUCAACAAAUCUAACUUUAUAUAUGCACAAAUAGCUGUAGUAUAGAAAAGUUCCACGUCUUUAUAUGAUCUAUAAUAUAUACAGUUAGAAGCUCAUAAGCAAAAUUGUAGACAUGUUCGUUAUUCUCGGUCCUACCAUUGACUAAAUAUAUCAGCUCCGAACAUCAUAUGGCUUCAAAGCAUUUAACCCACUUUUAUGGAAUGAUGAGUACUGAAAUGACCUAUUCAUGGUUUUUAUUGUUCUUCCAAACUUGUCUGGAAUUUUCUUAAACCAUAGUCCAUUUAAAGUCUUUUUUUCAGCUUUUGGACAAACUUCUAAAUAUGCUCACCUUCAUUGCUUUUAUUUAUAGGAUUAAUGUAAAACUGAAAUGUGUUAACAAUUGGCAAAAUACAUGAAAGCACUUCCAUGAAUUGUAUUGUUUUGAGGUAUUUAAGAUAUGCAAAAUUCUUUGAUGAUAUAUCAAAAAAACUAACUUUAUAUAUACACAAAUAGUAACUUUAUAUAUACACAAAUAGUUGGCGUAUGAAAAAAGUUUCCUGUCUAUAUUGGACCCAAAAUAGAAUUUGUGCUUUGGAUAAAAAUUAAUUGAAUAUUAUAAUUCCAUGUUCGUAUGGGCUUCUCCAGUGAGGUUACUCAAGCAAGUACAUGCAACCUUUCUUUUUGAGCAUCAGUACAGACACAAGCGCUCAUAUACACGCGCAUACACUCACCCCUAUGAACGCACACACGCACACCCUACUCCUAUGAGCACCUCUGAGAGACUGAGCCGGCAUAUCAUCUUGAGAUUUACGAAGUCACCAUAGACACCUCGUCGUCGACGGGAACAUCUCCUCCCACUGAAAGCGUAUCGCCGAAAAUCCUGAAAUAAAUCCAGAAAUAAUGUAAGCACCAGGAUUUGAACCCUGGUGGGUUGGGGAUACCACUGUCCACCUAACCAACUCAAUCACAAGUUGAUUCGCAAGUACAUGCAACCUUAAGGCAUGAGACAUGCACGUGCGUGUCCCUAAAAAAAAGUGCGUAUGUGUUGGUUGGUGUGUGCAUCGCCCCAUUGCCCACGAUCCCCAUUGGAUUUCUUAACCUGUUUGUUCUUUAGACCAUGUAUUUUCUUUUCUUUUUCUUGAUGAAGACCAUGAAUUUUCUGGCGAUACAUUUCAGAUAAAGCAUAAAAAAACUGCUUAUAUUAUCAUAUAGUAUAAGCAAGCUAUCAAGAGUGUACACAGGUAGUAGCAAUGGUGCCGUGGUUGUUGACUUCUUUUUAUACAACAUGUUUUUUUUGCGAGAUUAUACAACAUGUUUUUUUGUGGGGUAUACAACAUGCUUUUUGACUUUAAUUGCUGUCGCUUGUCACGCCUUUCAUUUUCUGGGUAAUCGAUCGCCGUUGGCGCAUAUCGUGUGCGCCCCGCUUUCGUGCUCCUGCCGGUGCAUACAAGAGCAGGAAGUCAGAUCGUGCAUGUGUUUUUUCAAGAACGUGUAGAGCUACAGGUACGUGUAUGCGUGCUUCUCUAUCUGCAUAGACAGUGCGUAAGUGGGUACAGGAGCAGGAAGUCAUAUCGUGCAUGUGUUCUUUCAAGAACGUGUGGAGCUACUGGCACAUGUAUGUAUGCUUCUCUAUUUGCAUAGACACGCUCGUCUACGUGUCCGUGUGCUACAGGUUUUCCUAUCUAAAGUGUCCCGGGUCUUUUCCUAGUAGUCUGUGUAGCUACAGGUACGUGUCCAUGUGCUCUUGCCUAAAAUCAUAGCUAAAGGUACGUGUCCGUGUGCUCUUGUCUAAAAUCAUCUGUCGAUGGCUGCAUAGUCUUGAGCGUGUACGUCUCUUAGCAUCUCCAACAGCCGCGGUAAAAGCCGCGCGCGGUAAACCUAAUUUUUUAGGCGCGCGAGGCGUUUCGGCGCGCUUCAGUGGUGGCGGGAAAGUUGCGCACGUGGAAACGGUUUGCGCGCGCGGGAAAAGGCGGCAGGUCGUGCGCUUUUUUUGGCGCGCCGCUUCCGGCGCGCCUAUAAAAUGCGGCGCUCGCCAUGCGCCUAUUCCACACGCUUCUCUUCCUCUUUCGUUGCCACGCGCCCCUCCACCGCUUCCUCGGUUGCUUCCGCUGCCACGCGCGCCACCGCUCCAGCGCCCCGCCACCAUGCCGCCGCGCCGCCGAGGAGUGUCGGGCUACCGCGGCGUCCGCCAGAGCCCCAACGGCGGGUUUUACUCGGAGAUACGGUCCGGCCAACUCCGGCUCGGCCUCGGCACCUUCGAGACGGCGCAUGAGGCCGCCCGCGCGUACGACGCGGCGGCGUGGCGCCUAGGCAGGCCGCGCCAGCAGAUGAACUUCCACGAUAUCCACACGCUGCAACAGGCGCUGGACGUCGCCCUGCCGCCUCGUCUUCGCAUGGCACAAGACCGUGCGUAUCACGCUGAGCGGCAGAACCGCCUCCUCGUCGCCCAUGAGGACAAGCGGGUCAUGGCGGAGUGGCGCCAGCAACACCCGGAGGACGUCUCCUACGAGCAAGCCUACCGGGCAAGGCGCCGCGAGGAGGAGACGCAAAGGCGCCGCGCUGAGCGGUUGGACAGGCGUCGGCGGAAGGCCCUGGCGCUAUCCCAGUGCGAUGUCGUUGAGAAUGGUGGUGAGACGAUCUUUACGUCUGAUGAUGAUCGUUGGAAAGACAUGUGGCUCAAUACCUCGGAUCAGACCAGCGAGGAUGGCGACGAUGACGACGACGACUGGGAGUAGGCUGUAGCUGCACUAGUAGUUUUUAUCUAUGUCCUUGCACUAUCUAAAUAAUUUUUUAUCUAUCUAUGUUAUGGAACUAUGUAAAAUAUCUAUGUAUCAUUUUUUCUAUCUAUGAAUUUUAUUAAAAAAAUGUAUGCACAGUUUAGCGCGCGCUGCAUUUUAGCGCGACCGCUGGAGCUACGCGCGCGCUCAAUUUUGACGCGUUUGCUGGAGCCACCGCUGCCGGCCACGCUAAAUCAGGCGAACGGCGCGCGGCAAAUGCCUUUUUUGCGCGCAGCGCUUUGCGUGGCUGUCGGAGAUGCUCUUACAGGCACCUUGACUAAAUUCAAUGAUCGUAAUAUGCGGUUGAAUCUGCACCGUUGACAUAUCUUAACUUUGAAGGGAUAAAUCUUUACCGUUAGUUUUCUACCAUUUUAAUAAAAUAAAUAAUAGAUAAUAGAUAAUAGAUAGAUAGAUAAUAGAUGUUUAUUAUUCAUGUUUGAAUUGUAUUAACCAGAAACUUAGUACAUGUAUGAAUACAUAGACAAACAAAGUGUCACUAGUAUGCCUUUACUUGACUAGCUCUUUGAAUCAAAGAUGGUUAAGUUUCCUAGCCAUAGACAUGAGUUGUCAUUUGAUUAACGGGAUCACAUCAUUAGAGAAUGAUGUGAUUGACUUGACCCAUUCCGUUAGCUUAGCACGAUGAUCGUUUAGUUUGUUGCUACUGCUAUCUUCAUGACUUAUACAUGUUCCUCUGACUAUGAGAUUAUGCAACCCCCAAAUACCACAGGAACACUUUGUGUGCUACCAAACGUCACAACGUAACUGAGUGAUUAUAAAGGUGCUCUACAGGUGUCUCCGAAGGUACUAGUUGAGUUGGCAUAGAUCGAGAUUAGGAUUUGUCACUCCGAUUGUCGGAGAGGUAUCUCUGGGCCCUCUCGAUAAUGCACAUCACUAUAACCCUUGCAAGCAAUGUGACUAAUGAGUUAGUUGCGGGAUGAUGCAUUACAGAACAAGUAAAGAGACUUGUCGGUAACGAGAUUGAACUAGGUAUUAAGAUACCGACGAUCGAAUCUCGGGCAAGUAACAUACCGAUGACAAAGGGAACAACGUAUACCGUUAUGCGGUUUGACCGAUAAAGAUCUUCGUAGAAUAUGUAGGAGCCAAUAUGAGCAUCCAGGUUCCGCUAUUGGUUAUUGACCGGAGAUGAGUCUUGGUCAUGUCUACAUAGUUCUCGAACCUGUAGGGUCCGCAUGCUUAACGUUCGGUGACGAUCGGUAUUAUGAGUUUAUGUGUUUUGAUGUACCAAAGGUUGUUCGGAGUCCCAGAUGAGAUCAGAGACAUGAUGAGGAGUCUCGAAAUGUUCGAGACAUAAAGAUCGAUAUAUUGAAAGGCUAUAUUCGGACAUCGAAAAGGUUUUGAGUGGUUCGGGUAUUUAUCGGAGUACCGGAGAGUUACGGGAAUUCGCCGGGGAGUAUAUGGGCCGUAUUGGGCUUUAGGGGAAAGAGAGAGGGGAGGCUGCACGCCCCCCAAGGCCUAGUCUGAAUUGGACUAAGGGGAGGGGCGGCGCCCCCUCCUUCCUUCUCUUCUCUUUUCCUUUUCCUUCUCUCCUACUCCUACUACAUGGAAGGGGAGGAAUCCUAUUCCCGGUGGGAGUAGGACUCCCGAGGGCGCGCCAUAGUAGAGGGCCGGCCCUCCCCCUCCUCCACUCCUUUAUAUUCGGGGGAGGGGGGCACCCCAUGGACACACAAGUUGAUCAGUUGAUCUUUUAGCCAUGUGCGGUGCCCCCCUCCACCAUAACCCACCUCGGUCAUAUCGUAGCGAUGCUUACGCGAAGCCUUGCGUCGGUAACAUCAUCAUCACCGUCAUCACACCGUUGUGCUGAUGGAACUCUCCCUCGAAGCUCUGCUGGAUCAGAGUUCAUGGGACGUCACCGAGCUGAACGUGUGCUGAACUCGGAGGUGCCGUAUGUUUGGUACUUGGAUCGGUCGGAUCGUGAAGACGUACGACUACAUGAACCGCGUUCUCAUAACGCUUCCGCUUAUGGUCUACGAGGGUACAUGGACGACACUCUCCCCUCUCGUUGCUAUGCAUCACCAUGAUCUUGCGUGUGCGUAGGAAUUUUUUUGAAAUUACUACGUUCCCCAACACUGAAGUGGAUCGGCAUGCAGCCAAUCAGGCGGAUGCCAGCGCGGAUGCCUCCAGUCCUGAGGCGGUUGUGGCCGACAGCCCGCAUCGGGUGGACCCCGCCAGCCCAUGCGCCAGCCCAUGCACCAGCCCACGCGCGGGAGAUAGCGGGGAGCCCGCGGGGCCAGGAUCGCCCUUGGAUCACGAGCCAGGAUCCUCUGCAGAUCCUACGCGGCUAUCCUCCUCGGAUCAGGAGCCAGGAUCUUCUACACCGGACUCUACAGCCUCUGCUACAUUGGGAUCUUCUACGCCUACAACGUCUACAGCACCAGAAGCUCAUCAACCCCCUCGCCGGCACACUAGAUCACAGUCAGGUAUUAUCAAGGAAAAAGAAUACACCGACGGUAUAGUCAGGUAUGACAGAGUAAAGCGUGCUUUUUCUCAGUAGUGUUGGUGAACCAACUCAUUUGCACGAUGCUCUUGCACAUACAGAGUGGAAAGAAGCUAUGGACCACGAAUAUCAUGCACUCAUGAAAAAAAUAAAACAUGACAUUUAGUAACACCAAGGCAGGGUCAAAAUGUCAUAGAUUGUAAAUGGGUAUACAAGAUAAAGAGAAAAUAUGAUGGAAGCAUAGACAGAUACAAGGCUAGACUAGUUGCCAAAGGUUUCAAACAGAGGUUUGGUAUUGAUUAUGAAGAUACAUUUAGUCCUGUUGUUAAGUCGGCUACUAUUCGACUUGUACUAUCUAUUCACUAGUGCAGAACCGGGCAAUAGCACCGGUUUGUACGGCCCUUUAGUGCCGGUUUGAUAACCGGCGCUAAAGUGUAGGCACUAAAGGCCCCUCCUUAGUACCGGUUCAGCAUGAACCGGUGCUAAAGGGCAACCACAUGGCACGAGCCAGCUUCGAGGGCAGGGAGCCCUUUAGUACCGGUUGGUGUCACCAACCGGUAUUAAAAGGUUGGGAGGGUUUUGGGUUUAUGAUUUCUUUUUCAUUUAAUUUUGUGUUUUUCAUUUAAUUCUUUUUCGUUUGCUGGUAUUUUACGAUGCUACAUAUUGUACACGUUAUGCAUAUAUAUAAAUAGAAUUUCUAGUAGAAUCGAUCAUAAUAUAUAUAUAUAUAUAUAUAUAUAUAUAUCAUCGAAUGUCUCACAACCACCAUUAAUUAAUUCACACAUAUAUACACACAUGUAUAUAUAUAUAUAUAUAUAUAUAUACAAUUUCUCCUAAUUGGUGCCUUCGGAGCCAGUGGCAUUAGCCUAAUUGGUGCCUUCGGUGCACGAUAACAAUUGGAAGUGGUUCAUGGGGCAGUAGCGGGUAAUAGUAUUCUCCUUUGGGAUCUAUGACCUGGUCGAGCAAAAAUCCCGCUAUUUCCUCUUGAAUUGCUUCUAUGCGGUCCUCUGUUAGGAGCUUCUCCCGCACCUCUUUAAACUGUUAAGAAAGAGAUUAAUAUGCAUGUGUAUUAGUUGUGUGACUAGAUAUCGAUAAUGGUGUAAAAAUUGUGAAUAGUGUUCUGACAAACGUACCCACUCCUGUCUUUGAGAUCUGCUCCUUUCGGACGCCAUCAUGCGAAUGUUCUCGCAAACAUAGUAUGCACACAAAUUAUUUCCCAGCGCCUGCUUCAGAGCCUUUACAAGAAUGGAAUUUGAUCAGAUAAUAAUUAAUCAAGCACGAUAAUUAAAGAGAUGACAACUAGCUAGUACUACUUAAUUACUUACCUGGGGUCGAUACCAUUUCAGAUUUUGUUUCCAUGGGCCUGGAGUGGCCCUAAUGAACUUUGCCCAAGCCCUGCCCGCCGAUAAAGAAAAUGAAUAAAUGGGUUAUUAAAUAGUUGUUAUCAAGAAAUGACGAACUAAUUAAAUAGGCCGAGAUAUAGUUAAUAAUGAUUGAAAUUACCUGUUGACUAUCCCCUUCACGAUGGUGUAGUCACUUGCUUUCUUAAGUAGUGAGUCUAGUACUUCAACUAUUCCUUCAUCAACUUUAAUGAUUAACAAGAUCCAGUGAAAUCUGCAUGCACACACGUUUGCAUGUCUUAAUUAAGCGGGCAUAUGUAAGCAAAAACAUGUAGCUAGCUAGUAGGCAAAAACAGAAUUUGUAGUACAAGACAGUGUGACUCACUCGAAGUUGUAAGGAAGUAGUAUAUCUUCAUUAUAUUUCGUAAUAUGGAUCUAAUUUCCAUGUGUAUUCAUUAAUGGUAUUUGGGUCAACGAACCCAAUGCCAUAGCAUCCACCUUUUCUCAUUUCAUAAAUCUUCAUCCUGCAUAAUACCACAGAAAAGAAUAUAGUGAGGAUAAUUAGAGGUAAUGAUUGAUCAAAAUGAUCACUACAGUUAGCUUGAGACUUAAAUUACAGAAAGAAAUCACUUACAGACAAUAGCAACUGAUGAUAGAUUUGUCGAGUGCGUCUUGAUUGUAUAGCUGAAAUAGUUCUGAAUACUCAACGGUCACAGCUUUCUCAUGGUAGUAAUGAUCCUUCUUGACAUUCACCAUGAGGGACUCUCGAUUGGAAAUCUUGGUAAUGUCCAUGUACCAUUGAUGCAAUUCAUACAUUCUCGUUGGGAGGUUCUUGACCUCGUCUGGCUCGACCAAAGGUUGGCCCCGGACAUAUUUCCAUUUUAUUUCCUCCUCUCUAGUCGGAGACAUGGGCUCGAUAUCGAGGAGUUGUCCAACAGUGAUCAUGAUCGUUUCAGCCUGCUCAAUAUGCUUCUCGGUUAUUACCACAUCGCCUAGCCCGGGAACGUUAACGGUUUGCCCAUAAUAAUAUUGGGCGUGCCUACUCUCAUGUGUUGUUGGCACAACAAGCGGGGGGAUUGAUUGCACUGCCUGUUCUUCCAGCUGGGGAACGGUUUUACCGCUCCUUUUGCCAGCUGAUUUGCUCGAGCUCGAGCUCGCCUCUUUCUGUAGACGUGCUCGAUUUAACUUCUUGAUGUGGCGCUCAUAGUCUGUGUCAACAGGCUUGGGAGCUGGUGCUCUAGCCAUACGAAUGAAGUGGUCAAUCUUUUCCACAGACACUUUCUCCCUUGGCGGCGGUGGCGGUUUCGGUGCAAAAUGGGCUUCCACCCCGGCCUUCGAUAUGGCUACGUUUUCCUCCUCGGACUUGUCGUAAGGCCUCUGCGGAAGAGGCGUGAGGCUUGGACCAUAUUGAAAUUGCUUGCCUCCGCCUGUACCUCCAGUACUACCUCGACUUGUACUGCUAUGCACCAUAGCUGAGGCGGCUCUCUUCCGUGAUUGCUGAGGCGGCGAAGACGGCUGACGUGGCUGAGUUGGAGGAGGAGGAGUGGCCUGAAGCUGUGCCAGACUUGGAGGAGGAGUGGCUUGACGCUUUGCCAAACUUGGAGGAGGAGGAGUGGCCUGAAGCUGUGCCGGACUUGGAGGAGGAGUGGCCUGACGCGUUGGUGGACUUGGAGGAGCGGGAGUCUGCUGACUCGGUGGCGGACUUCGACGAGGAGUCGGAUGACGCGGUGUCGCUGGCCUUCGAAAGAUGAUGCAAUCCUUUCUCCAUAGGAUGAUACGAUGGCUGGCCUCUCCCAGUGUGUGCUCAUCUUCACCUCCAGGAAUGUCAAGCUCUAGCCCCGAAUAUUGGUCCACCACCUCAUCAACCAAGACACGAGCAUAGCCCGCUGGAAUCGGGUUGCAAUGGAAGGUUGCCUCGGGGGGAUUUGUAAAAGCAAGGGCGUCCGCCACCUUCAUGGAUAUGUUCUUCAUUUUGAAGUGUAGCUCGCAAUUAGUGUUCUCCAUGAUGUCAUCCACUGGGUAGCUAUCCAGCAAUGCGUCGCCCGGGGCGGAACCCACGCUGCUUCUCGGCAUGGAUGGGACGGUGCUAUCCAAUGGUGGAUCAUCCGCUAGCUGCUGAGACCCCCUUUGCUGGCUAAGUGAGUCGAUCUGCUCCUGCUGCCGCUGGAAUUUGACUGCCAAGUCCGCGUGCGCUGAUUCUAGGCCUUGAAGGCGUUCAUAGUCUAGCUUCCUCUGCUCCUCCUCCAUCUUCCUCUUCUUCUCCUCCGCAAUCUUCUUUCUCGCACGGGUUCUGUAGUCGGCGUUCCAGUCCGAAAACCCCUCAUACCACGAAAUAGCGCCCAUGCCUCGUGUUCUUCCCGGGUGUUCAGGAUUUCCCAGGGCACGUGUAAGCUCGUUGUUCUCUCUGUUGGGCUCGAACACCCCCGAUCGAGCCUCUUCUAUUGCAACAAGUAGCUUAUCUUCGGCUCCGUCCAGACAUGCCUUCUUCGAAACUUUGCCUGUCUUCGGGUCCAACUCCCCCCAUGCGCAUAGAACCAAGUCUUGCACCUGGGGGGCCAGCUCAAUGUUUCUGGAGUGACACCUGCAUCCUCCAUCUCUUUCUCGAACUUAUCCCACUUAGGCAUUCCCACCGCAUAGUCACCUGGCCCCAGCUUAUGGAACCUAUCCUUUUUUGCGGCAUUGGCCUUGUUUAUUCUCGACCGUUCCUUAGAUAAUUCCGAAUCCUUGAAUUUCACGAAAUCGUCCCAAUGAGCACUUUACUUCUCUAGUGUUCCCUCGAAUACUGGAGUCUUCCUUCCUCCCUUGAUGUACUUGGCCCAUUCACGAAUCUUGUGGUUCUUGAAUGCAACCGCCAUCUUCCUAAGAGCAGCGUCCUUGACUUUCUCCACAUCUGCAUCUGUGAAAUGAUCUGGUAGGGUGAAAUGUUCCAUGAGCGUUUUCCAAAGCAGAAGUUUUUGUCUGUCGUCGACAAAAGUAACUCCUCGACGUGGCUUUGCUGGCUCUCUCCAUUCUUGAAGGGAGAUCGGGAGUUGGUCCUUCACAAGAACUCCGCACUGAAGAAUGAACUUGUCCGCAAUCUUCUUAGGCGCUAAUGGUUUUCCAUUAGGUUUGAUGGCCUCGAUAUUGUACUUUACGCCCUCCUUCAACUUUUUGUUCGGGCCUCGUUUCCUGUUGCCUGAAGAUUUGCUCGAUCCGGAUGGCUGAAAGAAGAAAGAUCGAUGCGUUAAUAUAUCUUCAAGUCAUUUAAAACAUGUGAUGAUCACCAUAUGCCUGCUUUUAUAAAUAUAUAUACCUCGCCGGUCUUUGUUGUUUCAAGAUCAACAUUUUCUUCGUCAUGUUCAUAGUUCAUGACUUCAUCAAUUCGGUCGUCGCGAUCGAAUAUCAUAUCACCCUCCCCGAUGUUGUUUAGAUAUUCGGAGCCGUCAUAAUCUUCUUCUUUCUGAUCAUCAUCUGGCCCGCGAGGAUUGCGUAUGAUAUUGAACAGGGCCUCUUCUCCCUCUCUGCUGGUAUUGUCCGCCAUAGGUUUUGUUUAACUAAUCCAAAAGAAAUAUAUUCAAAUUACAAUGCAUGGAUGCAAUCAAUUAAUAAGGAAAAACUGAAUCAAUCAUAGUACAUAAUAAGCAUCAUCGAAUAUAAUCUCGAAUACGUCAUCUCAAAUAAUAGACAUAAUCUCGAAUACAUCGUCUCGAAUAAUAUAUAUAAUCUCGAAUAAAUCAUCUGGAAUAUUAUAUAUGGAAUACAUCACUGGCCAGCUAGCUAGCUAAUAAAGAUCGAAUACUAGAGAGUAAUCUAGGCGGUGGACAACCAAAGUGAAGGAACCAUCACUGGAUCAUAGCUCGGGUGAUCUCCCCAAAGAACCUGCCAGGUAUUGGAGAACCUGACGUCCAUAGCAGCCAUGUAGCGAUGGACGUGCUCGUCCUCCUCCCUGACACGGCGACGUACCACCUCCGGCAGGGCUGGCUCCCUCCGCACCGAAAGUGGCCCACGCGAACGCCAUCAAAGGAGAUGAGGGUCGACGACGGGACCCGGGGCCGGGUUCCUCACCAAGCGUCGCGCCCCUGAAGGUAGCACCUCUCAGUGCCAGCCCGGCGGAGCCCAGUCCCAGACAUGGGUCCUUUGAAGCAGGACGUCGUCGCGAACGGGUUGACGGGGAGGAUGCGGGUCGGGCAUCAUCGACAACAAAUACUAUAUGCCGCAAAAGUAAAGUAACAUUUUUUAAAUGAUGGAUUGUGAUUUCAUAUAUGCAAAUUCUAAAUUUUAUAACUAAAAAUAUAAGAAACAGAAAAAACAUCGAUCAUCGUCUAACAAUUUGAAAUUAAUCUAAUUCAUCUAGCUAAAACUAACAUUUCCAAAAUUUCUAACAUUUCUAUAUAACUAACAUUUCUAUACCAUUUGUAUAAAAAACAGAAAAAACCUUUGACAUUAUAUAUAUUAUAACUAACAUUUCUAUAUACUAUUUGACAUUAAUCUAAUCUAAUUAAUUAAUUCAUCUAAAACUUUGUAUGAAAAACAGAAAAACAGAAAAAACUAAAAACUAAAAACAGAAAAAUUGCGUGUGUGCGCGUGUAGUGCGUGCGUGUGUGUGUGUGUGUGUGUGUGUGUGUGUGUAUGUAGUGUGUGUGUGUGUGCGCGCGCGUGUGUGUGCGCUACGGCCGGCGUUNNNNNNNNNNNNNNNNNNNNNNNNNNNNNNNNNNNNNNNNNNNNNNNNNNNNNNNNNNNNNNNNNNNNNNNNNNNNNNNNNNNNNNNNNNNNNNNNNNNNNNNNNNNNNNNNNNNNNNNNNNNNNNNNNNNNNNNNNNNNNNNNNNNNNNNNNNNNNNNNNNNNNNNNNNNNNNNNNNNNNNNNNNNNNNNNNNNNNNNNNNNNNNNNNNNNNNNNNNNNNNNNNNNNNNNNNNNNNNNNNNNNNNNNNNNNNNNNNNNNNNNNNNNNNNNNNNNNNNNNGCGCGCGGUGGCUUUGGUCGAUUGGAGGGAGGAGAGGGGCCGGGGGAGGGGCUCACAGCGCGCGCGGGCGAGGUCGAGGCGACGGCGACGGCGACGGUGAGGCGAGGUCGCGAUCCAAGGCGACGGUGGCGAGGCGAGGGGACGGCGACGGGCCGGUGCGGCGACCGGGACAGGCCGGCGACGGGGGCGCCGCGGAGUCGAUGGGAACGAUGCGACGAGGACGGGGGCGUCGCGGAGUCGACGGGGACGGCGCGACAGGGGCGGCAACGACGCCGGACGGGGCGGCGGCAGAGAGAAGUGGGAGAUGAGAAACUAAAUUUUUUCGAAGUGUUUUCUUAUAUAGGGGACACCUUUAGUACCGGUUGGAGCCACCAACCGAUACUAAAGGUCUGUUUUGGCCAGGCGAAGCGGUGGGAACCGCACCCCCUUUAGUACCGGGUCGUGGCACCAACCGGUACUAAAGGCCCCCCCUUUAGUAUCGGUUGGAGCCACGACCCGGUACUAAAGGGUGUGCGCUGCCAGGCGAGGGGCGCAGAAGUUUAGUCCCACCUCGCUAGCCGAGGGGCACUCACACCUGCUUAUAAGCCCCGCCGUCGCUGCUGUCUCGAGCUGCUCUCUUAAGCAGGCCUUCUGGGCCUACCUCUGCUGUGAUGCCCUAUUGGGCCUACUGGGCUAGCGGGCCUGCAUCCUGGCCCAACUAGAAUUUGGUUUUCUAGUCGUAUGCAGGCCGCUGUGGCCCAGUAGGUGGGCUUUUUUUCUUAUUUUUUGCUUUAUUUAUUUUUGUUUUAUUUAUUUAUUUUUGAGUUGUUUUUUUUUUCUGUAUUUAGAGUUUCUUUGUGAAUAUUUUUGCUUUAGGUACAAAAAAUUACAUACUUUCUGUUAGUACUGGUAGUUUACAAAUUUGAAUAGUUUAAAUUUUGAAUUAUUUGAAAUUAUUGUGAAUCACUAGUUUGUGAAUAACUUAACUUUGAAAAUAGUUUUUUCAGUGAUUCUUUUUUCUUAUGUUUAGUAUUAGUGUGUUUUAUCAUUAUAUUAAAUUUGGUAAUGCUUAGGUUAUUUAAAAAAUGAAAUGCCUUUGUAACGGAUGAGUUUUUGUCCGAAACCCUGAUACUUCGAAAGAGAUUGUCCAUUUUGUACACGAAGUGCAUCCAGUUUUUGCGGUAACCCUCUCUACUUUUUUGCACAUGCUAUGUGGGUGAAAUUAUGAUACCAUGCCAACUUUCAACCUUUUCUGAGUUCAUUUGAAAUGCUUUUCAAUUUCAGGGUCAUUUAGCUGAAAAAAUCAGUAAAUGCAUGAAAGAAUUUGCUUGCACAUAAAAUUUCUUCGCGUUUCAAAUGCCAAAACACAUAACUAGCUACCCUAACUAUUACAAAGAUUCCCUCCGGGGUGUGAAACACAGAAGAAAGUGAUGAUAGUGAAGCCGAUCACAUCCCAGAUCUUUGGGUGUGAAACUUUUUCUUCGCGUGUGUCCCUUUGCGCCGUAGCCAUGGAAAAUUUUCAUCAUUUAACUGGAUGCUCGGGUCAACAUUCACUGUGAAUGGAGCAAUUUCAUCAAACUUUUCAUAAUCUCCUGACAUGUUUGUCUUGUCAUCCACUCCCACGAUGUUUCUCUUCCUAGAAAUAACUAUGUGCCGCUUUGACUCAUCGUACGAUGUAUUCGCUUCCUUAUCUUUUCUUUUUCUCGACUUGGUAGACAUGUCCUUCACAUAGAAAAUCUGUGCCACAUCAUUGGCUAGGACGAAUGGUUCGUCUGCAUACCCAAGAUUGUUGAGAUCCACUGUUGUCAUUCUGUACUGCGGGUCUUCCGUUACCCCGCCUCGUGUCAUAUUGACCCAUUUGCACCGAAACAAAGGGACCUUCAAACCACGUCGAUAAUCAAGUUCCCAUAUGUCCUGUAUAUAACCAUAAUAUGUUUACUUUCCUGUCUUGGUUUCUGCAUCAAAGCGGACACCACUGUUUUGGUUGGCGCUCUUCUUAUCUUGGGCGAUCGUGUAAAAUGUAUUACCAUUUAUCUUGUACCCUUUGAAAGUCAUUAUAUUCGAAGAUGGUAACUGAGACAGCAAGUACAAGUCAUCUUCAAUAGAGGCGUCAUGCAUGGUACGUGUCUGCAACCAGCUGGCGAAACUCCUGAUUUGUUCACGUGUAAUCUAGUUAUCAGACCGCUCCGGGUGUUUGGAGCGUAGCGAAUUCUUGUGUUCAUCCAUAUACGGAGCCACCAAGGCGGAAUUCUGUAGAACUGUGUAGUGUGCUUCAGUGAGAGAAUGUCCGUCUAUACAUAUUAUUUGUUCCCCUCCUAGCGUGCCUUUUCCAUCCAGUCUGCCCUUAUGCCGCGAUUCAGGAACACCAAUCGGCUUAAGGUCAGGAAUAAAGUCAAUACAAAACUCAAUGACCUCCUCAUUUUCAUGGCCCUUGGAGAUGCUUCCUUCUGGCCUAGCACGGUUAUGAAUAUAUUUCUUUAAGACUCCCAUGAACCUCUUAAAGGGGAACAUAUUGUGUAGAAAUACAGGACACAAAACAUUAAUCUCUUCACAUAGGUGAACUAGGACGUGUGUCAUGAUGUUGAAGAAGGAUGGUGGGAACACCAACUCGAAACUGACAAGACAUUGUACCAAAUCAUUCUCUAACCUUGGUAUGAUUUCUGGAUCGAUUACCUUCUGAGAGAUUGCAUUGAGAAAUGCACAUAGCUUCACAAUGGCUAAUCGAACGUUUUCCGGUAGAAGCCCCCUCAAUGCAACCGGAAGCAGUUGCGUCAUAAUCAUGUGGCAAUCAUGAGACUUUAGGUUCUGGAACUUUUUAUGUGCCAUGUUUAUUAUUUCCUUUAUAUUCGACGAGAAGCCAGAUGGUACCUUAAUACUGAGCAGGCAUUCAAAGAAGAUUUCCUUCUCUUCUUUGGUAAGAGCGUUCCAGUCCAUGACCCUGAUGUAUGCCGUCUUUUCCGUGCAUACGUUGCUAGUCCUCCCAUGCCUCAGGUGUAUCUUUUGUCUUCCCAUACACGCCCAAGAAGCCAAGCAGGGUCACACAAAGAUUCUUCGUCACGUGCAUCAUGUCGAUUGCGGAGUGGACCUCUAGGUCUUUCCAAUAGGGCAGGUCCCAAAAUAUAGAUUUCUUCUUCCACAUGGGUGCGUGUCCGUCAGCGUCAUUCGGAACGGGUUGUCCACCAGGACCCUUUCCAAAGACCACCUUCAAAUCCUUGACCAUAUCAUGUACAUCAGCACCAGUACGGUGGCGAGGCUUCGUCCGGUGAUCCGCCUCACCUUUGAAAUUCUUGCCUUCUUUCUUACGGGAUUCCCUGCUCGGAAGAAAUCGACGGUGUCCCAGGUACACAUUCUUCUUACAAUUAGCCAAAUAUAUACUGUCGGUAUCGUCCAAACAGUGCGUGCAUGCGCGGUAUCCCUUGUUUGUCUGUCCUGAAAGGUUACUGAGAGCAGGCCAAUCAUUGAUGGUCACGAACAACAACACCUUUAGGUCAAAUUCUUCCCCCAUGUGCUCAUCCCACACACGUACACCUGUUCCAUUCCACAGUUGUAAGAGUUCUUCAACUAAUGGCCUUAGGUACACAUCAAUGUUGUUGCCGGGUUGCUUAGGGCCUUGGAUGAGCACUGGCAUCAUAAUGAACUUCCGCUUCAUGCACAACUAAGGAGGAAGGUUAUACAAACAUAGAGUCACAUGCCAGGUGCUAUGGUUGCUGCUCUGCUCCCCAAAAGGAUUAAUGCCAUUUGCGCUUAGACCAAACCAUACGUUCCUUGCGUCAUCUGCAAACUCCUUCCCGUACUUACUUCUGAUUUUUCUCCACUGCGACCCGUCAGCGGGUACUCUCAACUUUCCGUCUUUCUUACGGUCUUCUCUGUGCCAUCGCAUCGCCUUGGCAUGCUUUUUGUUUUGGAACAAACGUUUCAAGCGUGGUAUUAUAGGAGCAUACCACAUCACCUUGGCAGGAAUCUUCUUCCUAGGGCGCUCGCCCUCGACAUCACCAGGGUCAUCGCGACUGAUCUUAUAGCGCAAUGCACCGCAUACUGGGCAAGCGUUCAAAUCCUCGUACUCACCGUGGUAGAGGAUGCAAUCAUUAGGGCAUGCAUGUAUCUUCUGCACCUCUAACCCUAGAGGGCAGACAGCCUUCUUUGCUUCGUACGUACUCUCGGGCAAUUCGUUGUCCUUUGGAAGUAUAUUCUUUAUCAUUACCAGCAACUUUCCAAAUCCCCUGUCAGAUACACCAUUCUCUGCCUUCCAUUGUAGCAAUUCCAGUGUGGUGCCCAGCUUUUUCUUGUCACCUACGCAAUUCGGGUACAACAAUUUUUUGUGAUCCUCUAACAUGCGCUGCAACUUCUUCUUCUCCAAAUCACUUCCGCGGUUUCUCUUUGCAUUGGCAAUGGCCCGACCUAGAUCAUCAACGGGCUCAUCCGAUGCCUCUUCUUUAGCUUCUUCCCGCAUUGCCCGCUCAGCUUCUUCCCGCAUUACCGGCUCAACUUCUUCCCUCAUUGUUGUAUCAUCGUAUUCAGGGAACCCAUGGCCAGGAUAGCUGUCGUCGUCCUCUUCUUCUUCAUUGUCUUCCAUCAUAACCCCUCUUUCUCCAUGCUUGGUCCAAACAUUAUAGUGGGGCAUGAAACCAGACUCAAACAGGUGGACGUGAAUGGUUCUUGACGUAGAGUAAUUGUGACCAUUCUUACAGCCAGCACAUGGACAAGGCAUAAAACCAUCCGCCCACUUGUUUGCCUCAGCCGCAAGCAGAAAAGCACGCACACCAUUAAUGAACUCGGGAGAGCAUCGGUCAUCGUACAUCCAUUGCCGGCUCAUCUUCAAUACACAGCACCGAAAACACCAAAUUAAUACAAUACAUAAAGUUCAUACAUAAAGAUCAUACAACACUUAAAUGCAACAAACAAAUAACUCUCUAGCUAAAUAAUUUAAAUGCAACAACAAAUGCGAUCAAGAUCGCAACUAAGGUAACAAUUGAUCCAACAGCAUAAUGAUACCAAGCCUCACUAUGAAUGGCACAUUUUCUAAUCUUUCUAAUCUUCAAGCGCAUUUUCUCCAUCUUAAUCUUGUGAUCAUCGACGACAUCGACAACAUGCAACUCCAAUUCCAUCUUCUCCCCCUCAAUUCUUUUCAUUUUUUCCUUCAAAUCCUCGUUUUCUCUUUCAACUAAAUUUAACCUCUCGACAAUAGGGUCGGUUGGAAUUUUCGGUUCAACUACCUCCUACAUACAAAUAUCUAUGUCAACUUGAUGGGCAUAAUUUGUCAUAAACACGAAAUGCAAUGAAUAGUUUUAAAAGAGAAUAUACCACAUCCGAAUCAUAACCCGGACAAGGGCCGACGGGGACGGAUAUCAAAACCAUGGCACUAUGUAUAACAAACAACGUAUGGGUAAGAUAAUUAUACGAGUAACUAUAUAUCCAAAUCACACAAACAUCAAUUUUUUAUAUAAAACUUCAUGAACAAGAGGCUCACCACAAGGUGGUGCCGGCAACGGGACGUUGCGAGCGAUUGACGGUGGUUACGACGGAGAUUUAGAAGGUACUAAGUAAACCACACCUACAUAUGCAAACUAAGUGUUAUUUUUGACCUCAAAUUGCAUAUAAAUCAAAUACUAGCACAUAUAUAUAAUUCCUCCCAAAUUACUAAACUCAAAAAUCAAUCACUAUAUAAAGCAUUGCACGAGCUAAUCUAGCAAUGAGAGAUGAAAGGACAAAGUUGCUAACCUUUGUGAUCAUUUGAAUGGAUGGGGGCCUUCAAAUCUUGACAAAUUUUGGGCAAAAUGUGUGAUGAGAUUGAGAGGAAGAGGGAAAAGAACAGAGAGGAGAGAGGAAAGGGGAAGAACAGAGCGAGCUCGGGUGGACGAAGGGUCUAUGUAGGACGACCUUUAGUACCGGUUCGUGAUACGACCCGGUAUUAAAGGUGCUGGAGGGGCCCCGGACUGACAACAUCCUGCCACCACUCACUUUAGUACCGGUUCGUGGCAUGAACCGGUGCUAAAGGUUCGCCACGAACCGGUACUAAUGAGAGCGGCCGGCUAGCCGUUGGAACCGGCACUAAUGCACACAUUAGUGCCGGCACUAAUGUGCUUCGCAUUUGACCCUUUUUCUACUAGUGAUUGUUGUUUUCAGAGGUUGGAGCUUAGGCCAGCUAGAUGUUCAGAACGCGUUUCUUCAUGGUGUUCUUGAGGAAGAAGUGUUCAUGUGGCAACCACCAGGAUAUGAGGACCAAAGUGCACCACACUAUGUAUGUAAGUUGGAUAAAGUUUUGUAUGGUUUGAAACAGGCCCCGAGAGCUUGGUACUCAAGAUUGAACAUGCAAUUAUAACAACUUGGGUUUACACCAUCUAAAGCAGAUACCUCAUUGUUCUUUUAUCAUAAAGAUAAGAUCACUAUAUUUGUGCUUGUCUAUGUUGAUGAUAUAAUUGUUGCUAGUUCAAGUGCACAUGCUACCACUUGUUUGCUUAAAGAUUUGAAGUUGGAAUUUUCUCUCAAGGACUUAGGUGAUCUUCAUUACUUUCUUGGCAUAGAAGUUAAUCAGAUAAAUGAUGGUAUACUUCUUACACAAGAAAAGUACACCACUGACAUACUCAGGAGAGUAGGAUUGGAAAAUUGCAAACCUGUGAGUACACCAAUUUCAACUUCAGAGAAACUUACAGUUGAAAGUGGAGAAGCACUUGGACCAGAAGAUGCAACAAAAUACAGAAGUGUUGUUGGUGCUUUACAAUAUUUGACUCUUACCCGUCCUGAUAUUUCUUACUCUGUCAAUAAGGUUUUUCAAUAUUUACAUGCACCUAGAACAACUCAUUGGACUACAGUCAAAAAGGAUUUUAAGAUAUCUUAAAUAUUCAGAAGGUCUUGGACUUCAGAUUAGCAGGUCACUGUCUCUGCUUGUUACUGCAUAUUCUGAUGCAGACUGGGCAGUGUGUCCUGAUGACAGAAAGUCCACAUGUGGUUUUGCUGUAUUUCUGGGAACAAAUCUUGUGUCAUGGAGUGCAAGAAAAUAGGCCACUAUCUCUAGGUCAAGUACAGAAGCUGAGUAUAAAGCUCUGGCUAAUGCUACAACUGAGGUAAUAUGGAUACAGACUCUGCUAUAUGAACUUGGAAUCAAGGCUCCACGGGCUGCGAGAUUAUGGCGUGAUAACAUUGGUGCAACCUAUCUCUUAGUUAAUCCUGUUUUCCAUGCACGAAGCAAACAUAUUGAAGUUGAUUUUCACUUUGUCAGAGAAAGAGUAGCUCGAAAGCUACUUGAUAUUCGUUUUAUACCAACUGAUGAUCAACUUGCUGAUGGCUUCACAAAACCUCUUACUACAGGAAGGUUGAAUGAGUUCAAGCACAAUAUUAACCUUGGUAAAGUUCAUUCGGCUCAGAUUAAGGGGAAAUGUUAGAAUAAGUUGUGUAGAGAUAGGAGAAGUAGUUUAAACUUUGUAAUCUUUCUCUCUUAUCUCUUCUUCUGUUAUCUCUCUCUCUGUAACCGAUUGGGUUAUGAUCUUUCUUUCGAUCGAUCCCUACCUUGUAAGCCACGACAUGUCUCGUAUAUAAUACAAUGCGGCCCAGACGAAGGGUUCUACGGUUCCCAAUUACUUUCACAUCGAUCACGGAGAAGACAACCAACUCUACUUCGGCACAUGCUUCAUCAAGCCCACAACAUGGCUGUAUAUAGUGAAUUGCAGGCGGGGCACAUGUCUGAUCGCUCAUGCCUGAGCGCUUAAGAAUAGUAGCAAUGAAGUUUAUGGUGGAAUCAUCAAACAAAGGCGAGAGACGUGCAUGCUCGAGGAAGGUUGCCUUUGUGAGUCUUAAGUUGGAGCUUGGUCGGAAGCAAGCAUAGUCAACAAGGUAUACAGCUCUACGACGGAGUGCAAGGCAGACGUUAGUCGUGAUGACCAAUAGAAUGACGGCAAAGAGUAGGUGGAUGGGACAUACGGUCCUAUGUUGGGGCACGGUCUCAAGUGAAGCAGCUAGCCAUGGUGCAACUUUCUUGAGGACGCCAGCUGCAAGUGUCAUCGUGGUGACAAUUCGCAGGAGGAAGGUGUUGAGAGCGCGGUGGCAUAGAAAUCUGAGGCUCUUGAGAUGAGAGAGCAAGCUCAUGGUGUUGGGUUGUUUGGUGUACGUGCAUGUAGAGGUGGCCGAGGAGGAUAUAUAUAUAGGAGGGAACGGCAACGGUGGGAUAUUUUCCUGCAAGGGCAUAUGCUAUACUUUGUAAUGUUGACGUACUUCAGAAGACUUGCAAAACUAAAGCCUCUAACUGUGCAAGUGUCAACUGCCCAUGUCCUGGCAUCUUAUCUCGACGAACAUUUCUUUGCACUCAAAAUCUUUCUUAGUGUAAUAAAAUCGUGGGAGAAAUACUUAAUGUCAUAGCCUCUUAGUCAAUGAUAGUACCAUGUAGUAUUAUUGAGUAGAUUACUGCCCAAUAGUGCACAGGCAAUGAUAGUACGAUGUAGUAUUGUUCCUUAAUUGCAUGUCAAGCUAACUAUUUCACAAGUUAUUAUCAUGUGCACAUCUGUGUAGCCCAUGUUUUUCACAUCGCGCUGUAGGAGCACUCUCGUUUCAGAAUUUCUAUGCGGACGUACGAAAAUAAAUAUUGAGGGGGACAUAAGGUUUUGAAUAUACCAGCCAACUAUGUGUGCUUAGGUCCGAUCAUGGUGAAGUGUAGUUUCCAAUGAGUUUAAUUUCUUCUUCGAAGAACAUGAUAUAUCCAUGAGAGUACACCUCCUUGUUCUCUCAGUCAAAUGGGAUUGCCGAGCGAAAGAAACACACUCUAAAGACUUGGUUAACACCAUGUUAGACACAACAGAUAUUUCAAAGGAAUGAUGGGGGAGAGUUUAAUGACUGCAAGGCAUGUCAUUAACAGAGUUCCCACAAAGAAUAAAGAUAUUAGUCCAUUUGAGGAAUGGGAAAAGAAAAUACUAAAACUCUCUUGAGCUUGUUUGGUGGAAGUCAAUGUGGCAAUUCACAUGAAGCAUGAACUUGGACCAAAAACCGCCGAGUGUGUUUUUCUAGGCUAUGCAUUCCAUGGAAAACUAAUUGGUACUCCCUGCAUUGCUGUGGAAUUGAAAGUUUAAUCUACGGAUAUUGCAUGGAAUAUAGAUUUAUUUCUUACAAUUUAAUAAAGCAUUUGGGAAUUUCUGCAGAAAUAAAUAAAUAAAAGGAUUGAUUUUAAAAAGUUGAACAUGUCACAAAUUAAUUUGUUGGCAUAAAAAACUCAAUUGGAAUGCACUAAUAUGUGUUGCAUGCUAGAUUCUCAUGUCAACCGAGAUUAGACAGACUAGAGGCUAACGUGCGCUUCGCCACGCCGUUCUUCACUCAUGGGAUUAAUUCUUCUAUAUCUAGUAGUGUGCCAUAGUCGGUUGUUUUAUUUGGAUUUUAUCAAUGUUGUCUUGUGUUUUAGUUACAUUAUGAAGGUGUUUUUUCAUUUGUAUAUCAUGUCGGGUUUUUGUUGGAGACAAUAUUUCCUAGAGGAGAAUGAAGUUUUUUGGUGUGUCAGUUGUGGUGUCUUUACACGUGUCGGUCUCGGUACCAGUUGGUGGUGGUCGUUUGAACCUCUUGAGAGGUCCUAUCCACGCUAAAAUCAUGGAAUUGCUGCUAUAACUCUCACAUGGAUCGGCCCACGAGCUCUCGCUCUCUUAGUUUGACUCCCUAUUCCUCGCAGUCGAUGAGCUUUUUUCCACUCGCUCCACUGCUCGCUCAGAAAAAUGGACUAUUUUUUUAAAUAAAUAUGUUAGUUUAGUUAAAAUAUGUCCAAGGAUUUUAAAAAAUAUGUGAAUUCACAAAACUAUGAAUUGUAAAAAAUGUUUAUGAGUUUAAAAUAUAUUCAUGGAUUAAAAAACAUUUGCAAAUUAAACAAGUUUCAGAUUUUAAAAAUAUACGGAAACUUUAAAAAUACCCAUGAACUUCAAAAUACUCAUGAAUGUAAUAAAUAUUAAUGAAGCUAAAAAUAUAAAUUAUUAUUUUAUUUUAUUUUUAAUGUUUGCAAAUUUUAAUAAGCACUCAUAAUUAAAACAUGUAUAAGAAAAUAAAGAGAGGAGGGAAAAUAAAACUAAGCAACAGACAAACUUACAUGCGGGUCCCAUAAUGACCCCACAAACCCCGAUGCACCGGAGCGCUUCAAAUCAUGGGAGCUUAGUAUCUUUAUAGAUGUCUCUCACGUACAAGAUUACACAGAUGCUUGUGGACCAAACUAGCCAAUCCCAUGGGUCGACAUCGGUGGUCUCAUUGGCACAGUGUCAUCCUUUCGUACAAGAAAGCAUAAUAUCAGUUAGUAGUUAGCAAGAGAACAGUUAGUGCACUCCAAGAACAUCCAGCUUCCCUUGGCUGCUGCCUGGUCGCUCGCAACUUCACAGUAUAUGUAGGCCACUCAAUCGGUUCUCAGGAGCCAAAUUAAGGUGUGCAUCAUCAUCCAGCUGAUAUGGAGCUCCUCGUAAUCCCCGUCCUGCUGGCGGCCAUGGCCAUUGCCUUGACCUAUCUGGCCUGGACGGCCGCCUCCCGUCGCCGGUGUUCACAGUGCUACCUCCUCGAUUACGUCUGCUACAAACCACCAGACGACCGCAAGGUGACGACGGAUAUGGGGGUCGCACUGGCCGAGCGUAACAAGCGGCUCGGCGCCUCUGAGUUACGCUACCUCUUCCGCCUAACGUCUCGCGCCGGUCUGGGUGAGCAGACCUACCUCCCCUUUGGUCUCUUGGCCGGCCGCGAGAAGUGCCUCACCCAUCAGGACGCGCUCGACGAGAUGGACGCCUUCAUCAUCGACGCCGUCGCCGGUCUCUUCGCCAAUACCCGAUUCGGCCCCCGUGACGUGGACGUGCUCGUGGUCAACGUCAACAUGUUCAACCCGGAGCCUUGCCUUGCCUCGCGGAUCGGGCACCACUACGGAAUGCGCGAGGACGUUGCCGCGUACAAUGUCUCCGGCAUGGGCUGCAGCGCCACGCUCGUCUCUUUGGAUAUCGUCCAGAACGUCAUGCGGGCACGGUCGCCGCGCCCCGUGCUUGCGCUGGUGCUGUCGACGGAGGUGCUCUCGCCUGGAAACUACCAGGGCACGGACAGGUCCAUGAUGCUGGGACUAUGCCUUUUCCGCUGCGGCGGGGCAGCGGCGCUGCUCACCAGCGACCCCGCGCUGGGUGGACGCGCGAAGAUGAAGCUACGUCGCCUCGUGCGUGCCAACGUGGCCGCCAACGACGAUGCGUACUCCGCCAUCUUUCAGCGCGAGGACGCAGACAACAUAACCGGGUUCAGCAUCAACAAGACCCUCCCAAAGGCUGCCGUCCGAGCGUUCGCCGCCAACCUGAAACGCCUCGUCCCUUACGUCCUCCCUGCUAGGGAGCUCCUCCGGCUUGCCGCCAGCUUUACGUGGCAGAAAAUGCAGCGCCGCCAGCGAGUGAAGAUCAAUGUCAACUUAAAGACCGGGGUCGACCAUUUCUGCCUCCACUCAGGCGGGGUUGCGGUCAUCGACGCCGUGAAGAAGAACUUCGGGCUCAAGGAGACAGACGUGGAGCCAUCGAGGAUGACGCUGCACCGCUGGGGAAACACGUCGACCAGCAGCGUCUGGUACGUGCUUGCGUACAUGGAGGCCAAGGGGAGGCUCAAGAGAGGAGACAGGAUGCUCAUGGUGACCUUCGGGUCGGGCUUCAAGUGCAACACUUGCAUGUGGGAUGUGAAUCGCAAUCUGGCGGACAAGGGUGCGUGGGCCGACUCCAUUGACAAAUACCCAAUGGAGAGCACAGCCAACACGUCCCUGGACAAAUACAGCUGGAUUAACGACACUGAUGACGACUCCAUGCUGUUCUAACACUCGUGGACGCCGCAUAGCAUAAUCCGAAAAAUAAAAGCAUGAACAGUGGAUAACUUCUCUCUGCCAGAGAGUAUUGCGGGUACAAAUACCGGUAAACUAGCGUGGUGUCGGUCGCAACUUGUUCUUGUUCGCGUAUUGAACAUUGGUGAAAUAUAUUUUGUACUCCCUCCUCUCAUAAUGUAACACGUUUUUUGAUAUAAGACAUUUUUUGACACCACACUAAUGUCAAAAAAUAUUUUACAUUAUGAGAGGAAGGGUGCUCAUGGUGACCUUCGGACCUGGCUUCAUGUGCAACAGUUGCAUGUGGGAUGUGAAUCGCGAUAUGGCGGGAAAAGGUGCAUAGGUAGACUGCAUUGAUGAGUACCCGCUGGAGAGCACAGCCAACCCGUACAUGGACAAGUAUAGCUGGUUGAUAAAUGUUUAUGGUUCAAGAGCCUCUUCACACCAGCCCACGUUCUUUAUUUUGACGUGCCAAUCCACCCAUGUCGGCGCGUAUUCUCCUUCUCUCCCUCGCUAAUUGUGGCUGUGUUGUGAAUGUCCAUGCUUUGCUAGGAGGAAACUCCAGUUGCCUAUAUAUGUUGUAUACAUUGAUAAAGUACUAUCUCCGUCUCGAUUUAUUGGUCCACUUUGUAUUUUGUGCCCCACUUUGAUUAUAAAUUUGACUAACAAAAUAUAAAUAGUAGGUCAUAAAACUUAUAUUGUUGGAUUCAUAUUUGAAAGAGGCUUUCAAUGAUACUAUUUUUUUGGUAUAUAACUUAUCUUUUUAUAAUUAAAUCAAAGGUCAAAGUUUUCACAAAAUACAAGCAGGACUAAUAAAUGCAGACGGAGGUAGUAGUAUUGAGUUUCAAAACAAAACAACAAUAAAUUUACGUGGGAAAGGAAUAUAGGCAACUCACUGAAGGAUACAAAGCGAACCACACACACGUACGCGGCAAAACACAAGAACAAACCACAGCUAGAAACAUGCACAAAGGACCUUCAAACAAACAAAAUAAUGACACCGUCAUGCAUACAUAUAAACCAGUAUGGACGUGCCUGUGUUGAUAUUGUAGGUCUAAAAUUCAUAUUGUACAUUAGAUUGUGCACGACAGAUUACAUACCCUAAUAUGUGUGUAUGAAUACUCUGUUUUGCUGGCCUAUUGAGCUGGACGGAAGCAGCUGGCCGUGUCCCUCGCCAUUGUCAUUGGUUCUCUGCCAAAGCUAGCAGGACUAGUCUACCGAGUUACAUCGCUGAAGGUUGGGCGCACGUACUAAUCGAGUCUCGCACUAAAAUCCAUCAUCCAGUCUUUAUCUUUACCUAAUAAUAAAGGACGGUAGCUUUCAUAGUUCUUCAUAUGUCACCUCUUUAUAUCCGUUAAUUUUGUGUUAUUUACAAAGAUUGAUGGAUGAGAUUUAUCUACCUUUUUAUUUUAUAUAAAAAAGGGUUUGACCGGAAAAAGUAUUUGCAUCUGCAAAGCAUGAACGCACAACCUCCACUUUUUCUCCCUCGGGGCAUAACCAACCGAGCUACCACAAACUUUGGUUGGAACUAUGUGUCCUUUUUUUUAAAAUAAACAGUCUCACAUCGCUGCUCAUAUUAUUUUUUUCGUCCGUCCGUCUCCCUCUGUCAUGUAUUGAACUACCCUCUCUCUUGGGCCUUCUAUUGCUGCGCACUGCAGCCUGCUCUACUGCGCCCCAAACGGCUCGGCCUCAGCCCAAGCUCGCGCACAGAGCCAUGGGUGCAAUUUCUUUUUUGGGCCUUUCAAAAAUCAAUCAAAAAAUAGUUGCUCCUGAUCAGACUCUAACUCGAGACCUUAUUCGGAGUCCCAAACCACAACUAGACCAGCUGACUGGAGUUAGAAUAGGGCCGUUUGCACAUAUGAAAUAGUCCCACCUCGCUACUUUAUAGGAAAUUCUAGCAGUUUUUAUAUGUUUGCGGGGCGCUUGAAAAUCAGAAAGUCACCUAAAAAGACAGAAAGGAGAGCAUGAGGUGUCAGUCCCUUUAUCCCAAGGAAACCAAGACGGAAAUUAUGCGAGUGCACGUCGAUAAAGAUGCAGAUGCAUGUGAUGCGUGAGGCUGGCGAUGAUCCUGGACAAGGUGCGUAAGGGCAUCUUCAACGCUAAACGCUUGUUGAGGCGCUUAAGCAAUUAAAAGUAAUUGUUUUUUCGUGUAGCGCUCGUUUAAGAGUCCCUGCCUCCAACGCUCCUAGUAAUAUAUAGACGCCUCACAAUUCAAAAGACAUACCCAAGCGCUAGCUCUCCCCAACGCAGCAAAAAAAGUAACGGCCGUAGUUGUGUUGAUUCCAUUGAGAUCUUCAUGCUAAUUCUGGCUGUCAAGUUAGCGCCCGCUGCCACCUACUUCGUUGCAUUCGGAAAAAAAGAGGGCAAGCGCCCGAAGACAGGAAUUGCGCCGACGCAAGCCGAAAUCCUGGACUCGGCUAGGAAUCGAACGAAACGGCCAGGAAAAUCACCCUAGCACCCGUUUUAAGCGUCUGCAUUGUAGAUGCCCUAAUAUAAGAAAUCAGUCUUCCGAGCCAAGCGGAAGCUAAUCGCGAUGGCCAAACCAAGGCGGUGUUCACGGUGGCCCCGCUUCAAGGAGACGGAUGACCAGGCAUUGUGUGAAAGAGCGCUCGCCGUGCAUGAAGCUACCAAAUAACUUAAUAUCUUCUGAUUCCCUGCCUCAGAUGAUCUGUAUACAUAUAUUAUCUCUAAUACCAUAUCCCAAACGUUGAUGUUACAUGCAAACUUUAUAAACCUAGAUCAUCUAUUGCGAGUGCACAGUGUACUGAAGUAAAUUAUGAUGGGCUAACUUGAGCUCCUCCAUCAAGCUUUAUUAUUGCUUCAAAUCUUCAACAGAAAUUUUACAACAAAAAUAGUAUGUAGUACUACUAAUUUUGACAAACUUGAUGACAUGAGACAGCAAGACUUCUCCUGCCCACUAUGGUUAUAAUUUAUUUUUAUUUUAACAGAAGUUUUUUAGUUUGAACAUCUGAUGAACUAUCUUGGUGAUAAUGAUGCUAUAUGCUCAUGUUAAUGCAAUAUCGUAUGCAUCCAACUGACUACCCAUUAUAUUCAAGCUUUUACAGGUUUCUAAGCUUGUAUUUUUUUUUCGUUGCAACUCACGGGCAUGUUUACUACUCUCUCCGUCCCAUAAUAUAAGAUCAUUUUGCAAGCUAAAACAUCUUAUAUUAUGAGACGGAGUAAUAGUACAUAUAACAUUUCUUCUCUCGAAAUUUUGGUACGUAUUUUCGUCCAUAUGCUAGAAAGCUUCAUCCAUCAUCCGUCUCCUGCAUGAGCUCCACACGAUUUCCAUUUCUCCCUGCGUGAGCCGAGUUGGGUCCAUCCCGAACCAUUUUUUAUUUCUUUUUAUUUGAUUUUGGCAUGGAGGUGAGAAUGAACUACAAAAACCGCAGUCCGAACUGCAUAUAUUUGCUAAAGCACAAUUAUUUUCGAUAUGGUUGAAAGCACAAUUAUUUUUUUGUCAAAAUAAUUGAUAUAGAUCAUAAAUUAAGUACUAUUUUUUAGCCUAUGUUAGGGAACUCGAUUGGUUACAUUUUCUUCCGUUGCCAUGCACGGGCAUUUUUGCUAGUGUUCACCAAUAGCAUCAAAUGUGUAAGAGUCUAGCGUCAACGCUAGGGAGAAGAGGCUUUUUUUUCGACUAUGUACAAUAGGGUAAAACACCCCACUACUUAAUUUUAUUAAAAUAAAAGAGAGUCUCAAGGACAAUUAACAAGGUAGAGCUUGAGGGGAGCUCUAAGAGCAUCUCCAACAGCCGCCCAACGCGCGGCGCGUUAAGAACUACUUUGCAGCGCGCCCAUCGCCUGGUUUGGCGCGACGGGCAGCGCUGACUCCAGCAGCCGCGCUAAAAUGCAGCGCGCAAAAAUACAGCGUGCGCGACUCGCCGGCGCAUGUCAGAUGUUCCAUUUUGGACACACAAUGAAUUUCAAACAUUCAAAAUGCAAUGAACAUGGCAUAAUAAUUUCAGACAAACAAGUUGAUGAAUAAAAGUGCAUGCCCACAAGUUCAAAUUCAUGCCCACAAGAUCAUCCAACCAAGUUCAAAAUGCAAACCAAGUUCAUGACACAAACGAAAGGUACAUCAACAAUCAAGCCUCGUCCUUGUCUUCGUCCUCAUCUUCCUCCGAUUCAUCCGACUCCUUCAAAGAUGAUUCUUCCUCCUCCUCAUCAUUGUCGCGCGCCGCAUCACGUGAAGCUCGGACGGUGUUGGCAAGAUCUUCAACGGCAUCUUCAUGGGAAGGUGUGUGAGGCACACCGGAAGACAUUCCACCAAUGGCGGCCGGAGGUGCACCCAUGCCUCCCAUGAGAGACGCAAAACUCAUGCCUCCCAUGCCGGCCAUGGCGUCCGGAGGUGCUCCAAAGCCACCCAUGCCUUUCAUGGUCUCCAUGGUAGCUCCAAAGCCACCCAUGGCACCCAUGCCACCCAUGAUAGCUCCGAAGCCACCCAUGCCGCCAAGGCCACCGCCACCCAUGGCGCCAAGGCCACUGCCACCCAUGGCACGGAUCAUGGCUCUUUUUUGGAUCAAGACUUCUUCACGGGCAAUAUUGACAUACUCCUUUUGUGCCUCAUUGAGGAUAGAUGUGUCCAAGAAGAACAAGUGCAUCUCCCAAUCCAACAAUCUAGAUCGCUCCUCCAUGCUCACCUUCCUCUCCUCCAAAGCCACCUUCCUUUCCUCGGCCACCACCCUCCUCUCCUCGGCCGCGGCAUCUUGGUUCCUUGCCAUUUUCCUCAUUUCGUUGGCUUCUUUUCUUGCCUUCACAAUAGCUUCCAUAGCAUUUUUGAGCUCUUCAUCUCCUUUUCUCUUCUUCUUUUCUUUUACGUCUUUCUUGCUUCCAUCCGGUCGUUUUGGCUUCGAGUAUGAAACCGAGUUGAGUGUGGGGCUUCUCUUGCCAUCAUCACUUAAUGCCUCCUCCUCUUCAUCAUCAUCCAACUCAAUUGUUCGCUUGCGUUUAUUGCUCAAAUCCAAAUCAUCUAUAUCACCAAACUUCUUCCAUUUCUCAUCAUCCUUCAAUAAGUCAUAGCAAUGAGGCAAGGUAAAUGGCCUUCCUUUCUUGAUCUUUCCCUUCUUGGUCCUCUUCUCCUCUCCUUUGAACAAGUUUUGUGCAAUAUUGUACUACAUGAAAACAAAAUAAGUUAGCACUCAAACACCAACAACAAGCAUGAUGAACAUGGAUGAAAUGGCACUUACUCUAUCGUCCUCAUUAGUGCCACUUGGGUUCAACUUGUCAACCGCCUUUUGUGCGGCCGCCCACUUUUGACAAUCCUUGUUUAUUGUCGACCACCGGGAGCGAAGAGAUCGAUCGGAGCGGUCAGUUCCACUCCCGUUGCGAACAUCAAAGUAUUCCUUCAUCUGCAGCCAAUAAGCAUCUCUACUUUGAUCACCUCCAACAGAUGGAUCCCUCGACACUUGCAACCAAGUAUUGCAUAGUAAGAUGUCUUCAACGUUGGUGUAAUUCCCUGCUCUUCCUUUCGGUGCGUCGACAAUGCCCUCACCAUCCUCGUCCACCUCGAACUCAUGGUCAUCAAAAUGCAUGUCAUUGGUUUCAGACCAAUGGGAAUUGUUGGAGCCAACACCCAUAGUUGACAUGUAUGCAUCAUCGUUGAGAGUACAAAGUAUAUAGAACAAUGCAAAUAAGCUAUCUAUAUGUAUGCAUUUAGAAAAUAACAACAACAAAAAGUUGGGGAAAUUUUCUACCUUUGGGGCAUUCCCUCGAACAAAUUGUGCGCGUCGGCUGCCGGCUCAACAAGUGAGCUCGCUGGCGCUUAGGUAGCCGCCUCGCCCGUCACACGCCCUGCAAGCUUCUUCCUCGACUCCUUCGAGGUGCCGGAGCCGUCGCCGUCUUGUUCUUCUUCGUGGAUGCCUUGCCCUUCUUCGGCCGCGUUGCAUUUGGGAGCUUCGAGGAGGGGGGGCACGUACCUUCACGACGGGCGCUAGCGCGACGCCACCCGCCGUCGAAGUCACCCGCGGUGGCAUGAAGAGGCCGCACGUGAGGCCGAUGUUCGGAGGAGCUCCGGCGGAGGCGAGGCCAAAGCUCCUCGCGCUAGGGUUUGCGGCGGCGACGGCGGUGGAGGGGUCGUGGCUGUAGGAAGGAGUGAGGGGGUGCCGGCAUGGGCGUCCAUCAGGUCAAUUCGCCGGCGCCGGCGUGUACGGGGCGAAGGUGGCACGGCGGAGAGAGUGCGGUGCGAGCGCUCGUGUGUGCCGGGCGCAGAAGCGGGCGCCCCAAAUACACAGCGCGCGAUGGCGAUUCGGAUAGACUCUAUAUGCCGCGCGCGCGGUUAUUGCGUGCCCGCUGGAACUCCUCUACGGAUUGCGCGCGUGCUAAAAAGGGAAAAUGUGCGGCGCGGCGCUUAUUAGCAUGGCUAUUGGAGAUGCUCUAAGGAACUAAAACUAAGACUAAAACAAGAAAAACAGCUCAACCCAAAAAAACAAGAGCUGCAAAACUAAAAAAAGGAAAAUUAAUUACAUCAAAGCAUCCAACCAUGCAUUAAAGGGUGGGGCAUGCUUCUGCUUCAUUCUAUAUCUGAGCCACCUAAGCUCCUCUUAAGUAGAUUUGCUUCCAUCUCUGGAAUGAAGGACCAAUGCCUUCAAAGAUUUGUUAUUUCUGGUGAUCCAGAUAGCCUAUGAUCCAAGUACUAUGAUUUCCAUGAAGAAUGGCAACUGUAACUUGUCUUUUAAAUCUUGAAAAGCCUCCAGUACAGAUAGAUUGUGUGUUGGAGAGGAGGCUUCUCCGUCUUGUUUAUAAUAUCAGACCAUGUGUAUCACGAAUUAAUUAGGGUAGGAUCCAGGAGGCUUGAUUUGUAGAGAACAAACUCACCGCCGGUUAGAUCAACGUAAAGGCAGCGAUUGCAAUUUGGAGAAAAUAGUGUAUGUAGCUGAGGAGAGGAGGAAGGUGAGUCACGUGGGAUGGACAGGGAAUCAUACUGCUAUUGUUAAUUGUACUUGUACAACCCAAAAUCCACCCCCGAUGAAGCCAUCGGUGAGCAGCAUAAGCACCUUGUAGUAAAUUGCCUUGUGAGCGUCAUGUUUGUAUGGGCUGUCGGCUAUAGGGCUAUGCCCCGCACUCCUCUCGCUGAGGGUCUCCUUACCCGACGAGUUGGUCCGCCAUAUCACCAAGCCAACCGCCGCCUCGAGGGCCUGGAGCAGCUUGUAGAAUAGGAUUGCGCUAUCCACGGCUUGAAACACCCCUGCACGCCGCCAUAGUCCGUGCAUCAAGCCCGGCCCAUCUCAUCGGGUCGGGUCCUAUGAGAUGGGGAGCGCCAACAUGUCGCCAAGCUACGCGGCGCGACCACCCUCUUCGACCAGCUGAGCUGCUCCAUGUUAUCCGCACAUUCAAAUACGACGGCAACUGCUGCAUCUCCGUCGUCGAGGUCGUGCAUUCCAUUGUUGGCGCCGAGCCCUAGCUUGCUCUUUGCGCCGGUGCCCAACUCCCUCUCGCUCUUUCUCUCACUCACACAAACGAAGGUAGAAGAAAGAGAAGAGACGGGACACGGUGGUGUUUUUCCAGCGCACGUACGCCUGCCGCAACGACGGCCUUUUCCUCAAGCAACAACUCCAGCCACACCACACUUAUACAACAAGCUAGCACACAGACUACACCACUCGAGUUCCACGAACCACACGAACUCACAGCGCUACGCGCGGCUACAUUUUGCUCUGGCCCCUGUCACUUGGCCGCACAGCCGAGUACACUUUACAUAGUACACCAAUGCACACAGGCCAGUCGCCAGUGGCCACACACACCACUAACUCACGCACGCAUGCACCACAUAACCCGGCCACUAACCCACCAGCUACAUGUUGGGUCAACCUGGUCUUCGGAUGGUCUUCAGCAUGCAUGUAGCGGCACAGCUUGCAUGCAACGGCAGUAGUAGUUAUUACUUAGCUAUAAAGUGAUAGAAGGUAGUAGUAGCUGCAUGUCGGCAGUAGUAAUUUCCUGAGCAGUAGAGGAGGCGUGGCUUAGUAGCUAAGCUUUACAAAGUAAGUCAUGAUGUCAUUUAGGCACUGAACGUUAGCACAUGCGUUCUAUAGUCGGUUUGUAAUCCCCUAUAAAAGGAGCACUACUCCAUCGAUGUAAGAUCAUUCCACUCCGAUCAAUUCAAGUAGUAUCUUUUCUCAAGUGUAGCUCCAUCGGUGCAUGCUUCACUGGUGUGUGUGUGCGUACUAGCCUAGAGAGCCUGAGCGUACCAUCACUUUGCUCUUUCACUGAUCAUUUAUCAGUAUACUUGAGUGCUAGCGAGUAGUUCUGGCUAACAAUUGGCAUCAGAGCCUCAGGUUGCAGUAGCCACGGCCGGUGCAAAAGGAGUGCAGCAGCGCACCAUCUUGGGUGGUUCCCAGUCGCGACCAUCACAGGACGGCUCCCAGUCGCCGGCUUCGGAGGAGCGGCGAUGGUGCAGCCGGUCCAGGCGCGGCCAUCGCGGUGAGGUCGUGGUUAGGGAGAUCGUGCGCGAGACCGCAAUCAGCGGUAGCGUGCCCAUCACCUUCCCGAUGCUCACGCGCUCAAACUACAGUGAGUGGUGGGCGUUGAUCAUGGAGUGCAACCUUCAUGCGGCGAGCCUCUGGGCUCCCAUGGAGGACGAUCUGGUCGAGAGAAAGGAGGACAGGAAAGCCGUGGCGGCCCUCAUGUGCGCCACGCCGCCGGAGAUGCACGGCAUGCUCGCGGUGAAGGCAAGCGCCAAGGAGGCGUGGGAAGCCAUCCGUACCCUGCGCCUCGGCAGCAACCGCAUGCGCGAGGCGAACGCGCAAAAGCUGCGGGCGGACUUCGAGAACAUCGCCUUCAAGGAGGGCGAGCUCGUCGACAACUUCGCCAUGUGGAUCUCCAGCGUUGGGUCACAACUCUGAGCGCUCGGUGAUACCAUGGACGAUGCGAGAGUCGUGCAGAGAUUUCUCUGCGUCGUGCCACCUCGCUUCGCUCAGGUCGCGGUCUCCAUCGAGACCUUGCUUGACCUGAGUGAGCUCUCCAUCGAGGAGCUCACGGGCCGGUUGCGGGUGAUCGAGGACCGCUUUGACGACGGCCGCGAGAGCUUUGGCGGCGGACAACUCCUAUUCUCAAAGAAGUGGGAGGCGAGGAAGCGUUAAGGACGUGGUGGCGGUGCCCAGAGCAGUGGAGGCGGCACCGACAGAGGCGGCGGUCGCACCCAGGGCGGAGACGGACAAGGUGCCGGCAACGACGACCGGGACAAGUGCCGAUAUUGCAGCAUCAAGGGCCACUGGGCCCGUGAGUGCCGCAAGAGGAUGGCUAAGGAGGAUGCCGCGGCUGCGGUGAACCUCAUCGAGGCUGAAGAGGACGGUGGGCCAGCAAUGAUGAUGGCUUGCGUCGAGACCAUGCAGGAGGGCGCAGUGCCUCCGGUGACCAUGGUCCCGACAAGCAUCGAAGCUGUGCAGGAGGGUGUAGCACCUCCGGCGACCACAGUGCCGACAACCGUUAAGUCCGUGCGGGAGGCAUGGAGCUCUUCAAGUAAUCCCCUCCCGACAUCGGGAGCGCUCUCCUCGACAACAAUGUUCUCGGGAGACUACGAUUGGGAGGAGAUGAAGACCCGGGUGUGGGGGAGCCACGCCCCGGCAACCACGUCCCCUGCGACGCUGGUCAAGCACGUGCAAGUUGGCACGACAAAGGCGUACCCGACAUCCUUGGGACCAGACAAGCCCGUGUCAGGAGGCACGGCAACGACGCAUCUAGUGGGCCACGUCCCAACCAUGAUGCUGGCAACCAGUGAGCCCAUGCAAGAGGCACGACACUCUCAGGUCGACCACACCCCGACAACCAGGUUCUCGUGGUUCUGCAAGCCCGUGUGGGUGACAUGGCACUCUUCGACAAGCCUCAACUGGGAGGCAAUGAGAGACAUGUUGGGUUUCGUAGUAAUUUCAAAAAUUUUCCUACGCACACGCAAGAUCAUGGUGAUGCAUAGCAACAAGAGGGGAGAGUGCUGUCUACGUACCCACGCAGACCGACUGCGGAAGCGUUGACACAACGUAGAGGAAGUAGUCGUACGUCUUCGCGAUCCAACCGAUCAAGCACCGAAACUACGGCACCUCCGAGUUCGAGCACACGUUCAGCUCGAUGACGAUCCCCGGACUCCGAUCCAGCAAAGUGUCGGGGAAGAAUUCCGUCAGCACGACGGCAUGGUGACGAUCUUGAUGCACUACAGCAGCAGGGCUUCGCCUAAACUCCGCUACAGCAUAAUCGAGGAAUAUGAUGGUUGGGGGCGCCGCACACGGCUAAGGAAUAGAUCACGUGGAUCAACUUGUGUGUUUCUGGGGUGCCUCUGCCUCAGUAUAUAAAGGAGCCAAGGGGGAGGGGGGCCGGCUAGGAGGAGGGCGCAGGAGGAGUCCUUCUCCUUCCAGGAGUAGGACUCCCCCCCCCAAUCCUAGUUGGACUCGGAUUCCCCGAGGGGGAAAGAGAGAGAAGGGGGGCCGGCCACCUCUCCUAGUCCUAAUAGGACUAGGGGGAGGGGGGAGGCGCGCGGCCACCUUGGGCUGCCCCUUUCUCCUUUCCACUAAAGCCCAUCUAGGCCCAUAUGGUUCCCGGGGAUUCCGGUAACCUCCCGGUACUCCGGUAAAAUCCCGAUUUCACCCGGAACACUUCCGAUAUCCAAACAUAGGCUUCCAAUAUAUCAAUCUUUACGUCUCGACCAUUUUGAGACUCCUCGUCAUGUCCGUGAUCAAAUCUGGGACUCCGAACAACCUUCGGUACAUCAAAAUGCAUAAACUCAUAAUAUAACUGUCAUCGUAACCUUAAGCGUGCGGACCCUACGGGUUCGAGAACAAUGUAGACAUGACCGAGACACGUCUCCGGUCAAUAACCAAUAGCGGGACCUGGAGGCCCAUAUUGGCUCCUACAUAUUCUAGGAAGAUCUUUAUCGGUCAGACCGCAUAACAACGUACGUUGUUCCCUUUGUCAUCGGUAUGUUACUUGCCCGAGAUUCGAUCGUCGGUAUCCAAUACCUAGUUCAAUCUCGUUACAGGCAAGUCUCUUUACUCGUUCUGUAAUACAUCAUCUCGCAACUAACUCAUUAGUUGCAAUGCUUGCAAGGCUUAUGUGAUGUGCAUUACCGAGAGGGCCCAGAGAUACCUCUCCGACAAUAGGAGUGACAAAUCCUAAUCUCGAAAUACGCCAACCCAACAUCUACCUUUGGAGACACCUGUAAUGCUCCUUUAUAAUCACCCAGUUACGUUGUGACGUUUGGUAGCACCCAAAGUGUUCCUCCGGCAAACGGGAGUUGCAUAAUCUCAUAGUUAUAGGAACAUGUAUAAGUCAUGAAGAAAGCAAUAUCAACAUACUAAACGAUCGGGUGCUAAUCUAAUGGAAUGGGUCAUGUCAAUCAGAUCACUCAACUAAUGAUGUGACCUCGUUAAUCAAAUAACAACUCAUUGUUCAUGGUUAGGAAACAUAACCAUCUUUGAUUAACGAGCUAGUCAAGUAGAGGCAUACUAGUGACACUUUGUUUGUCUAUGUAUUCACACAUGUAUUAUGUUUCCGGUUAAUACAAUUCUAGCAUGAAUAAUAAACAUUUAUCAUGAUUAUAAGGAAAUAAAUAAUAACUUUAUUAUUGCCUCUAGGGCAUAUUUCCUUUAGUCUCCCACUUGCACUAGAGUCAAUAAUCUAGAUUACACUGUAAUGAUUCUAACACCCAUGGAGCCUUGGUGCUGAUCAUGUUUUGCUCGUGGAAGAGGCUUAGUCAACGGGUCUGCAACAUUCAGAUCCGUAUGUAUCUUGCAAAUCUCUAUGUCUCCCACCUGGACUAGAUCCCGGAUGGAAUUGAAGCAUUUCUUGAUGUGCUUGGUUCUCUUGUGAAAUCUGGAUUCCUUUGCCAAGGCCAUUGCACCAGUAUUAUCACAAAAGAUUUUCAUUGGACCCGAUGCACUAGGUAUGACACCUAGAUCGGAUAUGAACUCCUUCAUCCAGACUCCUUCGUUCGCUGCUUCCGAAGCAGCUAUGUACUCCGCUUCACAUGUAGAUCCCGCUACGACGCUUUGUUUAGAACUGCACCAACUGACAGCUCCACCGUUUAAUGUAAACACGUAUCCGGUUUGCGAUUUAGAAUCGUCCGGAUCAGUGUCAAAGCUUGCAUCAACGUAACCAUUUACGACGAGCUCUUUGUCACCUCCAUAUACGAGAAACAUAUCCUUAGUCGCUUUCAGGUAUUUCAGGAUGUUCUUGACCGCUGUCCAGUGAUCCACUCCUGGAUUACUUUGGUACCUCCCUGCUAGAGUUAUAGCAAGGCACACAUCAGGUCUGGUACACAACAUUGCAUACAUGAUACAUCCUAUCGCUGAUGCAUAGGGAACAUCUUUCAUAUUCUCUCUAUCUUCUGCAGUGGUCGGGCAUUGAGUCUUACUCAAUUUCACACCUUGUAACACAGGCAAGAAUCCUUUCUUUGCUUGAUCCAUUUUGAACUUCUUCAAAAUUUUGUCAAGGUAUGUUGUUUGUGAAAGUCCAAUUAAGCGUCUUGAUCUAUCUCUAUAGAUCUUUAUGCCUAAUAUGUAAGCAGCUUCACCGAGGUCUUUCAUUGAAAAACUCUUAUUCAAGUAUCCCUUUAUGCUAUCCAGAAAUUCUAUAUUAUUUCCAAUCAGUAAUAUGUCAUCCACAUAUAAUAUCAAAAAUGCUACAGAGCUCCCACUCACUUUCUUGUAAAUACAGGCUUCUCCGAAAGUCUGCAUAAAACCAAAUGCUUUGAUCACACUAUCAAAGCGUUUAUUCCAACUCCGAGAGGCUUGCACCAGUCCAUAAAUGGAUCGCUGGAGCUUGCACACUUUGUUAGCUCCUUUUGGAUCGACAAAACCUUCUGGUUGCAUCAUAUACAACUCUUCUUCCAGAAAUCCAUUCAGGAAUGCAGUUUUGACAUCCAUUUGCCCAAUUUCAUAAUCAUAAAAUGCGGCAAUUGCUAACAUGAUUCGGACAGACUUAAGCAUCGCUACGGGUGAGAAGGUCUCAUCGUAGUCAACCCCUUGAACUUGUCGAAAACCUUUUGCGACAAGUCGAGCUUUGUAGACAGUAACAUUACCGUCAGCGUCAGUCUUCUUCUUGAAGAUCCAUUUAUUCUCAAUUGCUUGCCGAUCCUUGGGCAAGUCAACCAAAGUCCAUACUUUGUUCUCAUACAUGGAUCCCAUCUCAGAUUUCAUGGCUUCAAGCCAUUUUGCGGAAUCUGGGCUCACCAUCGCUUCUUCAUAGUUCGCAGGUUCAUCAUGAUCUAGUAGCAUGACUUCCAGAACAGGAUUACCAUACCACUAUGGUGCGGAUCUUACUCUGGUUGAUCUACGAGGUUCAGUAGUAUCUUGAUCUGAAGUUUCAUGAACAUUAUCAUUAGCUUCCUCACUAACUGGUGUAGGUGUCACUGAAACAAUUUUCUGUGAUGUACUACUUUCCAAUAAGGGAGCAGGUAUAGUUACCUCGUCAAGUUCUACUUUCCUCGCACUCACUUCUUUCGAGAGAAACUCCUUCUCUAGAAAGUUUCCGAAUUUAGCAACAAAAGUCUUGCCUUCGGAUCUGUGAUAGAAGGUGUAUCCAAUAGUUUCCUUUGGAUAUCCUAUGAAGACACAUUUCUCCGAUUUGGGUUCGAGCUUAUCAGGUUGAAGCUUUUUCACAUAAGCAUCGCAGCCCCAAACUUUCAGAAACGACAACUUUGGCUUCUUGCCAAACCACAGUUCAUAAGGCGUCGUCUCAACGGAUUUUGAUGGUGCCCUAUUUAACGUGAAUGCGGCCGUCUCUAGAGCGUAUCCCCAAAACGAUAGCGGUAAAUCAGUAAGAGACAUCAUAGAUCGCACCAUAUCUAGUAAAGUACGAUUACGACGUUCGGACACACCAUUACGCUGUGGUGUUCCGGGUGGCGUGAGUUGUGAAACUAUUCCACAAUUUUUCAAAAGUACACCAAACUCGUAACUCAAAUAUUCUCCUCCACGAUCAGAUCGUAGAAACUUUAUUUUCUUGUUACGAUGAUUUUCAACUUCACUCUGAAAUUCCUUGAACUUUUCAUAUGUUUCAGACUUAUGUUUCAUUAAGUAGACAUACCCAUAUCUGCUUAAAUCAUCUGUGAAGGUGAGAAAAUAACGAUAUCCGCCACGAGCCUCAAUAUUCAUCGGACCACAUACAUCUGUAUGUAUGAUUUCCAACAAAUCUGUUUCUCUCUCCAUAGUACCGGAGAACGGUGUUUUGGUCAUCUUGCCCAUAAGGCACGGUUCGCAAGUACCAAGUGAUUCAUAAUCAAGUGGUUCCAAAAGUCCAUCAGAAUGGAGUUUCUUCAUGCGCUUUACACCGAUAUGACCUAACCGACAGUGCCACAAAUAAGUUGCACUCUCAUUAUCAACUCUGCAUCUUUUGGCUUCAACAUUAUGAAUAUGUGUGUUACUACUAUCGAGAUUCAACAAGAAUAGACCACUCUUCAAGGGUGCAUGACCAUAAAAGAUAUUACUCAUAUAAAUAGAACAACCAUUAUUCUCUGAUUUAAAUGAAUAACCGUCUCGCAUCAAACAAGAUCCAGAUAUAAUGUUCAUGCUUAACGCUGGCACCAAAUAAUAAUUAUUUAGGUCUAAUACUAAUCCCGAAGGUAGAUGUAGAGGUAGUGUGCCGACUGCGAUCACAUUGACUUUGGAACCGUUUCCCACGCGCAUCGUCACCUCAUCCUUAACCAAUCUUCGCUUGAUCCGUAGUCCCUGUUUCGAGUUGCAAAUAUUAGCAACAGAACCAGUAUCAAAUACCCAGGUGCUACUGCAAGCAUUAGUAAGGUACACAUCAAUAACAUGUAUAUCACAUAUACCUUUGUUCACCUUGCCAUCCUUCUUAUCCACCAAAUACUUGGGGCAGUUCCGCUUCCAGUGACCAGUCUGCUUGCAAUAGAAACACUCAGUUUCAGGCUUAGGUCCAGGUUUGGGUUUCUUCUCUUGAGUAGCAACUUGCUUGCCGUUCUUUUUGAAGUUCCCCUUCUUCUUCCCUUUGCCCUUUUUCUUGAAACUAGUGGUCUUGUUGACCAUCAACACUUGAUGCUCUUUCUUGAUUUCUACCUCCGCAGCUUUCAGCAUUGCGAAGAGCUCGGGAAUAGUCUUGUUCAUCCCUUGCAUAUUAUAGUUCAUCACGAAGCUCUUGUAGCUUGGUGGCAGUGAUUGAACAAUUCUGUCAAUGACGCAAUCAUCUGGAAGAUUAACUCCCAAUUGAAUCAAGUGAUUAUUAUACCCAGACAUUUUGAGUAUAUGCUCACUGACAGAACUGUUCUCCUCCAUCUUGCAGCUAUAGAACUUAUUGGAGACUUCAUACCUCUCAAUUCGGGCAUUUGCUUGAAAUAUUAACUUCAACUCUUGGAACAUCUCAUAUGCUCCAUGACGUUCAAAACGUCGUUGAAGUCCCGAUUCUAAGCCGUAAAGCAUGGCACACUGAACUAUCGAAUAGUCAUCAGCUUUGCUCUGCCAGACGUUCAUAACAUCCGGCGUUGCUCCUGUAGCAGGCCUGGCACCCAGUGGUGCUUCCACGACGUAAUUCUUCUGUGCAGCAAUGAGGAUAAUCCUCAGGUUACGGACCCAGUCCAUGUAAUUGCUACCAUCAUCUUUCAACUUUGCUUUCUCAAGGAACGCAUUAAAAUUCAACGGAACAACAGCACGAGCCAUCUAUCUACAAUCAAACAUAAACAAGCAAGAUACUAAUCAAGUACUAAGUUUCAUGAUAAAUUUAAGUUCAGUUAAUCAAAUUAAUUAAAGAACUCCCACUUAGAUAGACAUCCCUCUAAUCCUCUAAGUGAUUACAUGAUCCAAAUCAACUAAACCAUAACCGAUCAUCACGUGAGAUGGAGUAGUUUUCAAUGGUGAACAUCGUUAUGUUGAUCAUAUCUACUAUAUGAUUCACUCUCGACCUUUCGGUCUCCGUGUUCCGAGGCCAUAUCUGUAUAUGCUUGACUCGUCAAGUAUAACCUGAGUAUUCCGCGUGUGCAACUGUUUUGCACCCGUUGUAUUUGAACGUAGAACCUAUCACACCCGAUCAUCACGUGGUGUCUCAGCACGAAGAACUUUCACAACGGUGCAUACUUAGGGAGAACACUUCUUGAUAAUUUAGUGAGAGAUCAUCUUAUAAUGCUACCGUCAAUCAAAGCAAGAUAAGAUGCAUAAAAAGGAUAAACAUGACAUACAAUCAAUAUAAGUGAUAUGAUAUGGCCAUCAUCAUCUUGUGGUUGUGAUCUCCAUCUCCGAACACCGUCGUGAUCACCAUCGUCACCGGCGUGACACCUUGAUCUCCAUCGUAGCAUCGUUGUCGUCUCGCCAAGUUUAUGCUUCCACGACUAUCACUACCGCUUAGUAAUAAAGUAAAGCAUCAUAUCGCGAUUUCAUUGCAUACAAUAAAACGACAACCAUAAGGCUCCUGCCAGUUGCCGAUAACUCGGUUACAAAACAUGAUCAUCUCAUACAAUAAAAUUCAGCAUCAUGUCUUGACCAUAUCACAUCACAACAUGCCCUACAAAAACAAGUUAGACGUCCUCUACUUUGUUGUUGCAAGUUUUACGUGGCUGCUACGGGCUUAAGCAAGAACCAAUCUCACCUACGCAUCAAAACCACAACGAUAGUUUGUCAAAUAGACUCCGUUUUAACCUUCGCAAGGACCGGGCGUAGCCAUACUUGGUUCAACUAAAGUUGGAGAGACAGUCGCCCGCAAGACCCUGUGUGCAAAGCACGUCGGGGGAACCGGUCUCGCGUAAGCGUACCCGUAAGGUUGGUCCGGGUCGUCUCGUCCAACAAUGCCGCCGAACCAAAGUAUGACAUGCUGGUAGGCAGUAUGACUUAUAUCGCCCACAACUCACUUGUGUUCUACUCGUGCAUAUAACAUCAACAUAAAUAACCUAGGCUCGGAUGCCACUGUUGGGUUUCGUAGUAAUUUCAAAAAAAUUCCUACGCACACGCAAGAUCAUGGUGAUGCAUAGCAACGAGAGGGGAAAGUGCUGUCUACGUACCCACGCAGACCGACUGCGGAAGCGUUGACACAACGUAGAGGAAGUAGUCGUACGUCUUCGCGAUCCAACCGAUCAAACACCGAAACUACGGCACCUCCGAGUUUGAGCACACGUUCAACUCGAUGACGAUCCCCGGACUCCGAUCCAGCAAAGUGUCGGGGAAGAAUUCCGUCAGCACGACGGCGUGGUGACGAUCUUGAUGCACUACAGCAGCAGGGCUUCGCCUAAACUCCGCUACAGUAUAAUCGAGGAAUAUGGUGGCUGGGGGCGCCGCACACGGCUAAGGAAUAGAUCACGUGGAUCAACUUGUGUGUUUCUGGGGUGCCUCUGCCUCAGUAUAUAAAGGAGCCAAGGGGGAGGGGGGCGCCGGCCAGGAGGAGGGCGCAGGAGGAGUCCUUCUCCUUCCGGGAGUAGGACUCCCCCCCCCCAAUCCUAGUUGGACUAGGAUUCCCCGAGGGGGAAAGAGAGAGAAGGGGGGCCGGCCACCUCUCCUAGUCCUAAUAGGACUAGGGGGAGGGGGGAGGCGCGCUGCCACCUUGGGCUGCCCCUUUCUCCUUUUCACUAAAGCCCAUCUAGGCCCAUAUGGUUCCCGGGGGGUUCCGGUAACCUCCCGGUACUCCGGUAAAAUCCCGAUUUCACCCGGAACACUUUCGAUAUCCAAACACAGGCUUCCAAUAUAUCAAUCUUUAUGUCUCGACCAUUUUGAGACUCCUCGUCAUGUCCGUGAUCACAUCCGGGACUCCGAACAACCUUCGGUACAUCAAAAUGCAUAAACUCAUAAUAUAACUGUCAUCGUAACCUUAAGCGUGCGGACCCUACGGGUUCGAGAACAAUGUAGACAUGACCGAGACACGUCUCCGGUCAAUAACCAAUAGCGGGACCUGGAUGCCCAUAUUGGCUCCUACAUAUUCUAUGAAGAUCUUUAUCGGUCAGACCGCAUAACAAUAUACGUUGUUCCCUUUGUCAUCGGUAUGUUACUUGCCCGAGAUUCGAUCGUCGGUAUCCAAUACCUAGUUCAAUCUCGUUACCGGCAAGUCUCUUUACUCGUUCUGUAAUACAUCAUCUCGCAACUAACUCAUUAGUUGCAAUGCUUGCGAGGCUUAUGUGAUGUGCAUUACCGAGAGGGCCCAGAGAUACCUCUCCGACAAUCGGAGUGACAAAUCCUAAUCUCGAAAUAUGCCAACCCAACAUCUACCUUUGGAGACACCUGUAAUGCUCCUUUAUAAUCACCCAGUUACGUUGUGAUGUUUGGUAGCACCCAAAGUGUUCCUUCGACAAACGGGAGUUGCAUAAUCUCAUAGUUAUAGGAACAUGUAUAAGUCAUGAAGAAAGCAAUAGCAACAUACUAAACGAUCGGGUGCUAAGCUAAUGGAAUGGGUCAUGUCAAUCAGAUCAUUCAACUAAUGAUGUGACCUCGUUAAUCAAAUAACAACUCAUUGUUCAUGGUUAGGAAACAUAACCAUCUUUGAUUAACGAGCUAGUCAAGUAGAGGCAUACUAGUGACACUUUGUUUGUCUAUGUAUUCACACAUGUAUUAUGUUUCCGGUUAAUACAAUUCUAGCAUGAAUAAUAAACAUUUAUCAUGAUUAUAAGGAAAUAAAUAAUAACUUUAUUAUUGCCUCUAGGGCAUAUUUCCUUCAAGACAGACAUGGGGCGGCAAGGCCUCGACUGAGACUAUGGCGACCAUUAAGUCCAUGCAGGAGGCACAACACUCUCUGGUCAGCUAUGCCGCGACCCCAAUGCGCUCGGGGUCCAUCGAGUCCGUGCGGGAGGCACGACUCACAACUAUUAGGGGAGACCCGACAAGCAAGUCUGAUGGGAAGAGCGACAAGGAAUCCACUACCUUGGGAGAAGCCACACCGGGUAGUGCGAUGUCCGACAAGUCAUCCCCGGGAAGGGAGUUCCCGGGUAUCAUGACGUCUGACACGUCGACCCCAAGAAGGGAGUUUCUGGGCAGUGUGAUGUCAGGAAAUACGACUCCAGCAACACUGACGCCUACGAGCGAGGUGGUUUCUGGGCAGUUCAUGUUCCCGCCAACAGCGCGGUCAGACUUGUUCGAUGCCGACAACAAUGUUGGCACUCCACACAGGUUCCGACGCCUAGGAGGAUAUUCUCGACGAGCCUACGGGACGAUCGCAGCACUGCGCGAUCAAGAAGGACGAGCACGGCGUACGGGCUACCCAAACCAGGAGAAGGAAGACAUCCCAAAGAAGACAGUUGGUCGAGUUUGGUUCCAGAAACCAUGCGAGAAGAUCGGGAUCAUGGAAACAAGCUCCUUUGACAAGGUUGAGGAGGAGAUUGUUGGGUCAACCUGGUCUUCGGAUGGUCUUCAGCAUGCAUGUAGCGGCAUAGCUUGCAUGCAACGGCAGUAGUAGUUAUUACUUAGCUAUGAAGUGAUAGAAGGUAGUAGUAGCUUCAUGUCAUCAGUAGUAAUUUCCUAAGCAGUAGAGGAGGCGUGGCUUAGUAGCUAAGCUUUACAAAGUAAGUCAUGAUGUCAUUUAGGCACUGGAGUUAGCACAUGCGUUCUAUAGUCGGUUUGUAAUCCCCUAUAAAAGGAGCACUACUCCAUCGAUGUAAGAUCAUUCCACUCCGAUCAAUUCAAGUAGUAUCUUUUCUCAAGUGUAGCUCCAUUGGUGCAUGCUUCACUGGUGUGUGUGUGCGUACUAGCCUAGAGAGCCUGAGCGUACCAUCACUUUGCUUUUUCACCGGUCAUUUAUCAGUAUACUCGAGUGCUAGCGAGUAGUUCUGGAUAACAAUUGGCAUCAGAGCCUCAGGUUGCAGUAGCCAUGGUUGGUGCAAAAGGAGUGCAGCAGCGCACCAUCUCGGGUGGUUCAUAGUCGCGGCCAUCACAGGACGGCUCCCAGUCGCCGGCUCCGGAGGAGCGGCGAGGGCGCAGCCGGUCCAGGCGCGGCCAUCGCGGUGAGGUCGUGGUUAGGGAGAUCGUGCGCGAGACUGCAAUCAGCGGUAGCGUGCCCAUCACCUUCCGGAUGCUCACGCGCUCAAACUACAGUGAGUGGGCAUUGAUCAUGGAGUGCAACCUUCAUGCGGCGAGCCUCUGGGCUCCCAUGGAGGACGACCUGGUCGAGAGAAAGGAGGACAGGAAAGCCGUGGAGGCCCUCAUGCGCGCCAUGCCGCCGGAGAUGCAUGGCAUGCUCGCGGCGUAGGCAAGCGCCAAGGAGGCGUGGGAAGCCAUCCGUACCCAGCGCCUCGGCAGCAACCGCGUGCGCGAGGCGAACGCGCAAAAGCUACGGGCGGACUUCGAGAACAUCCCCUUCAAGGAGGGCGAGCUCGUCGACAACUUCGCCUUGAGGAUCUCCAGCGUUGCGUCACAACUCGGAGCGCUCGGCGACACCAUGGACGAUGCGAGAGUCGUGCGGAAAUUUCUCCACGUCGUGCCACCUCGCUUUGCUCAGGUAGCGGUCUCCAUCGAGACCUUGCUUGACCUGAGUGAGCUCUCCAUCGAGGAGCUCACGGGCCGGUUGCGGGUGAUCGAGGACCGCUUUGACGACGGCCGCGAGAGCUUUGGCGGCGGACAACUCCUAUUCUCAAAGAAGUGGGAGGUGAGGAAGCGUUAAGGACGUGGUGGCGGUGCCCAGAGCAGUGGAGGCGGCACCGACAGAGGCGGCGGUCGCACCUAGGGCGGAGCCGGACGAGGUGCCGGCAACGACGACCGGGACAAGUGCCGAUAUUGCAGCAUCAAGGGCCACUGGGCCCGUGAGUGCCGCAAGAGGAUGGCUGACGAGGAUGCCGCGGCUGCGGCGAACCUCGUCGAGGCUGAAGAGGACGGUGGGCCAGCAAUGAUGAUGGCUUGCGUCGAGACCAUGCAGGAGGGCGCAGUGCCUCCGGUGACCAUGGUCCCGACAAGCAUCGAAGCCGUGCAGGAGGGUGUAGCACCUCCGGCGACCACAGUGCCGACAACCGUUAAGUCCGUGCGGGAGGCAUGGAGCUCUUCAAGUAAUCCCCUCCCGACAUCGGGAGCGCUCUCCCCGACAACAAUGUUCUCGGGAGACUACGAUUGGGAGGAGAUGAAGACCCGAGUGUGGGGGAGCCACGCCCCGGCAACCACGUCCCCUACGACGCUGGUCAAGCACGUGCAAGUUGGCACGACAAAGGCGUACCCAACAUCCUUGGGACCAGACAAGCCCGUGUCAGGAGGCACGGCAACGACGCAUCUAGUGGGCCACGUCCCGACCAUGAUGCUGGCAACCAGUGAGCCCAUGCAAGAGGCACGACACUCUCAGGUCGACCACACCCCGACAACCAGGUUCUCGGGGUUCUGCAAGCCCGUGUGGGUGACACGGCACUCUUCGACAAGCCUCAACUGGGAGGCAAUGAGAGACAGACAUGGGGCGGCAAGGCCUCGACCGAGACUAUGGCGACCAUUAAAUCCAUGCAGGAGGCACAACACUCUCUGGUCAGCUAUGCCGCGACCCCAAUGCGCUCGGGGUCCAUCGAGUCCGUGCGGGAGGCACGACUCACAACUAUUAGGGGAGACCCGACAAGCAAGUCUGAUGGGAAGAGAGACAAGGAAUCCACUACCUUGGGAGAAGUCACACCGGGUAGUGCGAUGUCCGACAAGUCAUCCCCGGGAAGGGAGUUCCCGGGUAUCAUGACGUCUGACACGUCGACCCCAGGAAGGGAGUUCCUGGGCAGUGUGAUGUCAGGAAAUACGACUCCAGCAACACUGACGCCUACGAGCGAGGUGGUUUCUGGGCAGUUCAUGUUCCCGCCCACAGCGCGGUCAGACUUGUUCGAUGCCGACAACAAUGUUGUCACUCCACAUAGGUUCCGACGCCUAGGGGGAUAUUCUCGACGAGCCCGCGGGACGAUCGCAGCACUGCGCGAUCAAGAAGGACGAGCACGGCGUACGGGCUACCCAAACCACGAGAAGGCAGACAUCCCAAAGAAGACACUUGGUCGAGUUUGGUUCCAGGAACCAUGCGAGAAGAUCGGGAUCAUGGAAACAAGCUCCUUCGACAAGGUUGAGGAGGAGAUUGUUGGGUCAACCUGGUCUUCGGAUGGUCUUCAGCAUGCAUGUAGUGGCGCAGCUUGCAUGCAACGACAGUAGUAGUUAUUACUUAGCUAUGAAGUGAUAGAAGGUAGUAGUAGCUGCAUGUCGGCAGUAGUAAUUUCCUAAGCAGUAGAGGAGGCGUGGCUUAGUAGCUAAGCUUUACAAAGUAAGUCAUGAUGUCAUUUAGGCACUGGACGUUAGCACAUGCGUUCUAUAGUCGGUUUGUAAUCCCCUAUAAAAGGAGCUCUACUCCAUCGAUGUAAGAUCAUUCCACUCCGAUCAAUUCAAGUAGUAUCUUUUCUCAAGUGUAGCUCCAUCGGUGCAUGCUUCACUGGUGUGUGUGUGCGUACUAGCCUAGAGAGUCUGAGCGUACCAUCACUUUGCUCUUUCACCGGUCAUUUAACAGUAUACUCGAGUGUUAGCGAGUAGUUCUGGGCUAACACUACAUGCAUCAACUAGAUAACGACCUUAUCCAUGCACUCCAGGACUCGGCGGCUCCACCGGACGCCCCGCUCAUCACAGCCAUAGGACUCGGCUGCCAACGGAACCACGCACGUUAAGAUUAGUGCUAACAUUCCCCCUUUAAUCUUGACUCGCCUAGACGUCGCCUUGAACGCCUGACGCAGUGCCGCUCUUCGUCUUCAAAGCCGUCGCACGCUCAUUGUCAUCAAGGUUUACGUUGCUGCUCUCAUUUUCGUCGUGACCCAUCCUGCGGAUCCGACCUAACGCAACGACGCCGGUCGCACCGUCACGGACCUGACGUGGCGCACGGACGCUGGUCACACCAUGUUCUGUCACAGCUCCAACGACAUACGCCGUGCUCCUUCGCCGUCAGCGACAUACGCCUGGCGUCCCUCGGCGCCCCGCACGUCCCGGGCACAUCCGACAUGCCCGAUCGCAGCAGUGCGUCUCGCACGUACUGUGCGCACCCGACACGCCCGACGAGCCCGACCACACCACACGUCGUGGACUCACCGCGUGCCGCCUCCGCGUUCGCCAUGGCAGCCGCAGCGCCUCGCACCUCCACGAGCCGACACAUAGCUUGGAGCUUCACCGCGCAGCCGCCGGCGAACGCCGCCACCACCGACACCCUCCGACAAGGGGACGACACCCAACAUGAACCAGGCUCAUGAUACCAAAUGUUGGUGCUGAGCGCUAGCUUGCUCUUUGCGCCUGUGCCGAACUCCCUCUCACUCGCACAAACGAAGGUAGAAGAAAGUGGAGACACUGGACACGGUGGUGUUUUUCCGGCGCACAUACGCCUGCCGCAACAACGGCCUUUUCCUCAAGCAACAACUCAAGCCACACCACACUUAUACAACAAGCUAGCACACAGACAACACCACUGGAGCUCCACGAACCACAGGAACUCACAGCGCUACACGCGACUACAUUUUGCUCUGGCCCCUGUCACUUGGCCGCACAGCCGAGUACACUUUAUAUAGCACACCAACGCACACAAGCCAGUGGCCACACACACCACUAACUCACGCACGCAUGCACCACAUGACCCGGCCACUAACCCACUAGCUACAUGCAUCAACAAGAUAACAACCUUAUCCAUGCACUCCAGGACUCGGCAGCUCCACCGGACGCCCUGCUCGUCACAGCCGUGGGACUCGGCUGCCGACGGAACCACGCACGUCAAGAUUAGUGCUAACAUCCAUUACGACCUUAACCAUAACGACAAUGACUACAUUGUCUUUGCUAGGACAGCCUGACGAAGGAAGACAGAGGUGAGGAGGAGUCGGUUCGUGUUCACGGUGGCGACGGCAGCGUAUACACAUCCUUCGUCUCUGUUAGGACUAUUGGAAUAAGCCAUGGCGUCUGGUGCGGUCGGGCUCGUCGGGCGCGUCGGGUGCACACGGGACAUGGCGGGCACACCGAAAGCGUGGCAUGUGUAUGUGUGUGUCUAGGCAUUGUAUGGCCCGCAUGCGUGUGUGCAUGCGUGUCGGAGUCUAGGUUGAGUCAGACCGUGGCUGAGCCUGUGAUCGUGUGGCGAGGUAGGCAUGAUGCAGCGGUAGCACGAUGGCAUCAGGUCUUGCGGAGGAGCGGGCUGCUCACGUUUGAGGGAAGGCCGGGAUACUAUGGACACCGUGAGCGCUACGUAUUGUUAGCUAGAAAGCCGGCUGUAGGUUUGAGUCUGUUAGUGCGUGCGCGGGUGCUAUGUUUUUGUUGGCGACAAAACGACUGUAAAAUCUUAGUCUGUUGGAGCGUUGGUUAGUUCAGUUUAAUCAGAAAGAGAAAAGGACGUUUGAGCGCCGGUGGCGUACGUGGCUAGAAAGCUAUUCUUUUGUGUUCGUUCGUCUACCUCCAAGAGAGAGCUGAUCCAACAAGGACGGUCUGGCGAAGGAAGACGGAAGGAGGAGUCCAUUCGUGUGGCAGCGGCGGCGUAUACGCAUCCAGGAGAGUUAAUUACACGAUAGUACCACAAUUGGGACCGUGGUGGCGAAUUGGUACUAGUUUUGAAAAAUUUUACGUGUCAGUACCAUGUUUGGACCGAACCGUUGCAAAUCGGGCUAAACUUUGUAUUUGUACGUAUUGACGCUGGAACUGACCGUCCGGGCCCGCGCGUCAGAUGCCACGCUGGCGAAUCGGCACGCGCCCGCUCGGUCGAUAGGUGCGGUCUGGCUCGAACCGGACCGGCCCGUGCUCCACUCUGUUCCUCCUCGCUCCUGCCUCCCUCCUUGCUCCUCUCUCGUCGCCCUCGUCACCGCCGGCAGCUUUGCCGGAGCGGAGCGCCGCCGCCCGCCAUGGUUUUCGAAGACGAAAGCAGUGAGGACACGUCCAGCCUGCCGUACAUGCACUCGACCUCAUCCACAGACGGGCUUAACCAGGUGAUUUUCCUUGAGCUAGGUCUAGGGUUAGGGUUUCAGAUUUGGGGCUUUUUGAUUUGGUUGAUUUCGCUGGGUUUUGAUUUGGGCAUUUUGAUUGUACGAGCUUCGGCAGGUCCCUUUCAGUGUUGAAGAUCCAGAUUACCAGGGGCUUGAGCUGGAAACGAUGUCGCCAUGUGAGAAGCACGGCAAGGCAUCUGAGAGGCUUGUCGCAUUUGAAGGAACAGACACAGGGAGAAGGUUCCUAGCAUGUGCAGAGCCGGUAUGAAUUCUAUGCUGAUAGUGGGAUAUUAUAUAUAGGUUGAUAGUGUCAUAUUAUUGUUGGUUUGACAGUGCCAUAUUGAACAUGAGUGAACAUGAGUACAAGGCCUGAUUAUUAAGGGCAUAUUCAUUUUUGCAACAACAGUAGCUUGUGUAGUUUAAUGACAGUGGUACUGUUAUUUUGCAGUGGCAUUGUUCUUGCUAUCAUGUGAAAUAAUCAGUUUGAGGUUUCUACAGGUUUACUGUUGCUGUUGUGGCAUUUUUAUGUAGUAGAAUGGAGUACUCAGUUGAAUGACAGUGCUACUGUUAAUUAUGUUCCUGUUAUUUUUGGUCCUGUUUGGAACUAAAUAUUGAGUGAACUGUAACUUUUAUGUUGGGAUGGACCUGCUAUUAUGUAUCUAAUUACUUGAAAUAUCCAGUUGAAUGGAUAGUAUGUACUGCAUAUGCUUUGGCAGUUCACCAAAUUUGCAGUUUGAGAUUGCUCUCUCUUGUUUUGUAGCUGAUUAGCAAAAUCUAGUUCAAAGCUGUAGCUGAGUGGUGCUGUAAUUUGUCAUGUUGUUAUUUAGUGGGUAGGUACAUCUCAAUUACUAGUGUAGCUUAGUGGUGCUAUUAUUACCAAUGUACAUUGUUAUUGCUUUGCACUAGUUAUUUACCUGUGCUUCUGAAGUAACAUGUUUAUUUUUUUUAUCUUUUUGCCUUUUUGCAGGAAGGGCAGAAUUGUGGGUUUGUUGAAUGGGUUGAUCACCAGUGGCCCCCAACAAUGCAAAAUGCAUUGUUGAAGCUGUGGGCAAUGGUUGAAGAUAGCAAGAGUGCUAGGGUGAAUGAUAAUCUUGAAAGUUCUUUCACUAUCCACCAUCUGACAGAAGAGAAGAACAAGCUGGAGGCCAACUAUGACAAGUUAGUCCAAGAUGUGCAUCAACUUAUGAGCUUCCAGGAGGACAGGGUGGUGGAUUUCAGAUAUCUGCAGGAUAACCUUACAUAUCAGCAGCAAUGCAGAAGUGAACUGGUGGCUGAUAUGAAGGCACAGAUGGCAAAGAAAGAUGCAGAGUUUGAGAAGCUUAAGCAGAAUUAUGAAGUGCUACUGAACCUGACAAGAGCACAAGCAACAGUCAUCCAGAACUUGAAGUUGAAGCAUAUUAAAGACAAGCAAUUGCUUAGUGAAGAUAAGAUGAACUUGGAGUUGAAGAAUGCAGAGCUCACAAAGUCUGAGGAGAAGCUCACCCAAGAGAAGCUAGAGUUGAAGCUUCAGAUUGCUGAGCUGAUGAAGGCAGAGGAGAAGCUGAAGGAGAAGAUUAAGGGGAUCCAGGCCAUCUUAGAGAAGUGAAGAAAAUGAAUAUGAGACUAGUGGGUAAUGCUGACCUUUUGGGCAUGAUGGUUGUGUAGUGUAUGGCUCUACUAAUUGUGAACUAUGUAUGUGUAUGUAUGUAGUAGAUAUGCUUUUCAUCCUUUUGUGAGAAAAGGAUGAACUAUGCAUUUAAACUCAAACUCCACUAUGUAUUUGUGAUGGACCUGCUGUGUACCCUAUAAUAUGUUGAACUCCAGUAAGUAUUGUGUGUUAUGUUGGCUAGACUUGAAAUGAUGAUAUAUCAUGCAUUGGAAGAUGGAUCAGAUAUUUUGUGCCAUGAGAUGUAGACUAAAAGUUAUGAUUUCUCUUGCAAUAGGUUUUAUAUUUUUAUAUUAGAUGAUUAUGUUAGCAUUGGAAGACUAUUUGAUGGUUAUGUUAGCACUGGAAUAUUAUAUGGUUAUGUUAUAUCAUGCAUUGGAAGCCCAUGUUGGUUAGGUUAACUUGGUUCCGUCGACCCCUAGCCAUCGUAAACCCUAAUGGUUAGAUUAAGGUGGUUCCGUCAACCCCGAGCCACCGUAAACCAUCAUGGUUAGGUUAAGUUGGUUUCGUCGACCCCUAGCCACCAUAAACCCUAAUGGUUAGAUUAAGGUGGUUCUGUCGACCCCGAGCCACCGUAAACCAUCAUGGUUAGGUUAAGGUGGUUCUGUCGACCCCGAGCCACCGUAAACCAUCAUGGUUAGGUUAAGUUGGUUCCNNNNNNNNNNNNNNNNNNNNNNNNNNNNNNNNNNNNNNNNNNNNNNNNNNNNNNNNNNNNNNNNNNNNNNNNNNNNNNNNNNNNNNNNNNNNNNNNNNNNNNNNNNNNNNNNNNNNNNNNNNNNNNNNNNNNNNNNNNNNNNNNNNNNNNNNNNNNNNNNNNNNNNNNNNNNNNNNNNNNNNNNNNNNNNNNNNNNNNNNNNNNNNNNNNNNNNNNNNNNNNNNNNNNNNNNNNNNNNNNNNNNNNNNNNNNNNNNNNNNNNNNNNNNNNNNNNNNNNNNNNNNNNNNNNNNNNNNNNNNNNNNNNNNNNNNNNNNNNNNNNNNNNNNNNNNNNNNNNNNNNNNNNNNNNNNNNNNNNNNNNNNNNNNNNNNNNNNNNNNNNNNNNNNNNNNNNNNNNNNNNNNNNNNNNNNNNNNNNNNNNNNNNNNNNNNNNNNNNNNNNNNNNNNNNNNNNNNNNNNNNNNNNNNNNNNNNNNNNNNNNNNNNNNNNNNNNNNNNNNNNNNNNNNNNNNCCGUCGACCCCGAGCAACCGUAAACCAUCAUGGUUAGGUUAAGGUGCUUCCAUCGACCCCGAGCCACCGUAAACCAUCAUGGUUAGGUUAAGUUGGUUCCGUCGACCCCUAGCCACCAUAAACCCUAAUGGUUAGAUUAAGGUGAUUCCGUCGACCCCGAGCCACCGUAAACCAUCAUGGUUAGGUUAAGGUGCUUCCAUCGACCCCGAGGCACCCAAGUGGACAUAAACCAUCAAGUUAUCCACCCAAGUGGCAUCAAUCCAUCAACCAUCAAGUUAUCCCCAACAGAACCAUCAAGAUAUCCAUUGGCAUCAGCAGAAGUUGCUUUAGUGGCAUCAAACCCAAAAGAAAACACAUUGUAGUGGCAUCAAACUCUAAAUAGUAUAUCAUUGUAGCAUGAGCACAAGUUGGUGCUGUGUCAUCAAAGCAAAACAAAGCACAAUGUAUCAUCAGCAACAGUUGCUGCAGUGGCAUCAAACCAAAAUAAAUCACAUUGUAGCAGCAGCACAAGUUACUGCAGUGGCAUCAAACCAAAAUAAAGCACAUUGUAGCAGGAAUACAAGACAUUGUAGUGGCAUCAAACCAAAAGAUAACAUGCCACAUUGUAGCAGGUGCACAUUGUAGAAUCAACAGAAGUUUGCAUCACCUUCUGCCACCUCUACUAGCAUUGAACCAGGCCAUCCAUCCAGUGUGUGUGCCAUCAGUUGGUGGAGGAGCACUAGAAGUUGAGGCACCAUACUGCCUUGGGGCAGAGAAAGGCCUUGAAGAAUUUGCACCUCUCCCAGUAGAAGAUUGAGCACUAGAAGAUGCUCUUCCAGAUCCUCUUCCACCACCAGCCCUUCUUCCUGCACCUCUACCAGCACCACUUCCACCACCUCUACCAGCAGCACUUCCAGUUCUUCCUCCUGGUGUUGGAGUAGGAGCCCUAGUUGUUGCAGGUGGAGCAGCUCUUGGUGUUGGUGCAGGAGCUUUAGGUGUUGGUGUAGGAGCCCUAGUUGUUGGUGCAGGAGAUCUAGCUGUUGCUGAAGCAGCUCUAGGUGUUGUUGCAGGAGCUGUAGGAGCAACACCUCUUGCUUGUGAAUUCCUUCCAGCAGGCUUGGAAAACAAUUCAAAGGAAACACAGUUAAUAAUACUACAAAUAAGAAAGGUAAUUUACAGAAACAUCAAAAUGAAGAACUAGUACAAAGGGGCUUACCACAUGUUUGUUCUUUCUUAAGGCCAACUCAGGUUUCAACUGUUUAAGGCAAGGUUGUGUAUUUAUGCCCUUGUAAUCCACAAUUGCUACAAGUUAUUGUCCCCAUUCUUGAGGUGGACUUUGGCUUUGGAACUUCAAAUUUUCCCUUUAUUCUCUUCUCUUUCCUUCUUCCUUUCUUCACUUUAAAUGCUGGUGGUUCUAUGUCUGGACCUGGGGUCUUUGUCCAGUCAUGCUCACCAGGGACAGGAUAUAUCAUUGGUUCAUAUGCUGCCAAAUAAUAUGGUUUCUUGAAGAAUUUGCUUACAAAGUCCUCUGGAAACCUUUUUGCCUUGUUGAUCGCUGAGAUGACAUGGUUACAUGGGAUGCCACUGAGGUCCCACUUUCUGCAACCACAGGUUUCAACUUCCAAAUUGACAGCAUGUGUUUGCUCACCACUAGUUACUUGCCACAGGUUAACACCUGCUUGAAUGGGUUUGCAGUACCUGGCCCUUUCCUUUUCAAUCUCCAACUUCUCACUGUAAUGUGGUGUGAUCUCCCAUCUAGCUUCCCUUCCACUCUCUCUAUUCCUGUGCCACCUAACCAUCUGCUUAUCCUUUAUGCCAUCACACAUAGUUUUUAUUGGUUUUUUCCUAUGAUCUAGGAUGUACUUGUUAAACACCUCUAACAAAUUGUUGACAACCAAGUCAGUCUUGCUAUUUGUGUCAAAUGCAUGCCUAGCCCAUGUUUUCUUGGGUAUUGCACUAAGCCACUGCCAAGCUUCCACACUCUCAGCUUUGAGAUCAUCCAUUGCUUUAUUAAAUUUGUGUUCAUUAUAUGCAUAACUGGCAUUAUCCAUGCACCUCUUAAGGUUCUCCCCCCUAAAGCCAGCAUUCUGGAAGUUUGCAUAUAUGUGUCUUAAGCAGAAUCUUUGAUGACUGUUAGGAAAAACUCUAUUCACUGCAUAUAAUAGCCCCUGGUGCACACAAUUUAAACAGCUAAGCUACUGUCUAAUACACAUGUAAACACAUAUUUAGCAGGCAAAGCAAGGUGGAUAAACAUACCUUUUGUCUGUCUGACAUUAUAGUAUAUGGACCAUACUGUCCAACUUCUCCUCCAAGACAAAUCUUCAGUUGGUGUAGAAACCAGCACCAGUUUGCUUUGUCCUCUUGUCCAACAAUGCCAAAUGCCAGUGGGUAUAUGUUGUUAUUGCCAUCUCUACCAGUGGCAGCAAGGAUUUGUGCACCAGUGGUCAGCUUGAUAAAACAUCCAUCAAUACCUAAAACAGGAAGUAAACAUAACAUGUCAAAUGCAUUUAUAUGUGCAACCUAUUGAAACUAACAACAUCAAAGUAGUGUACAAGCUAAAAUGAACUAACCAAUGAAUGGUCUACAGCCCUGUAGAAAUCCCUCCCUUGCUCCAUUGAUGCAGUAAAACAUGGCAUGGAAUCUUGGUCCUGGAUGUGGGAUUUUUUUAGUGGCUUUUGGAGUUACAGUGGUGACUAUAACUCUACUCCCAGGGUUUGUGUCCAUCACAGUCUGAGCAUAGUCUCUCAGCCUUGGGUAUUGCUUCCUAUGAUCUCCCAACACAGCCUCAACAGCUAAGUUUUUUGCCCUAUAUGCCAUAGCCUUGGGCACAUCCACACCAUACUUUUCCAUGCAGGCAUCAAUAAGUGUAUGUAUGCUAGUACUGACAUCAGAUCUGAAUAGUGGCUCAUAUUGCUUUGCAAGCCACUUUGCACUUACCCUGCUUGUUUCAGUAGAACUAGGGCAGGUGUGUUGUAUCCUCAUCUUCUUAAUAACAAAAGUGUUUUCCCCUUUUAUAACAGCUGCCACAAUGCAGAACUUACAAUGUUCAUUCUUGCAAUGCACAAUGAUCCUCUGAUCUGAGUUCCUGUGAUACUUGAAGUCUCUGCAAUGAGUGAUGUGCAAGCUCAACAGAGCAUCUCUGAAUUGAUGUUGAUCUUUGAAGCACAUAUGCAGUUUUAGUUGUUGGUGUGGUUGUUCCAAAUCCCCAUUGUACCAUACUCUAGCUGGCCUCUUCUUUGCCCUACUCUUCCUUUUUUGAGGUAGCACAAAUGCUAGUGGCUCAAACCCAUCAUCUUCACUGUCCUUCAAUAAACUAUCAUCUUCUUCAUCUGAUGAUGGUUUCCAAUCAGGUUGCACUUCUUCUAAAACACUGGAAUGUGACCUUGUUGUUGGUCCCCUCCUUACUUGCAACUUCUGCUUCUUCUUUGCUGGCACAUAUAUUUUUUCCUCCUCUUCUGGAACAAUAGGGUCAUCAUCCUCCAACUCAAAUAAUUCCUCUACCUCUGUGUCACCCUCAUAAUGCACUUGUUCUUCAUCCUCUAAUUCUUCUUCUGAUUCUUCAUCCUCUGUUUCUUCCUCAUGUUGCUCUUGUACUUCUUCCUCUCUCUGUCUAUUUCCCUCUUCCAUCUCCAUGUCUUCAGCAUCAUGCAUUUCCUCAUUAUAGUUAGGCCUUAAAUCCCCCAUGUCACUAUCAUACUGCCCUUCAGAUCCGUUAGAUGAACAUGCAUAACUGCCAUCAUAGCCAACUUGUUCUUCUUCCACAACUUCUUUUAACUUGGGAUUUAGAACACUCCUGCUCUCUUGUGUUAAAACAGCAGGGCCUACAACUGCAAUAUAACUGCUACUCUGACCUUCAUAAGCAACACCUUGCUGAUCAACAGCAUAAACAGGAGGAUCGGCAAGAUCAAAAACAACAGGCUCGGAAUAUUCAGUUAUAUCUAAAUUUUGCUUCUGUACAAAACCCUUCUGUGGUACACUGACAGCUGGUGGACAAGCCCUAAAUAGCAAAUUAAGCACCAAACUCUCCUCAUUCUGCCUCUUGAUCAACUGUAGUUUAACAUUACUAUCAACCAAUUCCAAGCCCUGCUCUCCUGGGGUCUCCAUGUAAAAUAUCAGUGAAUCAUCAAUACUAAAGCCUUGGGUUUCCAUCAAUGCAACCAUAUUUAGAUAUGUCACAUCUGAACAGCUUAAUUUUCUCUCUAACAGAUCAUUAUUGUCAAAAUGGAUCCUAACAUUCCAUAUGUCUUCAUAUAAACUACAAUUCACAUGCAAUUUGCCUAAUCAGUACACUAUAACCCUAAUUAGCAAAUAAAUGAGAAGAAAAAAAAGAGACAGAAACAGAAACUUACAGGACGCCGCCGAGCCCGUGGGUCAGCUCAUGGCUAUUGGUAGGGUUCGCCACCCAUUGCUUUGCCAGCCGUACCCGCUGCUCCAUGGACAGUGCGGGCUCAAUGAACUCGUCGUCGUCGCUGGAGUACUCAGAGCUCGAGUAGCCAUCGCCGCCCUCGAUUGGAGAUCUCCCCUCGAUUCCUCCUGCCGCGCCGAUGCCGAAGAGGGGAAGGUUUGCGCCGCCGCCACCGCCGCUGCCGCCACCACCGCCCGGGGGCGCCGCCGCCAUCGCCGUACGCGCAGGGGAGCUAGGGUUCGUCGACGAACAGAGGCGGCGAGGAGGAACAGAGUGGAGCACGGGCCGGUCCGGUUCGAGCCGGACCGCACCUAUUGAGCGAGCGGGCGCGUGUCGAUUCGCCAGCGUGGCAUCUGAUGCGCGGGCCCGGGCGGUCAGUUCCAGCGUCAAUACGUACAAAUACGAAGUUUAGCCCGAUUUGCAACGGUUCGGUCCAAACGUGGUACUGACACGUAAAAAUUUUCAAAACUGGUACCAAUUCGCCACCACGACCCCAAUUGUGGUACUAUCGUGUGAUUAACUCCAUCCAGGAGAACAUGAUCGUACUUGUAUUCUUUUUUUAACCAUACUCGUGUUUUUUAAUAUAAGGUCAGCCCAGCGGGCGCUGUAAGCAUCGAGGCUCUUCUUUUUAGGGGUAGCAUGGAGACUCAUGUCUUUCCUUUUUAUAUAAGGUCACAGCCCAGCCCAUGCGUUUCUCCUGCAGGCUGAGUCCCAAAUAAUGUGGCAGCGAGUCAUUUUUUCUUCCAAAACAGAAUGCGGAUUAACCGUACAAAUUGUUAGGGAGUUUUUUUUAUAUAAAAUUACAUGACGGACUAAAAAUACCUAUUCCCUUUAUUAGUAGGUAUUGAUAUUGAUGUUUUGAGAGAUACUAAGAAUAUAUAUUCCAAAUUUAUAUAGCAGUAUAGCGACCGGAAAUGUUAAAUAAAAUAUGAGAUGGGCAGAAAAUAUUUAGUAAAGUUUUAGUUUGUGGGAUAAUAAUAGCAUACAAGUAAUCCCCCAAAAAAACUGCUAGCUGUGGAGCACCAGCUACACAGCUACUCAAAAGUCCUGGCUAGUGGCUAGUGAGGAAACACAUAUUUCAGAUACAAAUAUACUAGUAAGAUGCAUGUGCAUUGCAUCCAUGAGCUUUUGUAACUAAAUUACUAAUGAAUGCCACAUUAUAGUAUGUAAAUAUGUAAGCUUGGAGUUAUAUAUGCAUGAUGUGGAUGUUCAUUUAAUUCUUGUAGUAGUUCAUCCCAAUCAAAAUCAAAUUAAUACUACAAAAUAUCAAACACCAUGGUAUAAUACUACACAAAUCUCAUCUGAGUAUAUAUGUAGUACAUUUGUCUCUAGGAAUCUUGUAUUGCACCUUUUUAUUUCUUAAUUUUUUUACUAGAGGAGUACCUCUUAUACCACACACCAAUAGUAAUUGGUUCAGUUUUUUUUUUCACUUAUGAACAGAUUGGUCUGGCUACUAGUGGCGUGUCCUUUACAUGGCACUCCACUAAUAAGAUGUAGUUAGUGGGUUCCAUUUAAUACCGCACGUCAUUGGUAUUUUGUGUAGUUACAAGUGAUGUAUGAAACUAUUGUUGUGCCACAAAUAACUCCCAAGAAGCUCAAACAAUCACCACCGGGCUGACACCAAGGCUAAAAUGUGCAAAAGCUUCACAACCACAUAUCAAAUAACUCCUCUCUUCUCUUAAAAAAAUAAUACUCCAACAUCAAUCCAACACGAUAUAUGAAAAAAAACCAUCACCAAUACAAAAUUAAAACACAAAGCCAACACAGGUAAAUUCAAAACAAAACAACUUAUCACAAUAAUCUAUAGCUAUAAAAAAAGUUAUUUUCACAAGUGAGGAACGGCACGGCGAAGCGUGCGUUAGCCUCUAGUUGAGAUAGAUGCCAUCUUAGAGCAUCUACAUCCGGACUUGGCAAAUACACCCCCUAUACGUCCGCUGACGCGUCCGGACACGCCCGCGUGCGCAUCCGGACAGGCCCUCAUAUCUCGUGCCCGGCAUCCACAUAUCUCAAAUCUGGACUCUCAAAUCCAUUGCACGUCAAUCAUACACGCCAAUAUUACACGUAAAUAACAAAUGUUGGUACCGAAAAUAUAGUGUUGACAUAUAAUGUAUUUUAAGUGCACAACUCAAACAUCAACUCUUUGGUUUUUGUUGUGUGUGUCCACAUAUGCUCCACAAUAUCACUGAGUAGAUGCGCGUGCACAUGAUGAUCUCGAACAUUCAGAUGCAUCUGUAGAAACUUCAUAAGCUGAGUUGCAUCUUGAUCUUCCUGGAUUUGAACUGGUUCUCCAGACGCUUCAAAAUCAUUGGUUUGGCCAACACCAUCACCCUCAUCCUCGACAAUCAUAUUAUGCAAAAUAACACAACAUGUCAUGAGCUGCCACAAAGUUUCUGAUUCCCACAUCAUUGCAGCCCCACGAACAAUUCCCCAACAAGUUUGAAGCACUCCAAAUGCCCUAUCCAUAUUCUUCCUAACUGCUUCCUGCAUUGUUGCAAAAUGACUUUGUUUCUUGCCUCGUGGUUCGGAUAUGGUCUUCGCAAACGCCGCCCACUGAGGAUAGAUGCCAUCGACAAGAUAGUAUCCCAUGUUGUAGUCACGGCCGUUGACGGUGUAGUUGCACGGUGACGAUUCCCCAUUGCAAAGCCUCCUGAACACCGUGUUAGAAGUAUAAUUAUGUCUAGUUAGAAAUUUGGAGUUAGAGAUAAGAUAGGUUUAAACCAUAUAUGACUUGUCCUCUACUCCAAGUCUCUCUCCCUCAUAUUAUACUCUAUAUAUACCAUGCACAAGGGUUAGACCAAAACAACGAAUAUUGUAGGUUCUAUACUUUCUACAUGGUAUUAGAGUGGUUAGUCUCACGACGCCGAUCCUAGGUCUCCCCACCACUUUCGCAGCACGCCGCCCCCGGGGAGAUUAAUCUCCUCUCCGGGGGGCGCGGCAGCUGAUCAAUUAAAGAUCAGAUCGGUCUUGUAGUUCAGAUUCAAUUUCGAGUUCCCUAUCAUUAGAUCCAUAGAUCAAUUCCCUGCUAGAUUAGUUUUCAGUCGCAACAAUAAAUCUCAACGACCCUCAAAUUCUGGUGAAAAUCAGUGCAAGAUUGAGCGGCGAUCACGGUGCCACGGUCAUCUCCAUUGCGCUCCGCCGCAAGUGGUCGGCUUCAAGAUCCAAACUACACCAGCGAGCGACAUCCAGAACUCCAUCGACAACAACAACAAAAAAGCAGCGACAGAUCGCUGGGCACGCGGCGGACACGUACGUACGCCCUGGAGCAAGCAUGGGCGCUGGCGUUCCAAAGACACAGGCAUGGCCGGGCGCUAGAGCAGCCGGCCGAUGCAAUGCAACUGCUCGCAUGCGUGGCCCAGGCAGUUCUGUGGAGUGGCGCCACGCGCUCACGCGGUCAAGCCCUCCACACCAAUCGCGCCGUCUCCAACUCCGCUCAAACACAACGACAUGCCGUGAUUGCGGGAGGGAUCCGAAUUUUCCGCAUGACUCGACUCCACGUGCCCAGCCAACCUGUCGAUGCGUGCGACUGCACCGAGCCCAGCCAACCUGCCGCGACGACAACCAACACCAUGCACGCUCGGGCUCUACAUCGCCAAACUGCCCAGCCACACGCACGAACGACACCGCGGGUGGAUAGGAUGGUUACAAGAUGCAUGCGUGAUGCCUCAUUACGUGAGGUACAACAGCCUGUGAGUCUUCUACGCCUCCAUCUGCUUCACAAGAUGCGCGUCUUUCCCGGAUCGGCAUGACUGCACAGCUCGAAUCACGGGAGGAGCGAGUUCCUGCAACAUCGACGAGUGCGCGACUAGCUACACCGAGCAGACUCGGCAUCUACGAGCAGGCGCUCGACUACACCGAGCAGACUCCCGACAUAUCACCGGCCGCACCUGCACAAAGCACUCGGCGAUCGACGACUCCACCGAGCGCUGCAUCCCAGCACCAAGCUACAUCAUCUUCUGCAUGGCUGCAUCGACCGCCGCCGCCGAUCCGUACUGCACGGUUAGACCGACGCCUCUGCAUCGAGCUGAACGACAUCAAACUGUUCGACCAUGCCAGGCUACGAGCCAACGUACUUCUUCGGCAAGGCACGACAUCAACACUUCGUCGCCGUAGAGGGACGCCUUCAAACGACGCAUCAUCGUCGACACGCCGCUGCGACGCCAUCGCCGACACUUCAUCGUCAAGGUCUUCAUCAACGUGGUCUUCAUCAUCAUCGUCAACACACCGGCGCCACCUUGUCCACAAGAUGGACACCUAGCGUUCUCUGAUAAACUUUUCUGCAAGACACGACCUCGACGACGGCAAUGACCACGUCAUGACGACGGCAUCGACCGCGUCAUCCACGACGGCAUGACUGCAUCGACACAGUGUCCCUAUAGUGACGAUCCUACACGGCCACAUGGUUCUGGCAAAAUCGAUGUGUGCUCAUGGGUUACCUCCGGUCUUGGCAAAACCGGUGGACUCAUCGCCGACGGCACCCUCAGACUUUCCCAAGGUGCAUUUUGUCCACAUCUGCAGCUUCGUCAUAGCGCAUUUUUUUGCGUCUCCGGCUUAAUUUGUGCGGCUUCAUCAUCCACGACGACUACACCAUCGACCACGGCUACAUCACCAUGAUCGGCUACCUCAACAUCGACGUUAAUGGCUUGGUCUACAACAAAACAUCGGCAAAAACUCCAGUCAACAGCAUCCGUGUCGUCACUAGUGUCCACGUCACUUCCGCUGUGACUACGGGGGAAGGGGGGAUAGAGGAGUCAAGGGAGGCACCAGAAGGGGACGUAGUCACUGCCCUAGGUGCCAACCCAUCAGAGACGCAAUUGAUGAUGGUGCAGCGGAGAAGACGACGAAAGCGCAAGACUUCAAAUUUAGUCAUAAUCGUCCGCUUCACUCCCGCUACGACUGAGGGGGAAUGUUAGAAGUACAAUUAUAUUUAGUUAGAGAUUAGGAGUUAGAGAUAAGAUAGGUUUAAAACAUAUACGACUUGUCCUCUACUCCAGGUCUCUCUCCCUCAUAUUGUACUCUAUAUAUACCCUGCACAAUGGUUAGACCAAACCAACGAACAUUGUAGGUUCUAUACAUUCUACACACCGGAGAUCGUUGAAGCACGUUGAUGUCGGUGUGAGAACCCGACAUUUCAAAGAAAGAAUACCAAAUCAAUAAGUCAUGUGAUGCUACUACUUCUAGUAUGAUGAUGGCCUCUUUGGAGUGACCUUGAUACAUUCCCCGCAGGCCUUUGGGCGGUUCUUCUAUUCCCAAUGCAUGCAAUCAAUUGAUCCGGAUGGAAACCCUCUGGCCUCUUCAAUAGCCAACAACUUCUCUGUGUCCUGCGCGGUCCCAAUGCAUGCAAUCAAUUGAUCUUAGCAUUCCUGGAAACCCUCAGGCCUCUCCAAUAGCCAACAACUUCUCUUUUUCCUGCGCAUUUGUUCUCUCAGAUGCUUUGCUCCAAACACCUGCACCACGGCACGGGCAAACUUUACAGGAGUCUUCAUGCAUGUGCUCUCCCCAUCCUGAUCAUAUCCCACCAACGACAUAUGCGGUAGUACCAAGUGCGAGCAUCCUCAGAGCAGCCGUGCAGUUUUGCUUAGCAGAGAAAGAAAGUUGACCACAAUAAUCCCUUGUGAGCUUGAAGUAGUCAUCGUGUGCCUCCACUCCGUCCACAAUGCGCUAUAAAAUGGUUUCUGCAUGCGAAAAUGACGACAAAACCAAGGAACAUCCGGAAAGUUGGGUUCGAAGCAAAGUAAUCCUUCUGCAGUAGCCGUGCUCUGUACACGCAGUUCUGAUUGAUCGCUCUUCUCCCUUUGAUUGAGCCCUUGAAGUUGAGAAUAUCCUCCACUUGCAGGUCCAUUUCUUCUUGCAUGCUCAUGAGCAUUAUCAUGUCCACUUCUAUUUCCGAAACUGAGGAAUCGAAGAACUCAUCUUGAAUCAUUUGAUUAAGCUCCAUCAGUCCAUACUCCUCGUCCGAGGAACCAACGCAAUUCAUCUUCUUCCCUAAAAAUCACAAAAAAACUAGAUCGGACAAUGUGUCGAACACAUAGAGUGUAAGGGGGGCGGGAGUUAUCGGGCGUACCGCGGUGGCGUCCGGGCCGAUGACAACGUCCCGACGGCGAGGACGAGAGAGAGGAGUGUUGUGCCGGUGCUGACGGUGUAGAGGCUCGGAACGGCUGUGGAGCACUCAUUGCAGCGGAGUUGCGAGAUGGACGUCGCGGUGGAGGAAGAAGUGAGGAGAGAGCAAAUAAAUCCGGUAGGUCGCGGGAGUGGAUUUGGUGCAAUUUGCGGUGGGAUAGGUCUGUUGAGUCUGACAUGGCGGGCACGCUUUGGCGCCCCCAUACCCACCCCAUAUUUGGGCCGGAUAUGAGGGGUGUCGGUUUGCUCGGGCGUUUGAGGCACUUUCGAGGCGUCCAUCUGGGAUGCUUUUUUGUGACCGGUCAGUGACCGGACCGCCUGCCUGGGCAUUUGAGGCGGGUUUCGGGUGCCCGCCUGUAGAUGCUUUGAUAACCUGUGAACGAAAGGAGGCCCUAAUAAAAAUAACCGAAGGGACAAAAUUAAUAAGAUGUUGUGCUUGGGCUCCAGCUCUACUCCCCUCUAUCCAGGUGUGUUGGGCGUCUAAGAAGAAGCAGGAUAAUUUUAUGCGGAAGGAGAUUGGGCUAGGCAAAUAAUUUGAAUUGUACGUGGGCGUAUGUGGGGUGCGGGCGGCGCGACGACACGGGCUGGCAGCGGUGGCUGCUGGGCGUACGUGGCGUCAUCCUCUCCUGGGAUAGCGGCGGGGUCUGAUGCAGGUCUCUCCAGUGGCGUGACUGUGGCUUGCAGGCAGCCCUGCUGCUCGUGUGGCGCGGUUUCUGGUCAGGCGGCAUUAGCGGCCUGGAUCCUACUUCCAGUCCCGGGUAGAGAUGGGCGAUCCGUACACAAGACUUGAUGGAGGUUGUUCGAAUAGAUUUGGCUGACAACCUUGCGCUCGGCUAGAUGCCAAGGCUAGCGAUGGCGACGCUCAUUUGUGUCAUUCUCUUCUUGAAGACAUCGCCGUGGAGAAGUUUUAGACCUCUAUCUGAUACCUCCGGGAGAAACCUAUAUCAGUAGAUCGAAUGACGGCGGCGCUCUUGUGUCGUUUCCCCCUUGGGGGGCGUCAGUCUUGGAGGGGCGCAUGGGCUCGAGGGACCAGCGGACAACAUCUUUGGUUGAGCGGUGUUUCAUCUUACGCAUUGACGACUGUGGAUCUCAACGGCAUGGCACAGUGGAGUCUCGGCGUUCGACGUGUGUAGAUAGACUCAUGCAGGAGGAUGGGCUAUCUGGCGUCAUGGUGGCGUCGAUGGCAGACGUGGCAAUUGUUGGAAAUAUGCCCUAGAGGCAAUAAUAAAAGUGUAAUUAUUAUAUUUCUUUGUUCAUGAUAAUAGUCUUUUAUUCAUGCUAUAACUGUAUUAUCCGAAAAUCGUAAUACACGUGUGAAUACAUAGACCACAAUAUGUCCCUAGUGAGCCUCUAGUUGACUAGCUCGUUGUGAUCAACAGAUAGUCAUGGUUUCCUGGCUAUGGACAUUGGAUGUUGUUGAUAACGGGAUCACAUCAUUAGGAGAAUGAUGUGAUGGACAAGACCCAAUCCUAAGCAUAGCAUAAAGAUCGUGUAGUUCGUUUGCUAGAGCUUUGCCAAUGUCAAGUAUCUCUUCCUUUGACCAUGAGAUCGUGUAACUCCUGGAUACCGUAGGAGUGCUUUGGGUGUAUCAAACGUCACAACGUAACUGGGUGACUAUAAAGGUGCACUACAGGUAGCUCCGAAAGUAUCUAUUGUUUUAUGCGGAUCGAGACUGGGAUUUGUCACUCCGUGUAAACGGAGAGGUAUCUCUGGGCCCACUCGGUAGGACAUCAUCAUAUGCGCAAUGUGACCAAGGAGUUGAUCACGGGAUGAUGUGUUACGGAACGAGUAAAGUGACUUGCCGGUAACGAGAUUGAACAAGGUAUCGGUAUACCGACGAUCGAAUCUCGGGCAAGUAAAAUACCGCUAGACAAAGGGAAUUGUAUACGGGAUCGAUUGAGUCCUUGACAUCGUGGUUCAUCCGAUGAGAUCAUCGUGGAACAUGUGGGAGCCAACAUGGGUAUCCAGAUCCCGUUGUUGGUUAUUGACCGGAGAACUUCUCGGUCAUGUCUGCAUGUCUCCCGAACCCGUAGGGUCUACACACUUAAGGUUCGAUGACGCUAGGGUUAUAAAGGAAGCUUGUAUGUGGUUACAGAAUGUUGUUCGGAGUCUCGGAUGAGAUCCCGGACGUCACGAGGAGUUCCGGAAUGGUCCGGAGGUAAAGAUUUAUAUAUGGGAAGUCCUGUUUUGGUCACCGGAAAAGUUUCGGGCGAUAUCGGUAUUGUACCGGGACCACCGGGAGGGUCCCGGGGGUCCACCAAGUGGGGCCACCUGCCCCAGAAGGUUGCGAGGGCCAAGUGUGGGAGGGGACCAGCCCCUAGGAGGGCUGGUGCGCCCCCCACAAGGGGGCCAAGGCGCAAGGGAGAGUGGGAGGGGGCAAACCCUAGUCCAGAUGGGCCUUAAGGCCCAUAUUGGUGCGCCUCCCUCUCCUCUCCCCUCUUGGCCGCCUCCCCUUUGCCAUCUAGGGCUGGCCGCACCCCUUGGGGGUGGGAAACCCUAAAGGGGGCGCAGCCCCCCCUUCCCCCUAUAUAUAGUUGAGGUUUGGGGCUGCCAUACACAUGAGUUCUCUCCCUCUUGGUGCAGCCCUACCUCUCUCCCUACUCCUCCUCUCCCAUGGUGCUUGGCGAAGACCUGCGGGAUUGCCACGCUCCUCCACCACCACCACGCCGUUGUGCUGCUGCUGGAUGGAGUCUUCCUCAACCUCUCCCUCUCUCCUUGCUGGAUCAAGGCGUGGGAGACGUCACCGGGCUGUACGUGUGUUGAACGCGGAGGUGCCGUGCGUUCGGCACUUGAUCAUCGGUGAUUUGAAUCACGACGAGUACGACUCCAUCAACCCCGUUCACUUGAACGCUUCCGCUUAGCGAUCUACAAGGGUAUGUAGAUGCACUCUCCUUCUACUCGUAGCUGGUUUCUCCAUAGAUAGAUCUUGGUGACGCGUAGGAAAAUUUUGAAUUUCUGCUACGUUCCCCAACAGUGGCAUCAUGAGCUAGGUCUAUUGUGUAGAUUCUUUGCACGAGUAGAACACAAAGUAGUUGUGGGCGUUGAUGUUGUUCAAUAUGCUUACCGUUACUAGUCCAAUCUUGUUUCGACGGUAUUGUGGGAUGAAGCGGCCCGGACCGACCUUACACGUACUCUUACGUGAGACAGGUUCCACCGAUUGACAUGCACUUGGUGCAUAAGGUGGCUAGCGGGUGCCAGUCUCUCCCACUUUAGUCGGAACGGAUUCGAUGAAAAGGGUCCUUAUGAAGGGUAAAUAGCAAUUGGCAUAUCACGUUGUGGUCUUGCGUAGGUAAGAAACGUUCUUGCUAGAAACCCAUAGCAGCCACGUAAAACAUGCAAACAACAAUUAGAGGACGUCUAACUUGUUUUUGCAGGGUAUGCUUUGUGAUGUGAUAUGGCCAACAAGAAUGUGAUGAAUAUAUGUGAUGUAUGAGAUUGAUCAUGUUCUUGUAAUAGGAAUCACGACUUGCAUGUCGAUGAGUAUGACAACCGGCAGGAGCCAUAGGAGUUGUCUUUAUUUAUUGUAUGACCUGCGUGUCAUUGAAGAACGCCAUGUAAAUUACUUUACUUUAUUGCUAAACGCGUUAGCCAUAGAAGUAGAAGUAGUCUUUGGCGUGACAACUUCAUGAAGACACGAUGAUGGAGAUCAUGAUGAUGGAGAUCAUGGUGUCAAGCCGGUGACAAGAUGAUCAUGGAGCCCCGAAGAUGAAGAUCAAAGGAGCUAUAUGAUAUUGGCCAUAUCAUGUCACUACUCUAUUUGAUUGCAUGUGAUGUUUAUCAUGUUUAUGCAUCUUGUUUACUUAGGACGACGGUAAUAAAUAAGAUGAUCCCUUACAAAAUUUCAAGAAGUGUUCUCCCCUAACUGUGCACCGUUGCUACAGUUCGUCGCUUCUAAGCACCACAUGAUGAUCGGGUGUGAUGGAUUCUUACGUUCACAUACAACGGGUGUAAGACAGUUUUACACAACGAAAACACUUAGGGUUAACUUGACGAGCCUAGCAUGUACAUACAUGGCCUCGGAACACGGGGACCGAAAGGUCGAGCAUGAGUCGUAUAGCAGAUACGAUCAACAUGAAGAUGUUCACCGAUGAUGACUAGUCCGUCUCACGUGAUGAUCGGACACGGCCUAGUUGACUCGGAUCAUGUGAUCACUUAGAUGACCAGAGGGAUGUCCAUCUAAGUGGGAGUUCAUAAGAUGAACUUAAUUAUCCUGAACAUAGUCAAAAGACCUUUUGCAAAUUAUGUCGUAGUUCACGCUAUAGUUCUACUGUUUUAGUUAUGUUCCUAGAGAAAAUAUAGUUGAAAGUUGACAGUAGCGAUUAUGCGGACACUAGAACGCUUAUGUCCUUAAUGCACUGCUUAGUGUGCUGAACCCCAAACGUCGUAUGUGGAUGUUUCAAACAUCGAACAUACACGUUUUGAUAACUACGUGAUAGUUCAGUUAAAUGGUUUAAGUAGAGGCACCAAAGACGUUUUCGAAACGUCGCGGAACAUAUGAGAUGUUUCGAGGGCUGAAAUUGGGAUUUCAGGCUCGUGCCCACGUCAAGAGGUAUAAUACCUCCGACGAUUUUCUUAGCCUGCAAACUAAGGGAGAAAAGCUCAAUCGUUGAGCUUGUGCUCAGAUUGUCUGAGCACAACAAUCACUUGAAUUGAGUGGGAGUUAAUCUUCCAGAUGAGAUAGUGAUGUUUCUCCAAAGUCAUUGCCACCAAGCUGCAAGAGCUUCGUGAUGAACUAUAACAUAUCAGGGAUAGAUAUGAUGAUCCUUGAGGUAUUCGCGAUGUUUGACACCGCGAAAGUAGAAAUCAAGAAGGAGCAUCAAUUGUUGAUGGUUGGUGAAACCACUAGUUUCAAGAAGGGCAAGGGAACAAAGGGAUACUUCAUGAAACGGCAAUUCAGCUGCUGCUCUAGUAAAGAGACCCAAGGUUGAACCCAAACCCGAGACUAAGUGCUUCUGUAAUAAGGGGAACAGCCACUGGAGCAGAAUUACCCUAGAUACUUGGUAGAUGAGAAGGCUGGCAAAGUCGAUAGAAGUAUAUUGGAUAUACAUUAUGUUAAUGUGUACUUUACUAGUACUCCUAGUAGCACGAGGGUAUUAGAUACCGGUUCGGUUGCUAAGUGUUAGUAACUCGAAAUAAAAGGCUACGGAAUAAAUGGAGACUAGCUAAAGGAGAGCUAACGAUAUGUGUUGGAAGUGUUUCCAAGUUUGAUAUAAUCAAACAUCGCACGCUCCCUCUACCAUCAAGAUUAGUAUUAAACCUGAAUGGUUUAUUGAAUCUCGAUCGUAGUGAUACACAUUUUCAUGCCAAAAGAUAUAAGAUAGUAAUGAUAGUACCACUUACUUGUGGCACUGCCAUGUAAGUCAUAAUGGUAUAAAACGCAUGAAGAAGCUCCAUGUUGAUGGAUCUUUGGACUCACUCGUUUUUGAAAAGUUUGAGACAUGCGAACCAUGUCUAUUGGUGUAUAUGCAUGAAGAAACUCCAUGCAAAUGGACCGUUCGGACUCACUUGAUUUUGAAUCACUUGAGAUAUGCAAAUCAUACCACAUAGGCAAGAUGACUGAAAAUCCUCGGUUUCAAUAAGAUGGAACAAGAUAGCAACUUGUUGGAAGUAACACAUUUUGAUGUGUGCAGUCCAAUAAAUGCUGAGGCAUGCAGUGAAUAUCGUUAUGUUCUUACUUCACAGAUGAUUCGAGUAAAUGUUGAGAAUAUUUACUUGAUGAAACACAAGUCUGAAUUAUUGAAUGGUUCAAGUAAUUUCAGAGUGAAGUAGAAGAUCAUUGUGACAAGAGGAUAAAAUGUCUAUGAUACGAUCAUAGAGAUGAAUAUCUGAGUUACGAGUUUUGGCACACAAUUAAGACAUUGUGGAAAUUGUUUCAUAAUUAAUACCGCCUGGAACACCAUAGUGUGAUGGUGUGUCCGAACAUCAUAGUUGCACCCUAUUGGAUAUGGUGCGUACCAUGAUGUCUCUUAUCGAAUUACCACUAUUGUUCAUGGGUUAGGCAUUAGAGACAACCACAUUCACUUUAAAUAGGGCACCACGUAAUUCCGUUGAGAUGACACCGUAUGAAUUAUGGUUUAGAGAAACCUAAGUUGUCGUUUCUUAAAGGUUUGGGGCUGCGACGCUUAUGUGAAAAAGUUUCAGGAUUAAGCUCGAACCCAAAGCGGAUAAAAUGCAUCUUCAUAGGACACCCAAAACAGUUGGGUAUACCUCCUAAUUCAGAUCCGAAAGCAAUAUGGAUUGUUUCUUGAAUCGGGUCCUUUCUCGAGGAAAGGUCUCUCUCGAAAGAGUUGAGUGGGAGGAUGGUGGAGACUUGAUGAGGUUAUUGAACCGUCUCUUCAACUAGUGUGUGGCAGGGCACAGGAAGUUGUUCCUGUGGCACCUACACCAAUUGAAGUGGAAGCUUAUGAUAUUGAUCAUGAAACUUCGGAUCAAGUCACUAUCGAACCUCGUAGGACGACAAGACACGUACUACUUCGGAGUGGUAAGGUGAUCCUGUCUUGAAGGUCAUGUUGCUAGACAACAAUGAACCUACGAGCUAUGGAGAAGCGACGGUGGGCCCAAAUUCCAACAAAUGGUUAGAAGCCAUGAAAUCCGAGAUAGGAUCCAUGUAUCAGAACAAAGCAUGGACUUUGGUGGACUUGCCCGAUGAUCGGCAAGCCAUUGAGAUAAAUGGAUCUUUAAGAAGAAGACGAACGUGGACGGUAAUGUCACCGUCCAUGAAGCUCGACUUGUGGCGAAGAGUUUUUUCACAAGUUCAAGGAGUUGACUACGAUGAGAUUUUCUCAUCCGUAGCGAUGCUUAAAGUCCGUCGGAUUCAUGUUAGCAUUAGCUGUAUUUAUGAAACCUGGCAGAAGGAUAUCAAAACGAGUUUCCUUACCAGUUUUCGUGAGGAAAGAUUGUAGGUAAUACAAUCAGAAAGUUUUUGUCGAUCCUAAGGAUGCUAAAAGGUAUGCUAGCUCCAGUGAUCCUUCUAAGGACUAGAGUGAGCAUCUCGGAGUUGGAAUGUAUGCUUUGAUGAUGAUCAAAGAUUUUGGGUUUGUACAAAGUUUACGAGAAACUUGUAUUUCCAAAGAAGUGAGUGGGAGCACUAUAGAAUUUCUGAUGAGUAUAUGUUGUUGACAUAUUGUUGAUCAGAAAUGACGUAGAAUUUCCGGAAAGCAUAUAGGGUUAUUUUGAAAGUGUUUUUCAAUGGAAAGCCUGGAUUAAGCUACUUGAACAUUGAGCAUCAAGAUCUAUAAGGAUAGAUCAAAAUGCUUAAUAAUACUUUCAAAUGAGCACAUACCUUGACAUGAUCUUGAAGGUGUUCAAGAUGGACCAGUCAAAGAAGGAGUUCUUGCCUGAGUUGUAAGGUACGAAGUUAAGACUUAAAGCUCGACCACGGCAGAAUAGAGAGAAAGGACGAAGGGCGUCCCCUAUGCUUAAGACGUAGGCUCUUCAGUAUGCUAUGCUGUGUACCGCACCUGAAGUGUGCCUUGCCAUGAGUCAGUCAAGGGGUACAAGAGUGAUCCAAGAAUGGAUCACAGGACAGCGGUCAAAGUUAUCCUUAGUAACUAGUGGACUAAGGAAUUUUCUCGAUUAUGGAGGUGGUAAAAGAGUUCGUCGUAAAGGUUAGGACGAUGCAAGCUUGAUACCUAUCCGGAUAGCUCUGAGUAGAGAGACUGGAUACAUAUAAUGGAGCAAUAAUUUAGAAUAGCUCCAAGUAGAACAGUUGUUUGGAAUAGCUCCAAAUAGAGCGUGGUAGCUGCAUCUAGGAGAUGACAUAGAGAUUUGUAAAGCACACACGGAUCUGAAAGGUUCAGACCCGAUGACUAAAACCUCUCUCACAAGCAACAUGAUCAAACAUAAAACUCAUUGAGUGUUAAUCACAUAGUGAUGUGAACUAGACUACUGACUCUAGUAAACUCUUGGGUAUUAGUCACAUGGCGAUGUGACCUGUGAGUGUUAAUCACAUGGCGAUGUGAACUAGAUUAUUGACUCUAGUGCAAGUGGGAGACUGUUGGAAAUAUGCCCUAGAGGCAAUAAUAAAAGUGUUAUUAUUAUAUUUCUUUGUUCAUGAUAAUAGUCUUUUAUUCAUGCUAUAACUGUAUUAUCCGGAAAUCGUAAUACACGUGUGAAUACAUAGACCACAAUAUGUCCCUAGUGAGCCUCUAGUUGACUAGCUCAUUGUGAUCAACAUAUAGUCAUGGUUUCCUGGCUAUGGACAUUGGAUGUUGUUGAUAACGGGAUCACAUCAUUAGGAGAAUGAUGUGAUGGACAAGACCCAAUCCUAAGCAUAGCACAAAGAUCGUGUAGUUCGUUUGCUAGAGCUUUGCCAAUGUCAAGUAUCUCUUCGUUUGACCAUGAGAUCGUGUAACUCCUGGAUACCGUAGGAGUGCUUUGGGUGUAUCAAACGUCACAACGUAACUGGGUGACUAUAAAGGUGCACUACAGGUAUCUCCGAAAGUAUCUAUUGUUUUAUGCGGAUCGAGACUCGGAUUUGUCACUCCGUGUAAACGGAGAGGUAUCUCUGGGCCCACUCGGUAGGACAUCAUCAUAUGCGCAAUGUGACCAAGGAGUUGAUCACGGGAUGAUGUGUUACGGAACGAGUAAAGUGACUUGCCAGUAACGAGAUUGAACAAGGUAUCGGUAUACCGACGAUCGAAUCUCGGGCAAGUAAAAUACCGCUAGACAAAGGGAAUUGUAUACGGGAUCGAUUGAGUCCUUGACAUCGUGGUUCAUCCGAUGAGAUCAUCGUGGAACAUGUGGGAGCCAACAUGGGUAUCCAGAUCCCGCUGUUGGUUAUUGACCGGAGAACGUCUCGGUCAUGUCUGCAUGUCUCCCGAACCCGUAGGGUCUACACACUUAAGGUUCGAUGACGCUAGGGUUAUAAAGGACGCUUGUAUGUGGUUACCGAAUGUUGUUCGGAGUCUCGGAUGAGAUCCCGGACGUCACGAGGAGUUCCGGAAUGGUCCGGAGGUAAAGAUUUAUAUAUGGGAAGUCCUGUUUUGGUCACCGGAAAAGUUUCGGGCGAUAUCGGUAUUGUACCGGGACCACCGGGAGGGUCCCGGGGGUCCACCAAGUGGGGCCACCUGCCCCAGAAGGUUGCGAGGGCCAAGUGUGGGAGGGGACCAGCCCCUAGGAGGGCUGGUGCGCCCCCCACAAGGGGGCCAAGGCGCAAGGGAGAGUGGGAGGGGGCAAACCCUAGUCCAGAUGGGCCUUAAGGCCCAUAUUGGUGCGCCUCCCUCUCCUCUCCCCUCUUGGCCGCCUCCCCUUUGCCAUCUAGGGCUGGCCGCACCCCUUGGGGGUGGGAAACCCUAAAGGGGGCGCAGCCCCCCCUUCCCCCUAUAUAUAGUUGAGGUUUGGGGCUGCCAUACACAUGAGUUCUCUCCCUCUUGGUGCAGCCCUACCUCUCUCCCUACUCCUCCUCUCCCAUGGUGCUUGGCGAAGACCUGCGGGAUUGCCACGCUCCUCCACCACCACCACGCCGUUGUGCUGCUGCUGGAUGGAGUCUUCCUCAACCUCUCCCUCUCUCCUUGCUGGAUCAAGGCGUGGGAGACGUCACCGGGCUGUACGUGUGUUGAACGCGGAGGUGCCGUGCGUUCGGCACUUGAUCAUCGGUGAUUUGAAUCACGACGAGUACGACUCCAUCAACCCCGUUCACUUGAACGCUUCCGCUUAGCGAUCUACAAGGGUAUGUAGAUGCACUCUCCUUCUACUCGUAGCUGGUUUCUCCAUAGAUAGAUCUUGGUGACGCGUAGGAAAAUUUUGAAUUUCUGCUACGUUCCCCAACAGUGGCAUCAUGAGCUAGGUCUAUUGUGUAGAUUCUUUGCACGAGUAGAACACAAAGUAGUUGUGGGCGUUGAUGUUGUUCAAUAUGCUUACCGUUACUAGUCCAAUCUUGUUUCGACGGUAUUGUGGGAUGAAGCGGCCCGGACCGACCUUACACGUACUCUUACGUGAGACAGGUUCCACCGAUUGACAUGCACUUGGUGCAUAAGGUGGCUAGCGGGUGCCAGUCUCUCCCACUUUAGUCGGAACGGAUUCGAUGAAAAGGGUCCUUAUGAAGGGUAAAUAGCAAUUGGCAUAUCACGUUGUGGUCUUGCGUAGGUAAGAAACGUUCUUGCUAGAAACCCAUAGCAGCCACGUAAAACAUGCAAACAACAAUUAGAGGACGUCUAACUUGUUUUUGCAGGGUAUGCUUUGUGAUGUGAUAUGGCCAACAAGAAUGUGAUGAAUAUAUGUGAUGUAUGAGAUUGAUCAUGUUCUUGUAAUAGGAAUCACGACUUGCAUGUCGAUGAGUAUGACAACCGGCAGGAGCCAUAGGAGUUGUCUUUAUUUAUUGUAUGACCUGCGUGUCAUUGAAGAACGCCAUGUAAAUUACUUUACUUUAUUGCUAAACGCGUUAGCCAUAGAAGUAGAAGUAGUCUUUGGCGUGACAACUUCAUGAAGACACGAUGAUGGAGAUCAUGAUGAUGGAGAUCAUGGUGUCAAGCCGGUGACAAGAUGAUCAUGGAGCCCCGAAGAUGAAGAUCAAAGGAGCUAUAUGAUAUUGGCCAUAUCAUGUCACUACUCUAUUUGAUUGCAUGUGAUGUUUAUCAUGUUUAUGCAUCUUGUUUACUUAGGACGACGGUAAUAAAUAAGAUGAUCCCUUACAAAAUUUCAAGAAGUGUUCUCCCCUAACUGUGCACCGUUGCUACAGUUCGUCGCUUCUAAGCACCACAUGAUGAUCGGGUGUAGGAAAAUUUUGAAUUUCUGCUACGUUCCCCAACAGCAAUGUCUUGGCGUCAGUAUCUGCUCUGAAGAUGAAUAGGUGGAAGACGGCGGCGGCAGACUUUGAGAGUGCGUCGGACCGGUGUGUGCCCCAGACCAGGUAUAUGGCCUGGCUGGGGCCUCCGGGUUUAGAUGUUAGGCUUACGUGCGAGGUUUGUUUGGUAUUAGGCUCGGACUAUCGGCACUCCUUCAUCAAGUGGAUAGAAGUAGCAACAAAUGUUGUCAAGGUGGUGGCUUCGGACUUAUUGAUGUACUACUUUGUAAGGUCUUUAUGAAUAUUUAAUAAAGUAGCUGCAUGCAUCGCCCAGAUGCAGAGGCCGGGGGUCUUCCUCUUUUUCAAGAAAAAGAAAUCGAAUUGUAAAGGAAGCCAACCAUCACGCAAACCCCUCCUUCCAAAAUGCCGCAAUAAAUCCCCACACUAGAUAUAUCAACGCCUAAUUAAUACUCCCUUUGUCUCGAAAUAAGUGUCUCAACUUUGUACUAAAGCUAAUACAAAGUUGUAGUAAGGUUGAGACACUUAUUUUGAAACAGAGGGAGUAGAUGUUAAGAGCAUCUCCAACAACUCACAUAUCUCUAAAAUAACCACCAUUUAGGGGAAAUGAGAAAAAAACAUCUCCAACAGCUCCCGUAAAGUGGCCAUAACUUUACAGAAUCAUCAAAAUUUGCCUUUUUCCACAAGUUUACAGGAAAAACCAUCUUCUUGUAAAGUUAUAGACAUUUUAUGCGAACUGUUGGAAUGAUUUUUUGCCCCAACUUUCCAUACACUUCGCUGCCACCCGUGCUGCCCGCCGCCGCCGAUCGCCAAACUGCCUCGCAUCUGCGCUGCUACUCGCCACCGCGCCGCCUCGCACUUGCCGUCAUUGCACCGUUGCCGGUGGCCACCACAUCGCCCGUUCUCCACUAGUAGAAAAGGGGGCAAAGGUCCAGGCCGGGUCAGCCCAUUAGUCCCGAUUCAGUCCAGAACCGGGACCAAUGGGGGCAUUGAACCUGGUUCGUGAGCCCAGGGGGCCGGCCGGGCCACCUGGGCCAUUGGUCCCGGCUGGUGGGACGAACCGGGACCAAUGGGCCUCGCUCCUGGCCCACCACCAUUGGUCCCGGUUGGUCGCUUGAACCGGGACCAAAGGCUCCCCUUUAGUCCCGGUUCAUGCCGCCAACCGGGACCAAUGAGGUGCCUAUAUAUACCCCCUCGCGUAAGAGCAGAGCACACUGCUCUAUUUUUUCUGGCCGAGGGGGAGAGGGCUUGGUGGUGCUCUAGCUCACCUCCUAUGCACACAAGGUGUUCGAUGGAAUGCCCGAGCCACACUACUUAAGCUUUCUCCUCUCCAACCUCGAUCUCCAAGCUCCAUUUUCCUCAAUAUUUGUCUAGGUUUAGCGGUCCAUCAUGCCCCGUCCCCGUCUUCACCGCCGUCGAUCACCCGCGCCAAGCUCAUUGCCGGCACCACCGUGGUGAGCCUCUUGUUCUUAUCUUCUUUCUGAAAGGAAAAAAUAUUCUUACUUGUAUGUUUACAUAGAUACUUGUAUUAUUUUCUGACUUUUAUUAUUUCAUCUUAUAUAGUGCGAUGGUUUUGGUAUCCGCCCCCGUCGGCCCUCGUCCUGUCUAUGAUUCGGAUGUGGUAUAUAUAUUAUCUUUAUAACUAUUGGUUCAUUUAUUGUUUAUGAAAAUUAUGCCGACCAACGUGACAUAGAUUUUAUUCAUCUAGGAUGUAUGAGAACCGAAAAUUCCAACCGACCCUAUUGUCGAGAGGUUAAAUUUAGUUGAAGAAGAAAACAAUUUCUUGAAGGAAAAAAUAAAAAAAAUUGAGGAGGUGAAGAUGAUAUUGGAGUUGCAUGUUGCGGAUGUCGUCGAUGAUCACAAGAUCAAGAUGGAUGAAAUGCGCUUGAAGAUUAGAAAGAUUAUAAAAUAUGCCAUUCAUACCGAGGCUUGGUAUCAUUAUGCCGUUGGAUCAAUUGUUACCUUGGUUGCGAUUAUGAUCGCAUUUGCUUUCGCAUUGAAAUGUUUUACAUAGUUUCAAUGUAUGGUUUAAUUAAUUAGAUGCUCUGGAGAGCUAUAUGUUGUUAGAUGAGAACUAUGUAUGUACUUUGAUUUUAAUGUGAUGAUGAACUUCUAUUAAUUUGGACACUUAAUUAUAUAUAAUGCACGCAGAUGAGCCGGCAAUGGAUGUAUGGUGACAGACACACCUCCGAGUACAUUAAGGGCGUGCAUGAGUUUCUCGAUGCGGUUGAGGCAAACAAGCAGAAUGGUUUUAUGUGUUGUCCAUGCACUGAAUCUGGGAAUACGAUGUCUUACUCUAACCAGAAAAUCCUUCACUCCCACCUGCUUUACAAGGAUUUCAUGCCACACUAUAAUGUUUGGACGAGGCACGGAGAAAUAGAGGUUAUGAUGGAAGACAACGAAGAAGAAGAGUACGAUGACAACUAUGUGCCCCCUGAAUACGGUGAUGCUGCAACGGGGGGAGCUGGUGAAGAUCAAGAGGAACCAUACGAUGUGCCCAAUGAUGCUGCAACGAGUGAAGCUGCUGAAGAUCAAGAGGAACUAGACGAUGUGCCCGAUGAUGAUGAUCUCCGUCGGGUCAUUGUCGAUGCAAGGAUGCAAUGCGAAAGUCAAAAGGAGAAGCUGAAGUUCGAUCGCAUGUUAGGGAUCACAAAAAAAGGGUUGUACCCCAAUUGCGAAGAUGGCAACACAAAACUCGGUACCGUACUGGAAUUGCUGCAGUGGAAGGCAGAGAAUGAUGUGCCUGACAAAGGAUUUGAGAAGCUACUGAAAAUAUUAAAGAAGAAGCUUCCAAAGGAUAACGAAUUGCCCGAUAGUACAUACGCAGCAAAGAAGGUUGUAUGCCCUCUAGGAUUGGAGGUGGAGAAGAUACAUGCAUGCCCUAAUGAAUGCAUCCUCUACCGCGGUGCAUACAAGGAUCUGAAUGCAUUCCCGGUAUGCGGUGCAUUGCGGUAUAAGAUCAGACGAGAUGACCCUGGUGAUGUUGAUGGCGAGCCCCCCAGGAAGAGGGUUCCUGCGAAGGUGAUGUUGUAUGCUCCUAUAAUACCACGGUUGAAACAUCUGUUCAGAAACGGAGAGAAUGCCAAGUUGAUGCGAUGGCAUAGUGAGGACCGUAAGAAAGACGGGAAGUUGAGAGCACCCGCUGAUGGGUCGCAGUGGAGAAAAAUCGAGAAAAAGUACUGGGAUGAGUUUGCAAAGGACCCAAGGAAUGUAUGGUUUGCUUUAAGCGCGGAUGGCAUUAAUCCUUUCGGGGUGCAGAGCAGCAAUCACAGCACCUGCCCCGUGACUCUAUGUAUGUAUAACCUUCCUCCUUGGAUGUGCAUGAAGCGGAAGUUCAUUAUGAUGCCAAUUCUCAUCCAAGGCCCUAAGCAACCCGGCAACGACAUUGAUGUGUACCUAAGGCCAUCAGUUGAAGAACUUUACAGCUGUGGAAUGGAAACGAUGUACGUACGUGGGAUGAGCACAGACAGGAGGAAUUUAACCUAAAGGCUUUGCUGUUCGUGACCAUCACCCGCUCUCAGUAACCUUUCAGGACAGACAAACAAUGGAUACCACGCAUGCACACACUGUUUAGAUGACACUGAAAGUAUAUACCUGGACAAAUGCAGGAAGAAUGUGUACUUGGGUCAUCGUCGAUUUCUUCCGACCAACCAUCAAUGUCGAAAGAAAGGCAAGCAUUUCAAAGGCGAUGCAGAUCACCGAAAGAAGCCUGCCAUGCAUAUCGGUGAUCACGUACUUGCUAUGGUCAAUGAUUUACACGUAAUCUUUGGAAAGGGUCCCGGCGCACUAGCUGUUCCGAAUGAUGUUGAGGGGCACGCACCCAUGUGGAAGAAGAAAUCUAUAUUUUGGGACCUACCCUACUGGAAAGACCUAGAGGUCCGCUCUGCAAUCGACGUGAUGCAUGUGACGAAGAACCUUUGCGUGAACCCGCUAGCUUCUUGGGCGUGUAUCGGAAGACAAAAGAUACACCUGAGGCACGGGAGGACCUGCAACAUUUGCACGAAAAAGACGACAUGCCUCAGAAGCAGUAUGAAGGUCCUACCAGCUACGCUCUUACGAAAGAAGAGAAAGAAAUCUUCUUUGAAUGCCUGCUCAGUAUGAAGGUCCUGACUGGCUUCUCAUCGAAUAUAAAGGGAAUAAUAAAUAUGCCAGAGAAAAAGUUUUAGAACCUAAAGUCGCAUGACUGCCACGUGAUUAUGACGCAACUGCUUCCGGUUGAAUUGAGGGGGCUUCUACUGGAAAACGUCCGAUUAGCCAUUGUGAAGCUAUGUGCAUUCCUCAAUGCAAUCUCUCAGAAGGUGAUCGAUCCAUAAAUCGUACCAAGGCUAAGGAGUGAUGUGGCGCAAUGUCUUGUCAGUUUCGAGCUGGUGUUCCCACCAUCCUUCUUCAAUAUCAUGACGCACGUCCUAGUUCAUCUAGUCGACGAGAUUGUCAUUCUGGGGCCCGUAUUUCUACACAAUAUGUUCCCCUUUGAGAGGUUCAUGAGAGUCCUAAAGAAAUAUGUUCGUAACCGCGCUAGGCCAGAAGGAAGCAUCUCCAUGGGCCAUCAAACAGAGGAUGUCAUCGGGUUUUGUGUUGACUUCAUUCCUGGCCUUAAGAAGAUAGGCCUCCCUGAAUCGCGGUAUGAGGGGAGACUGACUGGAAAAGACACUCUUGGAAGUGACUCAAUAAUAUGCAGGGACGGAUAUUCUUGGUCUCAAGCACACUACACAGUUCUACAAAACUCUACCUUGAUGACCCCGUAUGUCGAUGAACACAAGAACAGUCUGCGCUCCAAACACCCGGAGCAGUGCGACGACUGGAUUACAUGUGAACACAUCAGGACAUUCACCAGUUGGUUGGAAACACGUCUCAGAGGUGACAACACUGUUUGUGAUGAGCUGUACUUGUUGUCCAGGGGACCAUCUUUGACUGUAUUGACUUACAAAGGAUACGAGAUAAAUGGGAAUACAUUUUACACGAUCUCCCAAUAUCAAAAGAGCACCAACCAAAACAGCGGUGUCCGCUUUGAUGCAGCAACCGAGAGGGAAAAUGACACAUAUUAUGGUUACAUAGUGGACAUAUGGGAACUUGACUACGGACAUGAUUUUAAGGUCCCUUUGUUUAAGUGCAAAUGGGUCAAUCUGUCAGGAGGCAGGGUACAAGUAGACCCACAGUACGGAAUGACAAUAGUGGAUCUGAAAAAUCUUGGGUACACUGACGAACUGUUCGUCCUAGCCAAUGAUGUGGCACAGGUUAUCUAUGUGAAGGACAUGUCUACCAAACCGAGAAAAAGAAAAGAUAAGGAAGCGAAUACAUCAUACGAUGAGCCAAAGCGCCACAUAGUUUUUCAGGAAAAAGGGACAUCCUGGGAGUGGAGGGCAAGACAUACAUGUCUGACGAUUAUGAAAAGUUUCAUGAAAUUCCUCCCUUCAAUGUCAAGGCUGACCCAAGCAUCCUGAUAAACGAUGAAGAUUAUCCAUGGUCACGGCGCAAUAAGCAAAUGACACAAGCGAAGAAAAAGUGAAGACUUUCUCCCGCAACUAUUAUGCUGAUAUCAUGCCAACUUUUAUAACACACGAGUAUGCUAUGCCAACUUUUUCAGAGUUCAUUUGAAAACUAUGAAUUUAGGUCAAAUUUUCUCUAUAGGUGCAUCUAUGUUCAUUUUUUAGUAAAGUUAAACACAAACUUGUGAUUCACACAAAUUUCAAAGAAUUCAAAUUUUAACUAUUCAAAUUUGAAAACUAAUGGCACUAACAGAAAGUUUAUAAUUUUUCUAAAACUAAUGGCACUAACAGAAAGUUUAUAAUUUUGCUGACCUAAAAGCAAAAAUAAUUAAAAAAUAAAGCAAAAAACAAAAGAAAAUAAAUAAUACAGAAAACAAAAACUGGAAAAAAUAAAAAUAGUAACCAUAAGUAUUUUGUUGUAAGUAGAAACAAAAUAAAAUAAAUAAAGCAACAAAGGAAACAAAAAAACUAAAAAAGUUUUUUCAAAUUUCAAAACUAAUGGCACUAACAGAAAGUUUAUAAUUUUUCUAAAACUAAAAGCAAAAAGAAUUAAAAAAUAAAGCAAAAACAAAAAAAUGCAGAAAACAAAACAAAAAAACUAGAAAAAAAAGUAGGGCUCGCCCCUGGCCCAUGACCAUUAGUCCCGGUUUGUGCCACAAAGCGGGACUAAAGGGUUGGUCCUCGUUGCGCUCAGAGUUUAGUCCCACCUCCCCAAUCGAAGGGCGCCCACACCAGUUUAUAAGGCCGUCCCUCUCUGCCUUGUUGAGCUCCUCUCAAAGUGAAAAUAGAUGCCCCUAUACAGGAAAUUUGACCUAAAUUCAUAACGAAUUUCAGAGAAAUUCAUAGAAAUUGAUUAUGAAUUUAGGUUGAAUUUUCUCUAUAGGUGCAUCUAUGUUCAUUUUUUAGUAAAGUUAACCACAAACUUGUGAUUCACACAAAUUUUUAAAAAUUCAAAUUUAAACUAUUCAAAUUUUAAAACUAAUGGCACUAACAGAAAGUUUAUAAUUUUUGUGACCUAAAAGAAAAAAGAAAUCACUAAAAAAUUAUAAGUAUUUAGUUCUAAGUAGAAAUGAAAAAAUAAAUAGCAAAAAAGGAAAAAAAUGCCUAUAAUAUUUGUUAUGACUAAUUAAAAUUACCAAAUUGAGUAUAAUGAUAAAACACAGUAAUAUUAAAUAGCAGGAAAAAGAAUGACUCAAAAAUCAAUUUUUAUAGUAAAGUUAUUCAUAAACUAGUGAUUCACACAAAAUUUAAAUAAUUCAAAUUUAAAGUAUUCAAAUUUUAAAACUAAUGGCACUAACAAAAAGUUUAUAACUUUUGUGACCUAAAAGGAAAAGGAAAUCACUAAAAAACUAUAAGUAUUUAGUUCUAAGUAGAAAUGAAAAAAUAAAUAGCAAAAAAGAAAAAAAUGCCAACUACUGGGCCAGCACGGCCUGAAUACGACUAGAAACCCAACCAUGGGCCAGGAUUCAGGCCCGCAGCAGGCCCAAUAGGCCCAUAGGCAUUGCAGUGUCCCAUUAGGCCCGUAAGCCUGUAGUUCAGAGGAGUUCGAAAGAGAACACAGAGUAGGGCUUAUAAACAGGUGCGGGAGCUCUUCAGCUAGCGAGGUGGGACUAAAAAUCCCACCGCACCGCACCGCGGCGCAGACCAUUGGUCCCGGUUAGACGCACGAACCGGGACCAUAGGGGGCAUUCGUACCGGUUCGUGGCACAAACCGGUACGAAUGCCUACCUAUGGUCCCGGUUUGUGGCCUCUGCUUCCCGCCCUUUGGGCUGCCGAAAUGAGACCUUUGGUCCCGGUUGGUAGCACAAACCGGGACCAUAGGGGGCAUUGGUACCGGUUCCUGCCACGAACCGAGACCAAUGCUUCAUGUAUUUAUACCCACCACUUAGCGGUUUCAGUUUACAUCGCCCAUUUCCCCCCGACGCCGCUGAGCUCAUUGCCGCCAGGCUGUCUCGCCGUCGCCGCCCACGCCAUUACCCCUGCCCCGCCCCCGAGCCCACACCGCCGCCGUCCGCUGCCCACGCCGUUGCUGUCCGCCNNNNNNNNNNNNNNNNNNNNNNNNNNNNNNNNNNNNNNNNNNNNNNNNNNNNNNNNNNNNNNNNNNNNNNNNNNNNNNNNNNNNNNNNNNNNNNNNNNNNNNNNNNNNNNNNNNNNNNNNNNNNNNNNNNNNNNNNNNNNNNNNNNNNNNNNNNNNNNNNNNNNNNNNNNNNNNNNNNNNNNNNNNNNNNNNNNNNNNNNNNNNNNNNNNNNNNNNNNNNNNNNNNNNNNNNNNNNNNNNNNNNNNNNNNNNNNNNNNNNNNNNNNNNNNNNNNNNNNNNNNNNNNNNNNNNNNNNNNNNNNNNNNNNNNNNNNNNNNNNNNNNNNNNNNNNNNNNUGCGCCCCCGAGCCCGUCUGCCGCCCCCGAGCGCGCCCUGCCUCGCCGUCGUCGCCGAGCGCGCCCCGCCGUCGCCCUCGCUGACCCCGAGCCCGUCCUCGUUGUCGUCGCCCCCGACGCUGGCCGCCCGCGUCUCCUCCCCGAUCCCGCCGGGAGAGGUAGCUACCGCCCCAUCCUCCCCCUUCCUUCCUUCCCCUGCUCCUUUGCAAAAUAUUGAUAUGAUGAAAUUUUUGUUCAUAUAUACUGUAGAGUUGGGGAGAAUAUAGCUCCUUUGCAAAAUAUUGAUAUGAUGAAUGAGGAGGGUCAUGUGUAUGUAUGUAUGUGUGUAUGUAUAUGUAAAUAUUGAUACGAUGAAAUUUUUGUUCAUAUAUACUGUAGAUGUAUGUAUGAUGAAUUUUGAUAUUUUUUUGUUCAUAUAUAAUGUAUGUCUAUGUAUGUAUGGAAUGAUAUCGAUGGAUAUAUGUAUAUAGAACAUUCGUAGAAAAUAUGACGAAUCCGAUAUGACCAAUGUCCCCCUACGGUUCACUCGGGAACACUAACUCUCUCGGAGAAAAAAAGUUAUCGGGGAGAAAAAAAAGUUCUAGGAUCGUCAAGGGGUUGAGAGGGGGUUGAGGGUCGCCGAGGGGUCAAGGGUCGAGAGGGGGUCGAGGGUCGCCGAGGGGUCGAGAGUCGAGAGGGGGUCGAUGGUCGCCGAGGGGUCGAGGGUCGAGAGGGGGUCCAGGGUUNNNNNNNNNNNNNNNNNNNNNNNNNNNNNNNNNNNNNNNNNNNNNNNNNNNNNNNNNNNNNNNNNNNNNNNNNNNNNNNNNNNNNNNNNNNNNNNNNNNNNNNNNNNNNNNNNNNNNNNNNNNNNNNNNNNNNNNNNNNNNNNNNNNNNNNNNNNNNNNNNNNNNNNNNNNNNNNNNNNNNNNNNNNNNNNNNNNNNNNNNNNNNNNNNNNNNNNNNNNNNNNNNNNNNNNNNNNNNNNNNNNNNNNNNNNNNNNNNNNNNNNNNNNNNNNNNNNNNNNNNNNNNNNNNNNNNNNNNNNNNNNNNNNNNNNNNNNNNNNNNNNNNNNNNNNNNNNNNNNNNNNNNNNNNNNNNNNNNNNNNNNNNNNNNNNNNNNNNNNNNNNNNNNNNNNNNNNNNNNNNNNNNNNNNNNNNNNNNNNNNNNNNNNNNNNNNNNNNNNNNNNNNNNNNNNNNNNNNNNNNNNNNNNNNNNNNNNNNNNNNNNNNNNNNNNNNNNNNNNNNNNNNNNNNNNNNNNNNNNNNNNNNNNNNNNNNNNNNNNNNNNNNNNNNNNNNNNNNNNNNNNNNNNNNNNNNNNNNNNNNNNNNNNNNNNNNNNNNNNNNNNNNNNNNNNNNNNNNNNNNNNNNNNNNNNNNNNNNNNNNNNNNNNNNNNNNNNNNNNNNNNNNNNNNNNUAAUAUUAUUUUCCCAUGUACGUAUGUCGUGUCGAGAUAAACUCCCGAUAACUUCAACACGUGGGGGGGGGGUCGAUAUACCCCCUCCUGAUAACUUCAACACGUGGGGGGGGGGUCGAUAUACCCCCUCCUGAUAACUUCAACACGUGGGGGGUCGAUAUACCCCCUCCCCGAUAAUAUUAUUUUCCCAUGUACGUAUGUCGUCGUUGUCGAUAUACCCCAAACCCUUGAAGCGUUGUCGAGGCCACCCCAAACCCUAGAGAAGCAGCGUCGAGGCCACUAAUUAAUAUUAGUUCUACGUUUGCCACUAAUAUAUCCAUCUGUCAUGUUUGAAUAAUAAUUGCCAUGUUGUAAAUAUUUGUAGAAACUAUGGACACCGCCCGAGACGAAGUACAAGAAGAGUUGUUGGGGGACAUAAUCGCACGAGGAAGUGAUGCCGUCUGCUCGUUGCUUCUCAACGACACCGAUGGUCUGGAAGCAGCUGGCUAUGAUUAUGAUGGCUCCGAUGACCCAAUGCCGGUGCAAGAAGGAGACCAUGAGGACGGCUCCGGUGACCCAAUGUCGGUGCAAGAAGGAGACCGUGAUGACGGCUCCGGUGACUGAACCGAGUUCGGCCAGGUAUAUAUAUUAGUUAAGCCUGUGCUGAUUAGCUAAUUGAUGCAUUCAUUGUUUUGGUAUGUACACAUAUUAAUUAAGUCUUUCUUCUUUUUUCUAGCCCCCCGGAUCGAGCACAACUUCGGUAAAGAGACGAGGCCCGAAGAACAAGUUGAGCUCGGAUGAAAGGUUUGAGAUCAUAGCAAUCGCGCCCGAUGGCCAACCGAUUGAACCCAUCCGGACAAAGAACACAUUUGUUGCUCAGUGUGGGGUUCUGGUUAGGGACAAGAUCCCGAUCAGCAUCCAACAAUGGUUAAAGCCGGCUACAGAAGACCCUGAGGUGUCUUAUGUCAAUGAUAUGCAGAAAAAUGAUCUUGGGACUGAGCCGAAGUCAAAUUUCACCCUACUAGGAAUGAACGACGAGCUGAGAAACAAAUUGCCCAGCUCGGCGAACAAGCGAAGCAAUCGUGUCCCCCGCUCAAGGUGCCUAGCGACAUCGUCGCUAAUGAUCCGAGGAUGGUGCCCAGUUAUAGCAAUCUUGGAGAUUACCUGCCCGGCGAUGUACAUUAUGAUUUUUUGGAGGUGCAGAUACAAAGAUACAAGUACGGGAAGCCUCUCAUCAAAGAUGAAAUAUCUCUAUCAACGAUGAUGUUAAGAUUGCAUGAUUGGUACUUGAAAAUCUGCAGAGAGUCUGGGGGGGAGGAAUACUUUGUAUGUGAGAGUUAAAAAGGAGCAUGACCUCGUUGGAAUUGAGCUGUUGCCUAUUCCAUUUAAGGAGUUCUUUCAGUUUUUCAAUCAAUUGGCCCUCGAUAAAGCAACGGUCACAUUCUACUGUCUAUAAGUAGUAUUACUUCUGUCAUUAAGUCUCUCUAUAUAGCUCAGCUCUUUCAUUGCAUGUAUUUAUAAUUAUCCUCACUAUAUUAUGCAGAUUGAAGAUCGUCGAAUUGAAGAAAAGACAAGUCGGUGAUAUUGGGUUCAUUAACACAAAUCUCAUAGAUGCAACUGAGGUUAAAUUUCAUACCGCAGAUACCGAGGCCAACUUGGUACGAUCGUUGGUAAUAAAUGAAAACAAAGAUAUAAUACUCUUUCCUUACAACUUCAAGUGAGUGUUACUGUCUUGUGCAUAUUCGGUUUCCCUUAUAUAUUAGUCAAGGUUAUAGUAAUGUAAUUGAUGAGUUAUGCAUAUGUGCGCAGGUUCCACUAUAUUCUCCUAGAGAUUAAGCUUGAGUAGGGAGUAGUAACUGUCUUGGACUCUAAACGAAAAGAUCCCCCGGAGUAUGCGGACAUGACUCAAAUACUCGAGAAGUAAGUUAAAUCGAUCAUUAUCCACCAUAUCAGAAACUUUGUUCAUUUCUGAUAUCAAGUAAUUGUUUUCUUUGUCUCGCAGGGUUUGGAGAAAAUUCACCAAAAAAGCUCCGGGACUGCCGAAGAAGCUGGAAUUUAGACACCCAAAAGUAAGUACUAUAGUAGCAUGUUCCGCGCAUCUCCUAGUGAUUCAAGCGCUAGUUUCAUCAAUACCAUUUGGCAUUCUUGCUUAUUAGUUUGAUUGACCUCUAUUUCUUGUAAAGUGAUUGUGGCAGGAACAAGGGAAUGAUUUCUGUGGAUACUACAUUUGCGAGUCUAUCCGCCACACGACCUGUGAGUGGGGCUACUCUGACGAACAAUAUGAAGUGCGUAAAUAACAAUAUUCACAAUUUUAUUUUAUUUCCAUCAUUUGUGUUGAGUUUCAUUCAUUCAUAUAUAUAUGUAUUGACCCCCUUCUUCAAAUUAGAUGUUUCGGAUGCGGGAUGAACUCCUAGCACCAGCUCGCAUGCGAGCAAUUCAAGAGGAAUUGGCGGCAUUCUUUGUUGACCACGUGAUCGCUGAAGACGGAGAAUACUAUGUGGACCAUGCGUCCGUAUGAUUAUAUUUGUAAGAGUUAAUUAUUAUAUAUAUGUAGCCGGUAGUGUCGGAUAGAUAUACGAGAACUUAUUGUUCAACCAAUCUAUUGGAGAAGGAGAGGUGGUCGAUAUCACUUCUCUCUGUAUGCAUAUAUGUUCAUGACGAUCUUCUGUUUCCUUCGUUUGCUUACUAGCUAGCUAGCGUGUCUAGUCCUCUCUAUACGUAUGUAUAGUAUGUAGCGUCAACCAAGCACGGACAUAAGAGAGGACACUUCUCUCUAUUAAUUAGCUAGCUAACACAAUAUAUGAAACACCUAAAUUAACCCCCCAAACCCCCAAACCCCUCCCCCCCUUUCAAAAAACAAAAACAAAAACCCCAGCCACAGAAAUACUGACGCGUGGAUGCCUAUUACACUAGUAGAAAAAGAGGCUUCCGUCCAGCCCCAUUAGUCGCGAAACUGUAGGAACCGCGACUAAUGAAGUCUUUAGUCGCGGUUCGGCAGACGAACCGCGACCNNNNNNNNNNNNNNNNNNNNNNNNNNNNNNNNNNNNNNNNNNNNNNNNNNNNNNNNNNNNNNNNNNNNNNNNNNNNNNNNNNNNNNNNNNNNNNNNNNNNNNNNNNNNNNNNNNNNNNNNNNNNNNNNNNNNNNNNNNNNNNNNNNNNNNNNNNNNNNNNNNNNNNNNNNNNNNNNNNNNNNNNNNNNNNNNNNNNNNNNNNNNNNNNNNNNNNNNNNAUGUCAAAAAAAAAAAAGAAAAUAAGUUUUUCAUGUGAUAUGUGGUCUAGUUGUUGGGAAAAUUUGCAAAUGUGAAUUUUGACUUUAUUUGCAAAAUCUCUCUGAAAUUUGUAAAAAUGGGCAUAACUUUUGCAUACUAACUCGGAUGAAAAAGUUUUUUAUAUGAAAAAUCAUCUACUCAAAAAGUUACAUCCAAAUUUAACAGGGGGAACUCCGUUAAACAUUUUCAAAAUCCUCAAAAACCUAAUAGAAAAAAAGUUACGGGGCUUGUAAGAUCUAGAGUGGAAAAAAUUGAAAAAUAUUCAAACAGUGGGCAAACUAUGGUCAAACAAUGGUCAAACUAAUUAUUCUAGAAUAUUAGUGUUACUAAAUAAUUAUUUUAAUUAUUUCAAUUUUGGUCAAAUCUGGUCAAACUGUGGUCAACUGUGGUCAAACUGUGGUCAAACAAUGGUCAAACUAAUUAUUCAAGAUAUAUUAGUGUUACUAAAUAAUUAUUGUUUUUUAAAACAAUAGUUUCAAACUCAAACAGUGAAAUGUGUCACUUCAUGCUCAAGCAAAAUUCCUGAAGGUUAAUAGGAUUGACAUCUUAUUAUUGUCAGGAAAACAACAAGUGCAGACUUGGAGCGUGGGAGAAUAGAACCCGGAAGUUAAGCGUGCUUGGGCUGGAGUAGUGAGAGGGAUGGGUGACCGGUUGGGAAGUUAGAUGAUUUGGAAUGAUGAGGGGUGGUGAUUAGAGACUAGAGGUUAAAAUAAUUCAGAAAUUUGAAAAAAAAAUUCAAUUUUUUUUUUCAAAAACCUGUGGCGGCCUUUAGUCGCGGUUAACCACAAGAACCGCGACUAAAGGUCCUCCGCCCACGUGGACGGGCCUUUAGUCGCGAAGCAACCGCGACUAAAGGGGGGGGCCUUUAGUCGCGCCCGUCUGGUCGCGGUUGCGCAACCGCGACUAAUGGCAGUUGCGAACCGCGACCAAAGGCCCUUUUUCCACCAGUGUUAGUUCCGGUUGGUGCCACCAACCGGGACCAAAGGUCCUCCUGCCUGGGCUCCGCGCACAGGCCACGUGGAGGCCCAUCUGUCCCGGUUCUGGACUGAAAUGGGACUAAAGGGAUAGGACAUUAGUAACGACCCUUUAGUCCCGGUUCAGGAACCGGACAAAAGGCCCUUACGAACCGGGACAAUAGGCCUGUUUUCUACUAGUGCUCACGUGUGUCAUUGACUGGCGGGUCCUAGGCAAUAGUUGCUCUUUUGUUUAAUUAAAAAUAAAAUAAAAUGAUUAGGGGGAGAGGUUUAUGGGAACUGACAAAAGUUGCUCUCGAAUAACUUCGCCAAAACUUUAAGGUCAUCCCGUAAAACAAGUUUUACUUGAAAUGUCUUAAGGGAGCUAUUGGAGUUGCUUUGGGAGGAAGAGGACCGCAUGCGUUGGUCCCAGGGCGAACCCCCCACUCAAAUUUCUAGCCCAUGCAUACUUUGACAGUAGUAUAUUGCUUUGCCCCACUUAGCCUGUAUUCUUUGCCCCCACCCUUUCUAUAUUUCUGCUUACAUUCUCAAAGCCCAUGUAACACAACAAAUAAUACGAUGCCUCAGCCCAUGCUAAUGGGGACUGUUCACAUAAGAAUGCUGGGCUGCCAGCCUACGCACGCGAUACAAGCAUCGAUUUACGAACACGAUCACUAGGCAACAUUCAAUACAAAAAGCCAGGCACCACAGGCCUACGGAGAUGCAAAUCACCUCCUGCCAACACCCUCAGCCUCUGCCGAUGCGCGGUCACGCACUACGGCCCUCACCACCCCGCCUUUGUCAAUUACUCAACUGUGGUUGCACUCCGCCGUGGAUUGCCGUUCUUUACUCCUAGAACCGGAUCAUCGCAGCCAGUGUGUGCGAAUUAUACGACAUCGAUCAAGGAAAGCCCUCGGGUUCUUCCUCUGUCCUUCUUAUUCAUUUUAGUUCCAAUUUCAGCAUUAUUUUUCAUUUCUAAUUUCUAAGAUAGAAACUGAGUGAGUGUUAUGAAAAUAUCAACCCUGUAUAUCUACUAUAUCACUAAGCUCCCUAGGAGUAAAUGGCCUCACAAUCAAUUGAGGCGCCCAAUUAAAAUUGUGUCACCCGAUUUUGAUCAAGUCAACAAUUUCUCAAUGCUCUCAUUCAAUUCUUUUAUCUAUUGUAUCACUAAACACCCUAGGGAUAAAAGGCCCCACAAUCAAUUGAGGUGCCCAGCUGGAAUUGGUCACUCGUUUUGAUCAAGUCAAUAAUUUCUCAAAGCUCAUUCAAUUCUUUUAUAGUAUACACUAUGCUUUCUAAUUUUUAAGUCCUCACAAUUAAUUGAGGUCUUCAGUUUAGAACUAGGUCACCUGAUUUUGACCGGGUCAAUAUUUCUAAAGGAGCUCUCCCAUUUAAUUAUUUUAAUUCAUCAUAUUCCCAAAUUUUGAAGCUCUUUUAUUCGAUUGAGAUAUUUAAUUUUGAUUUUGGUUUACGAUUUUAAUCGGGCCAAUGAUUUUUCAAAUCAACACCAACCGGCUAGAAAAACAUAUCAACCCCGUGCAACCCUCUUACCACCUAGAAAAAAGAAGUGACACCAUGUGAGCAUACUAUAGGACCAAUAUAGUACAUGUAACCACCGACGUAAAAAUUUACCCACAAAACUAUGAGUUGAUUAGCGCAUAACACAUAAUCACACCACGAAAGACCCACCAAAUAACUGCAUUAUAAAUACAAACAUAAAACACACUCCAUCGUCUGCCUCAUCCGCCAAACUAAAUAUUCCAUCAAUUCCAAAAUACAAAGGGUAUUAGUUCUUCGGAAAGUCAAAUUUCUUUAACUUUGACCAAGUUUAGAGCCAAAAAUAUCAACAUCCACAAUAUUAAACCAAAAAAUUAUGGAAAUUCAUUUCAUGAUGAAUCUAAUAAAACCAAUUUGAUAUUAUGAAUUUUGAUGCAUUUCUUUCUAAAUUUCAUCAAACAGAAAGAGGUUUGACUUUUUAGAAAAGUAAUACUACACCUUAUAUUUUAAGGCAAAGCGAGUAUUUUUUUUAAGAAUCUCAACAACACCAACGGUGUAGCAAAGCGCGUCCAACCCUUCUAGUAAUGUACCAAUUGGGAAUGAGGUUGAUUGGCUCUAGCUUCACUAUUAAUUUUACAUAAAAUACGUUUGAGUAUUUUAGAGUAGAAUAAACCCUGUAGAAAUUUUCCACUUUCAUACAUGGCAGUUUAUUCAAUAUUUUAACAAUUUAUUCAAGAAGAUAAAUAUUCUAGUAAAAAUAUAUAUUCUGCUGUGCAAUUUAGGAACAACAUAUUGAUAUAUCCCAACUUAGUUUUUCUAAAAUGGUUAGUUUACUUACUUCUGAGAUGGACUGUAUCAUAAUUUUGUGUAGUAAAACUAAGAGUUAUGGAGAUUAAUGCACCUAUAAUGACAUACACGACUUACACUUCUUGAAUUCAGGAUUCACUUAGGCUAGUCAUAGUGGGACUAACUUAGCUAGUAACAUAACACACUUCAAGAACAUUCUGCUUAUGUGGCAAGUAAUUAAUGAGAUGUGGUAACAUAAUACAUUCCUGUAACAUAGCGCUUUUCAAGACAAGAUGAGUUUACGAGCUAAUAAAUGAAGCCUUAUAUGAUACUACUAUUAUGUUACUUUGCAUUAUGAAGAUAGUAACUUAGACUAGUGUCAUAUGCAUGACACUAGUCUAAGUUACUCCCCACUAUGACCAGCCUUAGACUAGUCACAGUGGGGAGUAACUUAGAGUAGUAACAUGCAUAUGUUAUUAGUCUAUAUUACUACCUCAACAGUAGAUAGUAACAUAUGUGUUGUGCCAUGCAUCACUUUAUUUAUUAGAUUGCAGACUCAUCUUUUAUUGAUAUGUGUGAUGUUACAGUAACCAGCUAUCACUGGUAGAAAAAGGACCUGUUGUCCCAGUUCGUAAGGGCCUUUUGUCCCGGUUCCUGAACCGGGACUAAAGGGUCGGUACUAAUGCCCUGUCCCUUUAGUCCCGAUUCAAUCCAGAACCGGGACUGAUGGGCCUCCACGUGGCCUGUGAGCGGAGCCCAGGCAGGAGACCCUUUGGUCCCGGUUGGUGGCACCAACCGGGACCAAUAGGCAUCCACGCGUCAGCAUUUCUGUGGCUGAAGUUUUUGUUUUUUUUGAAGGGGGGGGGGGGUUGGGGGUUUUGGGGGGUUAAUUUAGGUGUUUCAUAUAUUGUGUUAGCUAGCUAUAAUUAAUAGAGAGAAGUGUCCUCUCUUAUGUCCGUGCUUGGUCGACACUACGUACUAUACAUACGUAUAGAGAGGACUAGACACGCUAGCUAGCUAGUAAGCAAACGAAGGAAACAGAAGAUCGUCAUGAACAUAUAUGCAUACAGAGAGAAGUGAUAUCGACCACCUCUCCUUCUCCGAGAGAUUGGUCGAAGAACAAGUUCUCGUAUAUCUAUCCGACACUACCGGCUACAUAUAUACAAUAAUUAUCUCUUACAAAUAUAAUCAUACAGACUCAUGGUCCACAUAGUAUUCUCCGUCUUCAGCGAUCACGUGGUCAAGAAAGAAUGCCGCCAAUUCCUCUUGAAUUGCUCGCAUGCGAGCUGGUGCUAGGAGUUCAUCCCGCUUCCGAAACAUCUAAUUUGAAGAAGGGGGUCAAUACAUAUAUAUAUGAAUGAAUGAAACUCAACACAAAUGAUGGUAAUAAAAUAAAAUCGGGAAUGUUGUUAUUUACGUACUUCAUAUUGUUCGUCAGUGUAUCCCCGCUCACAGGUCGUGUGGCGGAUGGACUCGCAAACGUAGUAUCCACAUAAAUCAUUCCCUUGUUCCUGCCACAACCACUUUACAAAAAAUAGAGGUCAAUCAAACUGAUAAGCAAGAUUUCCAAAUCAAUAGGAGAUGCGCGGAACAUGCUACUAUAGUACUUACUUUCAGGUGUCUAAAUUGCAGCUUCUUCGGGAGUCCUGGAGCUUUUUUGAAGAAUUUUUUCCAAACCCUGCCAGACAAAGAAAACAAUUACUUGAUAUAUCAGGAAAUGAACAAAGUUGCUGAUAUGGUGGAUAAUGAUCGAUUUAGCUUACUUCUCGAGCAUUUGAGUCAUGUCCGCAUAGUCCUGGGGAUCUUUUCGUCUUGAGUCUAAGACGGUUACUAGUCCCUGCUCAAGCUUAAUCUCUAGGAGAAUAUAGUGGUAACUGCACACGCAUGCAUAACUCAUCAAUUACAUUACUAUAAUCUUGACUAAUAUAUAAGGGAAACUGAAUACGCACAAGACAGUAACACUCACUUGAAGUUGUAAGGAAAGAGUAUUAUAUCUUUGUUUUCAUUUAUUACCAACGAUCGUAGCAAGUUGGCCUCGGUAGCUGCGGCAUGAAAUUUAACCCGAGUUGCAUCUAUGAGAUAUGUGUUAAUGAACCCAAUAUCACAGACUUGUCUUUUCUUCAAUUCGGCGAUCUUCAAUCUGCAUAAUAUAGUGAGGAUGAUUAUAAAUACAUGCAAUGAAAGAGCUGAGCUAUAGAGAGAGACUUAAUGACAGAAGUAGUACUACUUACAGACAGUAGCAGGUGACCGUUGUUUUAUCGAGGGCCAAUUGAUUGAAAAACUGAAAGAACUCCUCAAAUGGAACAUGCAAUAGUUCAAUUCCAACGAGGUCAUGCUCCUUUUUAACUUUCACAUACAAAGUACUCCUCCCCCCAGAGUCUCUGCAGAUUUUCAAGUACCAAUCAUGCAAUCUUCGCAUCAUCGUUGAUAGAGAUCUUUCAUCUUUGGCGAGAGGCUUCCCGUACUCGUAUCUUUGUAUCUGCACCUCCAUGAAAUCAUAAUGUACAUCGUCGGGCAGGUAAUUGCCAAGAUUGCUAUAACCGGGCACCAUCCUCGGAUCAUUAGCGACGUUGUCGCUUGGCACCUUGAGCGGGGGGCACGAUUGCUUCGCUUGUUCGCCGAGCUGGGCAAUUUGUUUCCCAGCUCGUCGUUCUUUCAGCCUUUGAUCACUGACAGUACUUCCUGACCGCUCCGCUUCGGCAAAUUCCUUUCCAAUAAUGCGCUCAUAGUUUCCUUUCGGCGGAGACUUGGGUGGUUUUGUCAGGGCAGCCAGAGUGCGCUUUGCUUUCACCGGAUCUACCUUCUCCUCCGGAGGUGGAUGUUUCUUUGCUUUCACCCUUUCAAAGUAGUUCCUCACUUCUUCUUGUGUGAUCUCGGUGUUCUCCUCCGGGGUCCUCUCGUAUGGUAACUUCUCUGGAGUCUUCAGAGAAGGACCAAAUCUGUAUUUCCUCCCGCCUCUGGCUGUACUGCUAGAUGCCGGCAGAGCAGACGGAGCGGUUGUCUUCUUUACUUGCUUACGAGGCAGAGGAGAAUGACUACGAUGCGCCGGAGCAGCCGGAGCGGCGGCAGGUCUCUUCCGCCCUUGCUGACGAGGCGGAGAAGGAGGAGGCUGGCUGCUCGGGUGCGUCCGCGCAGGCGGAGAAGGAGGCGGAGUGCCGCCACGCGCCGGAGAAGGAGCCGGUCGAGUGCCCUGAUCGUCACUCGCUGGAGGAGGAGGCGGUGGAGGAGGCUGGGUGCCCUGACUCGCCGGAGGAGGAGGCGGUGGAGGAGGUGGAGUGCCCUGACUUGCCGGAGGAGGAGGAGGAGGCGAAGGCGUCCACUUCGGAAGGUUGAUGAGCUCCUUCGGCCAUAGGCAUGGAGUCUUCAGAGCAGACCCCAGCCUAGUCUCCCCUUCACCGGUAGGGUGGUCAAGCUGGAGGUCCUCAAAUCCCUCCGUUAUUUCAUCCACCAUCACCCUAGCAUAUCCUUCUGGAAUCGGUCGGCAGUGAAAAGUUGCGUCGGGUUCAGUAGGAUAAACAGAGCCAACAGCCGCCUUGACCUUUAAAUUCAUCCAUUGCGUCAUAAGGUGGCAAUUUUGAGACUCUGUGAUAGCAUCCAUGGGAUAGCUGGCAGGAGCCGUCAAGGCAUGCUCUGGCUGAAGCAGCUCGGUGGAAGCCACGCUGCUUCUCUGCUGAGAUGGUGGGGUAGCUUCGGGGGAAGCUUCGGCAGUACGUUUGCUGCGAUUUGCUUCUCGUUCCUCUAUCGCUUGUACCCUUGAUUGCAGCGCCUGCAUUUGGGUCUGCUGCAAUUUUUUCCUCCUCUCCUGGAAUUUAUAACCGCCUACGUCCGGAAACCCAACCUUCCACGGAAUGGAGCCUGGCGUGCCUCGUGUCCGUCCAGGGUGCUCAGGAUUCUCGAGGGCCAUUGUGAGCUCGUCGUUCUCUCUAUCCGGAAAGAACGUCCCUUGCUGCGCUGCUUUGAUAUACUGCUGAAGCUUCCUGACUGGUAUGUCCAUUUGAUCGUUCGUCCAAAUGCACUUCCCUGUUACAGGGUCCAAGGUUCCGCCAGCCCCGAAGAACCAAGUCCGGCAACGGUCUGGCCAGUUAAUUGUCUCUGGUUCGAUCCCUUUAUCAACCAGAUCAUUCUCAGUCUUGGCCCACUUAGGCCGGGCUACGAGGUAGCCACCUGACCCCGUGCGAUGGUGAUGCUUCUUCGUCGCAGCAUUUUGCUUGUUUGUCACCGACAUCUUCUUACUCUUUUCCGAUGUCCUGUGGGCCACAAAUGCAGGCCAGUGAUCUCUGAUCUUCUCAUAUCUGCCCUUGAAUUCUGGUGUCUCUUUAUUUUCGACAAACUUAUUCAGCUCUUUCUUCCACCUCCUGAAUAGUUCUGCCAUCCUCUUAAGAGCAAAAGACUUGAUUAAUUGCUCUUUAACUGGCUUCUCUGGAUCAUCCUUUGGCGUCACCGGAGACGUCAUCACGGUCUCCUUCUUGCACCGGCAUUAGGUCACCGGAGCUAUCAUAAUCAUAGCCAGCUGCUUCCAGACCAUCGGUGUCGUUGAGAAACAACGAGACGACGGCAUCACUUCCUUGUGUGAUUAUGUCCCCCAACAACUCUUCUUGUACUUCGUCUCGGGCGGUGUCCAUAGUUUCUACAAAUAUUGACAACAUGGCAAUUAUUAUUCAAACAUGACAGAUGGAUAUAUUAGUGGCAAACGUAGAACUAAUAUUAAUUAUUGGCCUCGACGCUGCUUCUCUAGGGUUUGGGGUGGCCUCGACACUGCUUCUCUAGGGUUUGGGGUGGCCUCGACAAUGCUUCAAGGAUAAAAAAAGAAGAGGAAGAAGAAGAAAAAAGAGGAGAAGAAAGAAUAGAGGAGUUCUUCUUCUUUCUUCUCUUUUUUUCUUCUUCUUCCUCUUUUUUUUAUCGGGAACGAGGGUCGUCAAGGGUCACCGAGCGGUAGACGAAACCCUAAAUAGCAAGUAUCGUGGGUGUGAGAUACAUGUGGCCGUCGGUGUCGGACACUACAUCCACGUCNNNNNNNNNNNNNNNNNNNNNNNNNNNNNNNNNNNNNNNNNNNNNNNNNNNNNNNNNNNNNNNNNNNNNNNNNNNNNNNNNNNNNNNNNNNNNNNNNNNNNNNNNNNNNNNNNNNNNNNNNNNNNNNNNNNNNNNNNNNNNNNNNNNNNNNNNNNNNNNNNNNNNNNNNNNNNNNNNNNNNNNNNNNNNNNNNNNNNNNNNNNNNNNNNNNNNNNNNNNNNNNNNNNNNNNNNNNNNNNNNNNNNNNNNNNNNNNNNNNNNNNNNNNNNNNNNNNNNNNNNNNNNNNNNNNNNNNNNNNNNNNNNNNNNNNNNNNNNNNNNNNNNNNNNNNNNNNNNNNNNNNNNNNNNNNNNNNNNNNNNNNNNNNNNNNNNNNNNNNNNNNNNNNNNNNNNNNNNNNNNNNNNNNNNNNNNNNNNNNNNNNNNNNNNNNNNNNNNNNNNNNNNNNNNNNNNNNNNNNNNNNNNNNNNNNNNNNNNNNNNNNNNNNNNNNNNNNNNNNNNNNNNNNNNNNNNNNNNNNNUUUAUCGGAAACAAGGGUCGUCGAGGGUCAGGGUCGUCGAACGGUAGAGGAAACCCUAAAUAGCAAGUAUCGUGGGUGUGAGAUACAUGUCGCCGUCGGUGUCGGACACUACAUCCACGUCCCACAAGUGACGUGGGCGUCGAAGCCCGCGCCACUUGUGGGACGUGGCUGUAGUGUCCGACACCGACGGUACAUGUAUCUCACACCGACGAUACUUUCUAUUUAGGGUUUCCUCUACCGCUCGGCAACACUCGACGACCCUCGUUCCCGAUAAAAUAAAGAGGAAGAAGAAGGAAAAAAAGAGAGGAGAAGAAAGAAUAGAGGAGUUUCUCCUCUAUUCUUUCUUCUCCUCUUUGUUUUCUUCUUCUCCUCUAUUCUUUCUUCUCCUCUCUUUUUUCAUCUUCCUCUUCUUUUUUUAUCCUCUUCUUCCUCUCAUGUUCGACGACCCUCGACCCCUCGGCGACCCUAGACCCCCUCUCGACCCCCUCAUGUCAAAGUUACCGAGUAGGGGGUAUAUCGACAACGACAUACCCGAUACAUACAUACAUACAUACAUAUCACAUGCAUCCAUACAUAUAUGAACAAAAUUAAUAUCUACUAAUUAACAACCUAAAUAAAAAAACUAAUACAUAUAGGAAGAAGAAGAAAAAAGAAGAGAAGAAAGNNNNNNNNNNNNNNNNNNNNNNNNNNNNNNNNNNNNNNNNNNNNNNNNNNNNNNNNNNNNNNNNNNNNNNNNNNNNNNNNNNNNNNNNNNNNNNNNNNNNNNNNNNNNNNNNNNNNNNNNNNNNNNNNNNNNNNNNNNNNNNNNNNNNNNNNNNNNNNNNNNNNNNNNNNNNNNNNNNNNNNNNNNNNNNNNNNNNNNNNNNNNNNNNNNNNNNNNNNNNNNNNNNNNNNNNNNNNNNNNNNNNNNNNNNNNNNNNNNNNNNNNNNNNNNNNNNNNNNNNNNNNNNNNNNNNNNNNNNNNNNNNNNNNNNNNNNNNNNNNNNNNNNNNNNNNNNNNNNNNNNNNNNNNNNNNNNNNNNNNNNNNNNNNNNNNNNNNNNNNNNNNNNNNNNNNNNNNNNNNNNNNNNNNNNNNNNNNNNNNNNNNNNNNNNNNNNNNNNNNNNNNNNNNNNNNNNNNNNNNNNNNNNNNNNNNNNNNNNNNNNNNNNNNNNNNNNNNNNNNNNNNNNNNNNNNNNNNNNNNNNNNNNNNNNNNNNNNNNNNNNNNNNNNNNNNNNNNNNCUUUUUCUUCUUUUUUCUUCUUCUUAUUUAUUUCUCCUCGUCUUCCUCUCCCCUCUUCUUCUCCUUUCUUCCUCUUCUUAUUUCCUUUUUCCUCUCAUUCUUUUUCUUCUUCUUCCUUCUUAAAAAUACAUGAAGUAAUAUUGCUUGUUUUUUUAAAAUAAUGUUCAAAUAGAAAUUUUAGAAAAAAAGUAAAGGUUUUGCCUAAUUCAUUGUUCAUAUGAAUAUGCAAACAUUUGCAUAUUUACAAUAAUCAAUAUCACCAAAAAAUCUAUGAACAGAAAAAAUACUAUUUUUUCUGUUAAUUGAAAAAAUACAUAUACACACAUACAUAUACUAUACAUAUACAUAUAAUCAGGAAAAAACAUAUAUGAAUUUGCAAAAAAAUUAAAAACAGGGGGGAAGAGGGGGGCGGUGCCGGCCCUGACCAACGCGAGAGGCGACGGCGGCGAUGGCGAGGCAGAGGCGGGGCAGCGAUGGCGUCGGGGUGGCGACGCGGGGCGGCGACGGCGUAGCACCAACCAGGACUAAAGGGGGCAUUGGUCACGGUUCUUGUCACCAACCGUGACCAAUGCCCCCCUUUAGUCCCGGUUGGUGCCACCAACCGGGACCAAAGGCCUUGUGCGGCUGCUGCGUCGAAAGUUUAGUCCCACCUAGCUAGUUGAGAGGGGUGCGCAGUGGUUUAUAAGCCCCACUGCCGCACCCCUCUCGAGCUUCUCUCCAUUGCAGGCUUACGGGCCUAAUUGUCACUGCUAUGCAUGUGUGCCUACUGGGCCUCAUGCGGGCCUGAAUCCUAGCCCUUGGAUGGGUUUCUAGUCGUAUUCAGGCCGUGGGGGCCCAGUAGGUUGCGUUUUUUUUGUUUUUUGUUGCUUUAUUUUAUUUUCUUUUGUUUUUUGUUUAUUUUUUUAUUCUUUUUGGUUUUAGUUUUAGAAAAAUUAUAAACUUUCUGUUAGUGCCAUUAGUUUUCAAAUUUGAAAACACUUUUUUUCUUUUUUUGUUUUCUUUGUUGCUUUAUUUAUUUUAUUUUGUUUCUAAUUACAACAAAAUACUUAUUGUUGCUAUUUUUUUCCAUUUUUUUGUUUUGUUUUUUGCAUUAUUUAUUUUCUUUUGUUUUUUGCUUUAAUUUUUAAUUCUGUUUGCUUUUAGGUUAGCAAAAUUAUAAACUUUCUGUUAGUGCCAUUAGUUUACAAAUUUGAAUAGUUAAAAUUUGAAUUCUUUGGAAUUUGUGUGAAUCAGAAGUUUGUGAUUAACUUACUAAAAAAAUGAGAAUAGAUGCGCUUAUAGAGAAAAUUCAACAUACAUUCAUACUAAAUUUCUAUGAAUUUCAGAGAAAUUCACUAUGAAUUUAGGUUAAACUUUUCUCUAUUAGGGCAUCUAUUUUCACUUUGAGAGGAGCUCAACAAGGCAGAGAGGGAAGGGCUUAUAAACCGGUGUGAGCCCCCUUCGGUUGGCGAGGUGGGACUAAACUCUGCCCGCAACGAGGACCAACCCUUUAGUCCCGGUUUGUGGCACAAACCGGGACUAAUGGUCAUGGGCCAGCGGCGAGGAGCAAAAUUAUAAACUUUCUGUUAGUGCCAUUAGUUUUAGAAAAAUUAUAAACUUUCUGUUAGUGCCAUUAAUUUUCAAAUUUGAAUAGUUAAAAUUUGAAUUCUUUGAUAUUUGUUUGAAUCACAAGUUUGUGAUUAACUUUACUUUUUCUAGUUUUUUUUGUUUUUAGCAUUAUUUAUUUUCUUUUGUUUUUUGCAUUUUUUAAUUCUUUUUGCUUUUAGGUCAGAAAAAUUAUAAACUUUAUGUUAGUGCCAUCUGUUUUAGAAAAAAAUAUAAACUUUCUGUUAGUGCCAUUAGUUUUCAAAUUUGAAUAGUUAAAAUUUGAAUAAUGGUAUUACGAGGGCCGAACCAUAAGACAUGAAAGCAUUUGAAAUGAACUCUGAAAAAAUUGAAAGUUGGCAUGGUAUCAUAAUUUCACCCACAUAGCAUGUGCAUGUACAAAAGGGACAAUGGUAGCAUGUUCGUGUGUUAGAAAGUUGGCAUGGUAUCAUCAUAAUAGUUGCGGGAGAAAGUCUUCACUUUUUCUUCUCUUGUGUCAUUUGCUUAUUGCGCCGUAACCAUAGAUAAUCUUCAUUGUUUAUCAGGAUGCUUGGGUUAGCCUUGACAUUGAAGGGAGGAAUUUCAUUAAACUUUUCAUAAUCUUCAGACAUGUCUGUCUUGCCGUCCACUCCUAGGAUGUCCCUUUUUCCUAAAAGAACUAUGUGGCGCUUCGGCUCAUCGUAUGAUGUAUUCGCUUUCUUAUCUUUUCUUUUUCUCGGUUUGGUAGACAUGUCCUUCACAUAGAUAACCUGUGCCACAUCAUUGGCUUGGACGAACGGUUCGUCAGUGUGCCCAAGAUUUUUUAGAUCCACUAUUGUCAUUCCGUACUGUGGGUCUACCUGUACCCCGCCGCCUGACAGAUUGACCCAUUUGCACUUAAACAAAGGGACCUUAAAAUCAGGUUCGUAGUCAAGUUCCCAUAUGUCCACUAUGUAACCAUAAUAUGUGUCCUUUCCGCUCUCGGUUGCUGCAUCAAAGCGUACACCGCUGUUUUGGUUGGUGCUCUUUUGAUCUUGGGCGAUCGUGUAAAAUGUAUUCCCAUUUAUCUCGUAUCCUUUGUAAGUCAAUACAGUGAAAGAUGGUCCCCUGGACAAUAAGUACAACUCAUCACAAACAGUGUUGUUCCCUAUGAGACUUGUUUCCAACCAACUGCUGAAAGUCCUGAUGUGUUCACAUGUAAUCCAGUCGUCGCACUGCUCCGGGUAUUUGGAGCGCAGACUGUUCUUGUGUUCAUCGACAUAGGGGUCACCAAGGUAGAGUUCUGUAGAACUGUGUAGUGUGCUUGAGACCAAGAAUAUCCGUCCCUGCAUAUUAUUGAGUCUCUUCCAAGAGUGCCUUUUCUAGUCAGUCUCCCCUCAUACCGUGAUUUAGGGAGACCUAUCUUCUUAAGGCCAGGAAUGAAGUCAACACAAAACCCGAUAACAUCCUCUGUUUGAUGGCCCAUGGAGAUGCUUCCUUCUGGCCUAGCGCGGUUACGAACAUAUUUCUUUAGGACUCCCAUGAAUCUCUCACAGGGGAACAUAUUGUGUAGAAAUACGGGCCCCAGGAUGACAAUCUCGUCGACUAGAUGAACUAGGACGUGCGUCAUGAUAUUGAAGAAGGAUGGUGGGAACACCAGCUCGAAACUGACAAGACAUUGCACCAUAUCACUCCUUAGCCUUGGUACGAUUUCUGGAUCGAUCACCUUCUGAGAGAUUGCAUUGAGGAAUGCACAUAGCUUCACAAUGGCUAAUCGGACGUUUUCCGGUAGAAGCCCCCUCAAUGCAACCGAAAGCAGUUGCAUCAUAAUCACGUGGCAGUCAUGAGACUUUAGGUUCUGAAACUUUUUCUCUGGCAUAUUCAUUAUUCCCUUUAUAUUCGACGAGAAGCCAGUCGUGACCUUCAUACAGAGCAGGCAUUCAAAGAAGAUUUCUUUCUCUUUUUUCGUAAGAGCGUAGCUGGUAGGACCUUUAUACUGCUUCGGAGGCAUGCCGUCUUUUUCGUGCAAACGUUGCAAGUCCUCCCGUGCCUCGGGUGUUUCUUUUGUCUUCCCAUACACGCCCAAGAAGCCUAGCAGGUUCACGCAAAGGUUCUUCGUCACGUGAAUCACGUCGAUUGAAGAGCGGACCUCUAGGUCUUUCCAGUAGGGUAGGUCCGAAAAUAUAGAUUUCUUCUUCCACAUGGGUGCGUGUCCCCCAGCGUCAUUCGGAACAGCUAGUCCACCGGGACCCUUUCAAAAGAUUACGUAGUGUAAAUCAUUGACCAUAGCAAGUAUGUGAUCACCGGUACACAUGGCGGGCUUCUUCCGGUGAUCUGCCUCGCCUUUGAAAUGCUUGCCUUUCUUUCGACAUUGAUGGUUGGUCGGAAGAAAUCGACGAUGGCCCAGGUACACAUUCUUCCUGCAUUUGUCCAGGUAUAUACUUUCAGUGUCAUCUAAACAGUGCGUGCAUGCGCGGUAUCCUUUGUUUGUUUGUCCUGAAAGGUUACUGAGAGCGGGCCAAUCGUUGAUGGUCACGAACAGCAAUGCCUUAAGGUUAAAUUCCUCCUGUCUAUGCCCAUCCCACGUACGUGCACCGUUUCCAUUCCACAGCUGUAAAAGUUCUUCAACUAAUGGCCUUAGGUACACAUCAAUGUCGUUGCCGGGUUGCUUAGGGCCUUGGAUGAGAACUAGCAUCAUAAUGAACUUCCGCUUCAUGCACAUCCAAGGAGGAAGGUUAUACAUACAUAGAGUCACGGGCCAGGUGUUGUGAUUGUUGCUCUGCUCCCCGAAAGGAUUAAUGCCAUCCGCACUUAAAGCAAACCAUACAUUCCUUGGGUCCUUUGCAAACUCAUCCCAGUACUUUCUCUCGAUUUUUCUCCACUGCGACCCGUCAGCGGGUGCUCUCAACUUCCCAUCUUUCUUUCGGUUCUCACUGUGCCAUCGCAUCAACUUAGCAUGCUCUUCGUUUCUGAAUAGACAUUUCAACCAUGGUAUUAUAGGAGCAUACCACAUCACCUUCGCAGGAACCCUCUUCCUGGGGGGCUCGCCGUCAACAUCACCAGGGUCAUCUCGUCUGAUCUUAUACCGCAAUGCACCGAAUACCAGGCAUACGUUCAGAUCCUUGUAUGCACCGCGGUAGAGGAUGCAGUCAUUAGGGCAUGCAUGUAUCUUCUCCACCUCCAAUCCUAGAGGGCAUACGACCUUCUUUGUUGCAUAUGUACUAUCGGGCAAUUCGUUAUCCUUUGGAAGCUUCUUCUUCAAUAUUUUCAGUAGCUUCUCAAAUCCUUUGUCAGCCACAGUAUUCUCUGCCUUCCACUGCAGCAAUUCCAGUACGGUACCGAGCUUUGUGUUGCCAUCUUCGCAAUUGGGGUAUAACCCUUUUUGUGAUCCUCUAACAUGUGAUCGAACUUCAGCUUCUCCUUUUGACUUUCGCAUUGCGUCCUUGCAUCGACAAUGACCCGGCAGAGAUCAUCAUCAUCGGGCACAUCGUCUGGUUCCUCUUGAUCUUCAGCAGCUUCACCCGUUGCAGCAUCAUUGGGCACAUCGUCUGGUUCCUCUUGAUAUUCACCAGCUCCCCCCGUUGCAGCAUCACCGUAUUCAGGGGGCACAUAGUUGUCAUCUUACUCUUCUUCUUCGUCGUCUUCCAUCAUAACCCCUAUUUCUCCGUGCCUCGUCCAAACAUUAUAGUGUGGCAUGAAACCCUUGUAAAGCAGGUGGGAGUGAAGGAUUUGCCGGUUAGAGUAAGACCUCGUAUUCCCACAUUCAGUGCAUGGACACCACAUAAAACCAUUCUGCUUAUUUGCCUCAGCCGCAUCGAGAAACUCAUGCACGCCCUUAAUGUACUCGCAGGUGUGUCUGUCACCGUACAUCCAUUGCCGGUUCAUCUGCGUGCAUUAUAUAUAAUUAAGUGUCCAAAUUAAUAGAAGUUCAUUAUCACAUUAAAACCAAAGUGCAUACAUAGUUCUCAUCUAACAACAUAUAGCUCUCCAGAGCAUCUAAUUAAUUAAACCAUACAUUGAAACUAUGUAAAACAUUUCAAUGCGAAAACAAAUGUGAUCAUAAUCGCAACCAAGGUAAUAAUUGAUCCAACGGCAUAAUGAUACCAAGCCUCGGUAUGAAUGGCAUAUUUUCUAAUCUUUCUAAUCUUCAAGCGCAUUGCAUCCAUCUUGAUCUUGUGAUUAUCGACGACAUCCGCAAUAUGCAAAUCCAAUAUCAUCAUCUCCUCCUCAAUUUUUUAUUUUUUCCCUCAACAAAUUGUUUUCUUCUUCAACUAAAUUUAACCUCUCGACAAUAGGGUCGGUUGGCAUUUCCGAUUCACAUACAUCCUACAUAAAUAAAAUCUAUGUCACGUUGGUCGGCAUAAUUUUCAUAAACAAUAAAUGAACCAGUAGUUAUAAAGAUAAUAUAUAUACCACAUCCGAAUCAUAGACAGGACGAGGGCCGACGGGGGCGGAUACCAAAACCAUCGCACUAUAUAAGAUGCAAUAAUAAAAGUAAGAAAAUAAUACAAGUAUUUAUGUAAACAUACAAGUAAGAAUAUUUUUCCUUUCAGAAAGAAGAUAAGAACAAGAGGCUCACCACGGUGGUGUCGGCGAUGAGCUCGGCGCGGGUGAUCGACGGCGGUGAAGACGGGGACGGGGCGUGACGGACCGCUAAACCUAGACAAAUAUUAUGGAAAAUGGAGCUUGGAGGUCGAGCUUGGAGAGGAGAAAACUUAAGUAGUGUGGCUCGGGCAUUCCAUCGAACACCUUGUGUGGAUAGGAGGUGAGCUAGAGCACCACCAAGCCCUCUCCCCCUCGGCUAGAGAAAAACAGAGCACUGGGGUGCUCUGCUCGCGAGCGAGGGGUAUAUAUAGGCACCUCAUUGGUCCCGGUUGGUGACAUGAACCGGGACUAAAGGGGAGCCUUUGGUCCCGGUUCAAGCCACCAACCGGGACCAAUGGUGGUGGGUCAGGAGCGAGGCCCAUUGGUACCGGUUCAUCCCACCAGCCGGGACCAAAAGGUCCAGAUGAACCGGGACCAAUGGCCCACGUGGCCCGGCCGGCCCCCUGGGCUCACGAACCGGGACCAAUGCCCCCAUUGGUCCCGGUUCUGGACUGAACCGGGACUAAUGGGCUGACCCGGCCUGGACCAAAGCCCUGUUUUCUACUAGUGUAUGUUACCACAUGCUUCUUUUUCUUCAUUAAUUACAUGCCACAUCAUCUAUAUUACUUCCACUGUGGGUAGUCUUAGGUGCCGAACACACUUGGACAGAGGAAGUGGCUAGUUACUAAAAAUAACGGAUUUACUAAUACCGAUCGGUUUGUUGUGGAAAAUGCGAAGUCAGUUUAGUACAAACAAUGCAACUUGCACGUUUUUCAGAAAACUAUAGCUGCAUGAUAAUUUUAUAUUUUUCAUAUGGAGGAAAAAUCUCAAUCAACGGGUGGACCUAACAACAAGUGCAUAUUGCUGGUAUGCCCUUUGUGGUUAAACAGUGCAAGCAUUGAUGCUAGCCGCUCUGUGUCCACACCCACUUCUCACACAAUCCUUUGCUUCUUCGUUAUAAAUAUGUGCUCAGUAAUCUAAACACGAAAUAUAAGCUCUCCACUUUCUCUUUUUGAUUCAACUAUCGAGUAUCACUAGCAGGUCGCAGUGAAGACGUUCACACUCCUUUCAUAGCCUCCCCGCCACCACCGCCAUGGUACUCCUAUUUUUCAUUUGGCAUGAUGCUUCCGGAGACAUGCGCCUCCUCUUACUUUUCUGUGCGUAGCUACUGUGACCACCCUCCUAUACCUCAUUAGCCGUUCGCGCACAGUAUACAUUGUUGAUUAUGCGUGUUUCCGGCCUAACUCGAACUACCGCAUCAGCAAGGCCGCGUGGAUUGAGAACAUACACCAUUCCCGGUCCUACGACGACAGCGGCCACCUUCGCUUCUUGUCCCGUAUUUCUGAACGGUCUGGCCUUGGUGAUGAGACCUACCUCCCGCCUUACCAUCAUCAUAUCCGGCCGUAUUAUUGUUUAAGUGAAGCCCGUGCUGAGGCGGAGUUAUCCAUCUUCACGACCAUAGAUGUUCUGCUCCUGAAGACGUCUAUCGAGCUUGAUGCAAUCGGCAUACUCGUCGUGAAUUGCAGCCUCUUCAACCCAACUGCAUCCCUCACUGACAUGAUCAUGAGAAGAUAUAAGCUUCGAGAAAAUAUCUGCAACGUGCAGCUCUCUGGGAUGGGCUGCAGCGCCGGGCUGAUUGCGGUGGGCCUUGCGAAGGAUCUCCUGCAGAACGCUCCCUACGCGCAUGAGCUGGUCGUGUCCAUGGAGUGUUGGAUUAAUUAUGCAUCUAUGGGAUGCCAUUAGUAGGAAUUGAUUGCAAUUAGAACACCCAAUUGACAUGAACAGAGAAGGAUUUAGGGAUCCUUUACAUGUCACGGGAGUGGACAUGAUCGCCUGCUCGGUAUAGGCGUGAUGCAGGGGUGAUGUAGUCGAAGCAGAGGUUCUCCAUGAUGUCCUGUUUCCUUCAGGACGCCACCGGCACUGGCCGGGACAGCAGCGGCGGCCGGCUUAGGUCUUCACGUCGCUGCAGCGCUUCCCCUGAUCGGGUGGGGUGAGAAUAUCGGGAGGAGAGUAAACCUUACGUGAAUUGUGAUCUCGCAGGUGGCCAGCUCUCUCCCGUAUCCUUUUAAUAUGGCGCGGGCGACAGGGGACCCAAAACCUUAGUUGGUUUUUGGUCGCCCCCGAUCAAGGCGCGUUAGUUCUGAUCGAGGCUCACGUACGUUGGUACGUGGACCCCUUCACUUAUCGUUAUCCCCUUAAUUUUUUUAGACUAAUAGAUCUAACUGGCAUGUUUAAGCCGUCAGAUCAAAACCAAUAUUCUCCCCCUUGAUCGUUAGGCUUAACUUCAUUGACCCAUUCUACAUAGGAAUGAUGUACCAAAGUGAGGUGUUAUGACAGCUUGAAACGCCAUAGAACCUCAACACUUAUAGCUCACCCGCCUAUUUCGAAAUAAAAAAACAUUUUCUAAUUGGGGAGUGGUUUAUUUUAAUGGUCAUUUUAUUCCAGUAUCAUAAGGCUUUCAGUAGUCCCAUGCCGACAACAUGCUCACGAAAAAUACUGGGUGGCAAGCCUUUUGUUAGCGGAUCCGCAAGCAUAUGCUUCAUUCUUAUAUGUUUAACAUCAAUUGUUUGAUCCUGGACUCUAUCUUUCACAACAUGAUACUUUAUGUCAAUGUGUCUGGCAGCACCACUUGACCUGUUGUCACUCGUAUAGAAAACUGUGGGUUCAUUACCACAGUACAAUAAAAUUGGUUUAGAUAUGCUGUCAACCACUUUAAGUCCGGGAAUAAAAUUCUUUAGCCAUACAGCCUGCCCGGUGGCCUCAUAACAUGCUACAAAUUCUGCUUGCAUCGUAGAUCCAGCAGUUAAUGUUUGUUUGGAGCUUUUCCAUGAUAUAGCUUCUCCCGUGAGUGUGAAUAUAUGACCUGACGUGGAUCUCUUACUAUCCACACAUCCGGCAAAAUCAGAGUCUGAAUAACCAAUAAUUUCUAGUUUAUUAGUUCUUUUAUAUGUAAGCAUGAAAUCCUUAGUUCCUUGCAUAUAACGCAAGACUUUAUUUACGGCCUUCCAGUAGUCCGGUCCUGAAUUUCAUUGAUAUCUGUCGAGCAUCCCGGUUAUAAAACAUAAAUCUGGGCGUGUACACACUUGAGCAUACAUGAUGCUUCUGACAGUUGAAGCAUAAGGAACCGACUUCAUCUGAUUAGUUUCAUAUUGGUUCCUCGGACAUUGAAAUGUCCAAACUUAUCGCCCUUAACUAUAAGAGCAGGUGAGGGUGAGCACUUAUGCAUAUUGAAUUUUUUCAGUACUCUCUCAAAGUAUGCCUUUGGAGAUAGCCCUAACGUUCCUCUGGACCUAUCUCGAUGAAUCUCGAUGCCGAGGACAUACGAGGCUUCACCAAGAUCUUUCAUAUCAAAACUGGAUGAUAGAAAAUUCUUGGUCUUAUGCAGCGUAUCCUUACAGCUACAUGCCAACAAUAUGUCAUCAACGUAUAGGACUAAAACUGUGAACCUACUGCCUUUAAACUUAACGUAUAUGCAGUUGUCCACAACAUUUUCGUGAAACCAAAAGUUUUGAUAAUUUUAUCAAACUUGAGGUACCAUUCUCUUAAAGCUUUCUUCAAGCCAUAAAUUGAUUUCUUUAGACGACAUGCCAAAUAUUCCUUCCCUUCCACAACAAAGCCUUCUGGCUGUGCCAUGUAAACAUUUUCUUUUAAGUCACCAUUCAGAAAUGUCGUUUUAACAUCCAUUAGGUGUAGUUCUAGGUCAUAAUGAGCUACUAAUGCAAUAAUGAUUCUUAAAGAAUCCUUGGUUGACACACGAGAGAAGGUUUGCUUAUAAUCAAUGCCUUCUCUCUGUGUAUAUCCUUUUGCCACUAGCCUUGCCUUGAACCGUUCGACAUUCCCUUUGGAAUCAUACUAGGUUUUGUAGACCCACUUGCAGCCUACAUUCUUAGCUCCAUCGGGAACUUCUACUAAGUCCCAAACGUUGUUUGAGCCCAUAGAUUUCAACUCGUCAUCCAUGGCAACCAACCACUUGGACGAAUUUUCGCUUUUAAUGGCUUCCUUAUAAGAGGUUGGAUCCUCCACCUUUCCCUGAUCAUUCAUAUCCUUGUCGGUGUACAAAAAGAGGGGUACACUUUUUGUACCCCUAUAACUGUGCACGGGCAGUCUGAGCCACGGGCGCCACCACACUGAGCAAGGCAAGUGAGGUGAGCCAAGGUAAGGCCAAAGCUCAGGAGAAGCAGGACGACGCCAAGAUCAAGACCACAAAGAGCAAAGGGGACGAAGCGGACCCCCCGGCAAGAUCCUUGCCGGGAGGCGGUUUUAGCAGACCCGGCAAGACCCUUGCCGUGGCAGCUUGCCCCACGCCUACGGAGUGAGUCACCCUUGAGUCCACUGCCCCCUUGGGGCAAAGGAUUCGGGACACAUCCCCGCGGUGGCAUGCAGAUCUUUGUGAAGGCAUUCAAGAUCAGAUACACCCUUUAGAAGAUGAUGAUCCUUGGCGGGAUCCCAGCCAAGGAAGACCAUAAGGCCCCCGGCAAGAGCCUUGACGGGGAUGACAGCAGGCGCCACGGCAAGGCCCUUGCCGAGAACACCCGUAGGGCCACCAUCAGGCCCACGCCAGUCAAACCUCCACCACCGUUCGCAUGCAGCUGCCGACCCAACCAGCUGGGCAGGCACCUGCGUGGCGGCAUGCAGAUCUUCGUGGAGACCUACCACUGCGCCACCUCAGCUGCCUGCCUGCCUACAUGGCACCGCGGGCGCCGCUGGCCAGGGCGCGUGUCAACACGAGAGGGAGCGGCGACGGACGAGACAGGGCUCUCCCCCGUCCCCGAUAAAGCAAGGACACCUGGGCAAGACACAUUAAAUGCGCCUUGUCAUGUAAUGCGAGGGAUAACCUCGCGUCACUGUUCCCUUUCCACCUCCCGUGUGCCACUGUGGCUACCCCUUUCCCUAUAAAAGGAGGCCCGAGGCGACCAGGAGAAGGAUUGGGAUUUUUGGAGCUCAUCACGCCCCAUAGCUAGCUCAAGGACACAGAUAUACAAUCCACCAAAGCAGGAGUAGGGUUUUACGCAUCAUCACAGCCCGAACCUGGAUAAACGAACCGUGUGCUAUCUGUUGGAUCCGCUCUUCUCAUGACCCCGCGCCCCGCAACCGUAGUAGGGAUUCUUGUUAUCCCAUAGGUGUCGUUCCCACCGACAUCUUUGGCGCGCCAGGUAGGGGGCGCAGUUGUGAGAAUCGGCUUUAGCAGUUAGUUCGACGCUUCUUCAUCAUCAUGGCGCCCAAGAAGAAGACGACGGUGGCGGUUGGCCCGUCGGAAGCCGGACAUCCUGUCCCGACGCGGGCGAGCAGUGGACCGGUCGCAGAAAGGACCCCGGGCGCCGUUCGCGAACACCAACACCGUCCCAGCAGCCGGAGUUUGAGAGACGGCGAUGUUCGUGCGCCAGGUAACGGGCCGCACGCCGCCAAAUCCAAAGACGGAGCCAGGCCCUCCGCGGGUGGCGCGGGGCCUUCCAAGAUCGCUACCGCCCCGCCCGAAGGCGAUGCGAGGGCCUCCAAGACUCCCACGCCGGCGCCGACGGCACGCUCCUCUCAAACGGCGUGCGACGAACGGCACAAUCACGCCGAAGACCCCGGGCGUCGCCGCGGGAAGAGCCCCGAGCGCCACUCCCGGGAGGUAGAAGACCUGCCCGCUCGCCGAGGCGCUGGUGAAGAUGGCAUGCGACCGCGGGGUCGUGAUAGAGCUCCUUCUGACAUGGUCAGAAGUCGAAGCACGUCGCGAUCCGUGCAGGUUUCGCUGCCACCAACGCCAGUAGAAGCCCUGGCGUGCGCGCAGUUGCUCCUCGAUUUUCCUCCCACUACGGGGAAACUCGACGAAUGGAGAGCCACUAUCCGAAGCCUUGUUGCGGUGGCCAACAAAGACGCACCAAGUCCGGUGGAGCCCCCGGGUCGACGCUCCUACGGAGUCCCACGCACAAGUGGCAGGAAAGCCGGCGACGCUGCGACCACGGUGCACUCGCCUCCUCCUCGCCCGGUACCGCGGACGCCAGCCCGUCGCGAUGUUGCGGGCGACGAAAUCUCCAUAGCGUCGUCCGACCCGCGAACCCACCGUGACCAGCGCCAAGUCCUUCGGGAACGAGAACAUGAAGACGCUCGAACCACUAUCGAGCGCCGGCACGGAGCGCGCCACCAGUCAGACAGGCGAGCAGGGCCCGCUAUGAACCAACCGGCACCGGAGAGCCCUAGAGGCCUACCUUACAAGGUAGGCUGUACGGCUUUUACCCGUGAGCUGCGGCAGUUCCACUGGCCCACUCACCGCACUUUCAAACCUGACGUGGGCGAAAAGUACAGCGGCAAGACCGACCCGUCCGAGUUCCUCAGCAUCUACACCAUUGCGAUGCAAGCUGCCGGAGCUCGCGACGAUAAGGUGCUUGCGAAUUACUUUCCGUUGGCUCUUAAACCCAAUGCCAUGUCAUGGUUGAUGCACUUGCCGGUAGACUCUAUUUCCUCCUGGUCAGAUUUGUGCCAUGAGUUUGUGGGCACCUUUACUGGAGGCCACCAAGCCUAUGGCCAAGCGAGCGACCUGCACGUCAUUCCCUAGAAGGGAGGGGAGAGUCUCCGCAAGUAUAUACAAAGGUUCAGCCGGAUACAGUACAAUAUCCCUGACGUUCACCCUGCUGCCAUCAUCAGCGCGUUCCAUCAGAACGUGCAUAACUGCAAGAUGCGCGAAGAGCUGGCAAUGAACAAGGUGAAAGAUGUAGCGGAACUCUAUGUUCUUGCUGACAGAUGUGCCCGGGCUGAAGAGGGAAGGAAGUACCCCAGAGAAGACGCCGGCGUGGAAACCGACUCCUCAGAUGAAGAUACUGCCGCCCCGGCGAAGAAGGGUCGGCGCCGCAACAGGAAGCGCAAAGGUAAAGUUGUGCUUGCCGUCGAGGGAUCUGAUGACACCGGCUCCACCAAGAAAACCAAGGCAGAUGACCCCGGCAAGGAAAUUGCCGGAUGUGUCGCCUGCCGGGCCUUGGCGGUUGCCAAGAAGCUAGGAAACUCCGACAAGCGAUACUGCAAGAUCCAUCGCACCAAAGGCCACGCUCUCCAAGACUACCGACAGGUUGAGCUCCUCGCUGAGAAGCAGAGGGCUGAAUAUCAGAGGCGGGACAAGGAGAAGGGCCAAGACGGUGCUGAGGGGUCCGGCAAGAAGCGUGACGGCCAGGCAGGCCGUCGCGGCAAGGAUAAACAACAGGAGAGGCCCGCCCGGGGCCGUGACAAAAAGCCAGAAGACGACGAUCACGAAGAGGACGACGAAUCCGGCGACCAAGAGUUUCAGAAAGCUACAGAGGCCAUGUGCGUCGAUGGCAGCGCCUCGCUGCAUACUUCUCACCGCCAGCUUAAACAGUGGGCGCCAGAGAUUACAGCGGCAGAGCCGUCGCUUGACGCCCAAAGGCCGCUGAAGUGGUCCAGCACACCUAUUAUUUUUGACACUGAGGAUCACCCUGAUCGCACUACUGCAGUCGGGUGCUUGCCAUUGUUGGUUUCACCAACAAUACGCAACCUCAAGGUGACAAAGAUGCUAGUCGAUGGCGGGGCUGGUCUGAACUUGAUCUCGCCUGCCAUGAUCGAGAAAUUGCAGAUUCCUGAUGGAGACCUCGAAGAGACGGGCACGUUUCAGGGGGUCAACCCGGGAAGAAGCCAACCUAAGGGAAAGGUCACGCUGCCCGUGACUUUUGGAAGCGACCUGAACUACAGGACGGAGAGGAUCAUGUUUGAUGUUGCCAAGAUCCCCUUGCCCUACAAUGGGAUCCUUGGCCGCCCAGCGCUGGCCAAGUUCAUGGCGGCGUCACACUACGCCUACAACAUCCUGAAGAUGCCAGGACCUGUGACGAUCAUCACCAUCCACUUCGAUAAGAAAGAUGCGCUGAUUUGCGCUAACCAAUUAUACCAGCAAGCAGUUGUAGCAGCUGCCGCCACUAGGGCACUUGCUCCUGCCGCUGGGACCCCGGGAGGGAAGAAUAAGAAGAAGACCGGUGAGACCUCGGACACCCACUCCGGCAAGCGCACCUCUUCGGAGUGUAGCGCUCCCGUCGAGGACGUGCCAGAGAGCUCCACCGGCGGAAACAAGAAGCCCAGGGCCAUACCGCCGGGAACCAAGAAGGUUUCUGUCAAUGAGGACGACACGGGAGGAGCUUUCACCAUAAGCUCCACCCUUGACGACAAAUAGGAAGACGCGCUCGUCACCUUCCUGCGGGCGAAUGUCGAUGUGUUUGCAUGGCAAGCUUCCGACAUUCCCGGCGUUCCCAGGGAGGUGAUUGAGCACCACGUUGCUGUCUGUCCUCAUGCACGGCCCGUCAAGCAGAAGGUCAGAAAGCAAGCUUUGGAACGACAAGAGUUCAUCGCAGAGGAUAUCCGAAAACUGGAAGCAGCGGGUUUGGUAAGAGGAGUGCUCCAUCCAACGUGGUUGGCCAAUCCGGUCGUAGUGCGCAAGGCUAAUAGGGAGUGGAGGCUGUGUAUUGAUUACAUAGAUAUCAAUAAGGCUUGUCCUAAGGACCCCUUCCCGUUGCCGCGCAUCGACCAGAUUGUUGACUCCACAGCUGGGUGUGAUCUGUUGUCAUUCCUCGAUGCCUACUCCGGCUACCACCAGAUCUUCAUGACAAGAGAAGACGAAGAGAAGACAACAUUCAUCACCCCAUGUGGUACGUAUUGUUUCAUACGGAUGCCUUUCGGGCUGAAGAGUGCUGGUUCGACGUUUGCGAGGGCGGUCCAGAUUGGUUUUGAACCCUAGCUCCAUAGAAAUAUGGAAGCUUAUAUGGAUGACAUAGUGGUCAAAACCAAGGACAGGGCAACCCUCAUACCGGACUUGCAAGAAACAUUUGCAAACCUGCGCAAGAUCAAUCUCAAGCUGAACCCUGAGAAGUGCGUCUUUGGUGUCCCGUCCGGCAAGCUUCUCGGGUUCUUUGUGUGACAACGUGUGAUAGAGGUCAAUCCGGACAAGAUCAAAGCUAUAGAGCAGAUUGAAGCACCCAAGCGAAUCAAGGAUGUGCAUCGGCUUGCUGGUUGCGUCGCCGCCAUGGGCAGAUUCAUUUCCAAGUCCGCCGAGCGCGCCCUUCCCUUUUUCAAGAUCCUGAAAAAGGCGGGCCCGAUGGAGUGGACGCCAGAAGCCGAAGCAGCAUUGCAAGAUUUGAAGAAGUACCUCUCCUCCACGCCGAUACUGGUUGCGCCUAGGCUACAGGAGCCGUUGCUGCUAUACCUGGCGGCAACGAACCAGGUGGUCAGCGCCGCACUAGUGGCGCAGAGAGAGGUUGGCGACGAGGUAAUGGCAGCGACAGAGCCCGACACCACCAAUGCAGAGACAACACGGCCAGUUGAAGUGCCGCCGAAGAAGAAAAUGAUGCACCACCCGGUCUACUUUGUCAGUUCCCUCCUGCAGGGAGCUAGAUCAAGGUACUCCGGCAUGCAGAAACUGCUCUUCGGCCUUCUUAUGGCCUCGAGGAAGUUGCGUCACUACUUCCAGGCACACGAGAUCACUGUCGUCACUCGCCUCCCUCUGCAACAAAUAUUGCACAAUCCAUAUGCAACGGAAAGAGUUGCGGAAUGGGCACUGGAGCUGUCCAGCUUUGGCCUCAAGUUUGAAAGUACUUCGACGAUUCAGAGCCGAGUCCUGGGGGAGUUCAUUGCGGAAUGGACCGCAACACCUGACGAAGAAGCCCAAGAGACUGCUCUCCCCGGCAAGGAGGCAAGUUGCAGUUGGACCAUGUACUUCAAUGGAGCUUUCUCCAACACGGCGUCGGGGCUGGCGUACUGCUUGUCGCGCCCACCGGGGAGCACCUCAAGUACGUGAUCCAGAUGCACUUCCCCAUGGAGGUGUCAACAAACAAUACGGCAGAGUAUGAGGGGCUGCUUGCCGGUCUUAGGAUCGCGGCGGACCUCGGAAUCAAGAAGCUCAUUGUCAGGGGCGACUCGCAGCUCGUCGUCAAGCAAGUCAACAAGGACUACCAGAGCCCAUUGAUGAAGGCCUACGUCGAUGAAGUGAGAAAGCUGGAAGAGCGUUUCGACGGUAUACAGGCUGAAUACGUUCCCCGAGCGGAGAACGAUAUCGUCGAUUACCUGUCAAAACGCGCUGCCCUCAAGCUACCUGUGGAACCAGGUACCUUUGUGCUCCAGCUAACUCAGCCAUCCGUUGAUCCAUCAACAAAGCAAACAAGAGGAGGAAAUCAGGACCCGGCAAGUACUUUCCCGCCGAGCUCCCCGGAGCCACCGGCAAGGAUGUUGCCAGGGACACUGAGCCCGCCACGGGACGGCUAGCUCCGGCGGAGCUUCAAGCUCUCGCCGUCGAGACAGCCGUUCCUAUAGCGGAGGAAAUGCCUUUAGUCAUCGCCGUCGAGCCCCAGGCUCCAGCGUGGGCACAUCAUACCGUACGAUUCCUCCAAACAGGGGAACUUCCUGAAGAGCAGGAAGAAGCGGAAAAAGUAGCCCGUCGCUCUACCAUGUACCAGUUCGUCGAUGACGUCCUGUACAGAAAGAGGCCGAAUGGUGUGAAAUUGAAGUAUAUCCCUCGGGAGGAAGGACUGGAGCUGUUGGCGGAAAUACACGGAGGCAUAUGUGGAUCCCACAUCAGAUCAAGGGCCCUUGCCGGCAAGGCAUUCUGGCAAGGCUUCUUCUGGCCCACCGCCCUCCAGGAUGCGAUGACACUAGUCACCAGGUGUGAAGCGUGUCAGUUCCAUUCAAAGAAGCUUCAUCAGCCAGCUCAAGCCCUUCAAACCAUUCCUCUCUCCUGGCCCUUUUCGGUCUGGGGGCUCAACAUACUGGGCCCUUUCCCCCGCGCUGUCGGGGGCUUUGAGUACUUGUACGUUGCAAUCGACAAGUUCACAAAGUGGACGGAGGUGGAGGCAGUGAGGAAGGUCACAGCUCAGUCAGCCGUCAAGUUCUUCAAGGGACUAGUGUGCCGUUUUGGUGUACCCAACAGGGUCAUCAUCGACAACGGUACACAGUUCACAAGCCGCACCUUCAUGCAAUAUAUCCAAGACCUCGGCAGCAAAGUCGGUUUCGCUUCCGUUGCUCACCACGGAGCAAUGGUCAAGCUGAGAGGGCAAACGCUGAAGUACUGCGAGGAUUAAGGACCAAGACCUUUGACAGGCUGCACAAGAGUGGAAGGCGCUGGAUUGAUGAGUUGCCGACGGUUCUUUGGUCGAUCAGGACGACGCCAAAUCGAGCCACCGGCCAAACACCCUUUGCCCUGGUAUACGGGGCAAAAGCACUUCUCCCCACUGAACUCAUAUACGGGUCACCUCGAGUGCUCGCUUAUGAUGAGCUUGAGCAAGAGCAACUGCGGCAAGAUGACGCAAUGCUCCUUGAGGAAGAUCGUCUACGAGCGGCUGUGAGAGCAGCACGCUACCAGCAAGCCUUGCGCCGCUACCAUAGCCGCAAGGUUCAUGCCCGAAGCCUUGAGGAAGGCCACCUUGUUCUUCGGCGUGUUCAAUCGGCCAAGAAUUCCAACAAGUUGACGCCAAAGUGGGAAGGCCCUUAUCGGGUAAUACGAGUCACCAGGCCCGGCGCAGUCCGCCUGGAGACCGAAGAUGCCGUUCCAGUGAGUAACUCCUGGAACAUUGAGCAUCUUCGCAAGUUUUACCCGUGAGGCACGGCUUGCCGGGCCCCCCGGCAAGCCACCUUUUGUACAAGCAUUGCCGAUGAUGCAUGUAACCCUUUGUACAAAGCCAGGCGCAGACCCUGAGCAUAAAUAAAUGAAGCGCUGGCGCCCUAAGUUAUAUCAUGCAUGCUAGGUCGAGUUCGUCCUUGGUUAGGGUUGAUAGUGCUUAGCGGCGACUAACCCCUAGCUUAGAGGUCGAGUGUGUGUCUCUUUGUCUUUCUUUUGUCUUCUUUGGUUCACAGGACACACGGAUAUCCGUGCCGAACCACUUGGGGAGGAAAAGAGAAGAGGGACAGACCAACAUCUAGACCGAUAAGCCAGUAUUGCCGGGGGCUGCAAGAGCAAAGUUUCACCCACGGCAAACCAGAGUUGCCGGGGGCUACAGCUUCAGAUAAGUUCUUCAUCCCUUAUCAUGCAUUCCCUUAUGGACUGAGGUAUGUGAAACCUCGUUUUUCCUAAAGCUACCAUGCUCCCCUAACUCUAGGCCCAGGGCUCAUUCCUGGGGCCAGGUUUGGUCGUAGUCGCGGCAGCGAGAGGAUGAAACAAGGAGCCUGAACCCACCUCAUCCAUGCCUCCACCAAAGGUGUGAGAAAGGUCGAGCGAAGUGGGGAGACGGCAAGGCCUGUUGCUGGGCAAGGAAAUGUUUGUCUUAAAGAUAUCAAGGAUUUACUCCUUGUCAUGGGUUCUACCCACAAACAAAUGACCUGACAAACAUCUCUUUUUCAUUAAAACAUUCCACUCAGGUACACUCCAUAGGGAAUGAAAAACAUGAAUAAUGGGAUUACAAGUUUUAAAUUCAGCUAAGGCCCGAAGGCUUACAAACUAAAAAGAGAUAAAGUGCCCGUAAUCCCUUUCUUGUCCCUCUCCUUAGGAGGCAGGUCAAGGAGACGAACAGGGCAAAAGGGGCGCCUAGGCGAGCUACGGGCGGCAGAAGACACCAAGAGAACAUCUCGGUGGCCGUCCGAGGGCUGGAUGGUGAUGGCGGCACCGGAAGCAGAGCUCGAAGACGAGGCGGCAGGACGUGAGCACGCGUCGAAGGCGUCGGUGCCCGCGUACUCCGACUUGACGGCCUUGUCGCCCGCCCUCUUCCUCUUCCGCAGCCUCCCAACGCCAGCCGCCCAAGGAGACGACCCCGAGAAGUUCAGGGAGCCGGCGACGCGGAUGAUGGGGUCGCCGGUGCCGCACGGAGCAGCACCCGACACCUAAUCGGACCCGUCAUCCUGCCGCCUACUACCCUCGUCGUCGCUGCCGCUGUCCUCCUCGUCACUCCCGCCCGAGGAGGAGUCUUCACUAUCAGAAGAUCUCUCCAUGCAGCACCUUGCAUGGGUCCCAAAGCACCCGAAGACCUUGACGGAGAGAAGGCCACCCUCCAUCAGCUUAAAAUGGAGAGUGAGCCCCUCCGUCAAGCGGUGGAUAUGGGCAAAUGUCUUUCAUCCCCGACGGAGAUACAUCACGUGAGGGGCGGGGAAGUCGAUGCGGGCCCGCGUGCCACUGAUCCCGCAGCCCCUCAUGCGCAGCCACAACGACUCCGGCGGAUCCAGCUCCAUCUCCCGCGCGAAUGGAGUCAGGAGACGAAGGUGACGGCGAGGCGGCCAGCGCAGCCUGAUGAAGAACUCGCAAGGGUCAUCCCCAACGUGGCCCUCCACGGGGGGAGGAACUGCCGGCGGAGGCGAGGCCGGCGCGCCGCCCCGUCCUCCUCUUCCCCGAGCGCCUCGGCCUCGCCCCCUCCCCCUUCCCCUCGUGGCUGGCUCUGCCGCCGCGGGUGUAGGGGAAGAAGGGACGCAUUGUCGAGGGGCGACCCUCGCCACCACCGUUGAAGGACCAGGAUUCCCUCUCUCCAUGACGGAUGGGAGGUGGGAGUAGAAGCUAAAGGAAGGAGGAGAUGAAGGAAUGUGGGACGCCAUCCCCCCGUUCUUUAUAAAGGAACGGAGUGGGGGCUCGGCCGCCCUGCUCAGCCAAUCAAGACGCGGAAGGCGCAGGGAACUGGAACCGACCCGCGGCGGCCCGGUUUCCCGCCUCCACCGUUCGCCACCCCAAGCGCAUGAAAGCCACGUGGCGGGCGUGCAGGACCGAGGCGACGGGUGAGGCAACCUCUCCCCACCCCAUGAUCGUGGGGGGUGGACGCCUUGAAGACCACACCCCGGCCCCGUUCAGUAAAUGGGCCGCGCCUCCACGCCUUCCUCCGUUUAUGGGGAAGGCGCGAACCGCCCCCUUUGCUAUGACGUGAUGCAUGCAUGCAGAGCUCAGCCCCACGCAUGCCGCCCACGUCACACAUGCCUCCCCACGUCGCGCCACGCGCGGGAAGCAUGGGAAGCGCAGCGCACGAAGGGACUUACCGUGGUAAAAACCGCCCAGCCUACCCGCGCACCAUUUUUGGGCCUAGCCUAACGACGUGAUUGCGCUUACGUGUGGCCCAGGCCUGGGGGCUCCUGUCGGUGUACAAAAAGAGGGGUACACUUUUUGUACCCCUAUAACUGUGCACGGGCAGUCUGAGCCACGGGCGCCACCAUACUAAGCAAGGCAAGGGAGGUGAGCCAAGGUAAGGCCGAAGCUCAGGAGAAGCAGGACAACGCCAAGACCAAGACCACAAAGAGCAAAGGGGACGAAGCGGACCCCCCGACAAGAUCCUUGCUGGGAGGCGUUUUUAGCAGACCUGGCAAGACCCUUGCCGUGGCAGCUCGCCCCACGCCUACGGAGUGAGUCACCCUUGAGUCCACUGCCCCCUUGGGGCAAAGGAUUCGGGAGACAUCCCUGCGGUGGCAUGCAGAUCUUUGUGAAGGCAUUCAAGAUCACAUACACCCUUUAGAAGAUGAUGAUCCUUGGCGGGAUCCCAGCCAAGGCAGACCACAAGGCCCCCGGCAAGAGCCUUGCCGGGAUGACAGCAGGCGCCACGGCAAGACCCUUGCCGGGGCCCCGGCAAGGCCCUUGCUGAGAACACCGGUAGGGCCACCAUCAGGCCCACACCAGUCAAACCUCCACUACCGUUCGCAUGCAGCUGCCGACCCAACCAGCUGGGCAGGCACCUGCGUGGUGGCAUGCAGAUCUUCGUGGAGACCUACCACUGCGCCACCCCAGCUGCGUGCCUGCCUACAUGGCACUGCGGGCGCCGCUGGCCAGGGCGCGUGUCAACACGAGAGGGAGUGGUGACGGACGAGACAGGGCUCUCCCCCGUCCCCGAAAGAGCAAGGACACCUGGGCAAGACGCAUUAAAUGCGCCUUGUCAUGUAAUGCGAGGGAUAACCUCGCGUCACUGUUCCCUUUCCACCUCCUUUGUGCCACUUUGGCUACCCCUUUCCCUAUAAAAGAAGGCCCGAGGCGAGCAGGAGAAGGAUUGGGCUUUUUGGAGCUCCUCACGCCCCAUAGCUAGCUCAAGAACACAGAUAUACAAUCCACCAAAGCAGGAGUAGGGUUUUACACAUCCUCGCGGCCCGACCUGGAUAAAUGAACCGUGUGCUAUCUGUUGGAUCCGCUCUUCUCACGACCCCGCGCCCCGCAACCGUAGUAGGGAUUCUUGUGAUCCCAUAGGUGUCGUUCCCACCGACAAUCCUCGAUCAUGUAUAUGAUAUAAUCAUAUGAUAUGGCUUUUUUUUCUCUCAAGACGUGGCCUGCCCACAGGAGGUGGUGGUGGAGGAGCAUCAUUAUUCUGAGGGUCAUCUUCAUUACCCGACAGGGGAUGCUCUUCACCUUCUGGAUUGACAUUAGUUUCAGGAUCACCAUCAGCCUCAGGACCUGAAGUACUAGAUUGAGGACUAGCAUGAGACGUCACUACACUUUGUAGUGGCAAAACAAUCUCUUGGAUAGCCGGGGAUGGAACACACACCCGUUUCUCCUCAAGAUUGAUCUCCCUUAUUUCGGUGGCUUCGUUAUCCUCAAAAAAUACUGCUUGUCGAGUCUCCACAUACUUGGUGGUGUGACCCGGACAAUAGAAAUGAUAUCCCUUUUCCCUAUGCGGGUAUCCAAUGAAGAAACAACUAACCGUCUUUGGAUCUAAUUUCUUAAGUUGUGAAUUGAAAAUUCUAGCCUCAGCGGGACAGCCCCAUACACGUAAGUAAUUAAAACUCGGUUUCUUUCCCGUCCACAUCUCGUAAGGUGUGUUCGGUGCUGCUUUAGUAGGAGCGAGAUUUAGCACAUGUGCGGCCGUCUUUAAUGCGUCCAUCCAUAGGCUGACUGGUAAACUUGCAUGUCUGAGCAUGCUUCGCACCAUGUCCAUAAGUGUGCGGUUUCGGCGUUCAGCCACGCCAUUUUGUUGAGGUUCACCAGGCAUUGAGUAUUGGGCAACAAUUCCAUUCUCAGAUGGAAACUUAGCAAAAGGUCCUGGAAUUUGCCCAUAAGGAGCAUGCCUACCAUAAUACUCUCUCCGCUGAUCUGAUCGUACAACUUUUAUUUUAGUGUUUAGUUGGUUCUCAACUUCGGCUUUGAACACUUUGAAUUUGUCCAAAGCUUCCGAUCGAUCACAUAUAGGAUAAAUAUAUCUGUAUCAAGAAAAGUCGUCUGUGAAGGUAAUGAACGAAUCAAAACCAUCCAUACACUUAACAUUAAGGGGUCCACAUAUGUUAGUGUGUGGGAGUUAAAGGACACCAGUGGCUCUUACCGCUCCAUUCUUAAUUGUUUUUGUGUAUUUACCUUUUAUACAGUCAAUGCAUUUGUCUGCAUCAGAGAAGUCUAAUGGAAGGAGUACGUCAUUUUUAAUAAGUCUUUCAAUUCUCCCCCUCGAAAUGUGGGCUAAAUGACGGUGCCACAAUUUCGAAGAGGUACUCAUACCCUUCCAUUCCUUCUUAAUAUUACAUACAUCACUCACAUGCAGGAUAGAAUCAUUUAAUGAUAACAUAUAUAAUUGGACUUGUUUGACGCCGAGGCCUACAUUCUUAUUACAAUAAUUCAAAACAAAUUGUUUGUUCCCAAACUUGCUCUCACAUGUUAUCAUCUAGGCAGGAGACAGAAAUCAAAUUCCUACUUAAGGUAGGGACAUAAAGAACAUUAUUUAAAUGAAGACGGAAGCCAGUGUGGAGUUCUAAGGUGAUUGACCCUAUGGCUUCAACAUGAACUUCGACUCCAUUUGCCACCUUAAGUCUUCUUGCCCCCUUGCCAUGGUUUCGAUUAUAUUUGAGUCUUGCAUAGAAUUAGCAACAUGAGAAGUUGCACCUGAAUCAAUCCACCUUCAGGUAGUAGAGUAAUCAACAUAUAGCAUUUCAUCAGCGAAAGUAAUUUCAUCAGUACCUUUCUUCAUCAACCAUUUGAGGAAUUCUGGACAGUCUUUCUGAUAAUGGCCCUCAUUCUUGCAGAAGUUGCACUUGUUGUAUUUAGGCUUAUCAUCCACCUUCUCAUUUGCUUUAUAUGAUUUUGAUGAUUUUUUCUUAAAGAACUUCUUUUAUGGUUGUUGCUUAGAAGAUCUUGCUCCAUCGUGUUUUCUCUUGGAGGAGCCAACCAAAAAGGCUUGGACCUUUUCUUGCCUCUUAAUCCUCUCUUCUUCCUCGACAAUUCUUGGAGAUAUCUCCGCGAUUGUCCAUUUCUCUUUAAGAGAGUUAUAGUUAAUCUUAAAUUGAUCAAACUCUUCAGGGAGGGAGUCCAAGAUCAUGAUGACAAGGAGAUUAUCAUUGAGCUCACAUUGUAAUGCCUUAAAUUUGUUACAAGCAUUCACCAUCUUUAAAAUGUGAGCCCUGACAGUACCAUCAUUAUUAUACUUCCCAAGGAGCUUGUGAAAAAGUUCUUGCGCAUAAACCUUGUCGGAGCCUUUGAAUUGCUCCUCCAGGGCUGCCAUGAAUUCCUUAGGAGUAUCUUUCUUGGGUAGUGCCCCAAUUAUGUCAGGUGAUAUGGAUGAUCUCAUCACAAGCAUAGCAAUGUGAUUUAACUUUUCCCAUAUUUCCAUCUUGGAAUCAUAAGUUUUCUUUAGUUCAGCAUACCCCGUGACACCAGCAGCGGGAGCCACGGGUUUAUCCUCCCGUAAAGCAUAAUCAAACUGAUGGACGGCUAGGCAUAAUUCCAUCGAAUUCUUCCAACGAGGGAAGUUACUACCUGUCAACGGUUCGACAGUAAACACACCGUAAGCUGUAAUGAACAUGAAAGAGGUUAUGAGUAAUUGACAUGAAUAUGAAAUUUGACGUUGGCAAAAUAAAAUAGACAUGCCAUGUAUUUAAUUUCAACUCCAUGUCAAAAAACCGUUGAGCAGAAAAAACAUGGAAUUAAAAUAUCAUAAGUGAUGACUCAUAAUAAUAAAACAACAUUGGUCCGAAUUAAAAUCAGAGUCAUUUCAUUCUCAAUUUAGACAUCAACAUAAGAAAAAAUAUCAUUAUUUUUUAUGUCUAAAAAAUUCAUCAUGCAAACACAUAAUACAUCCUGAAUAAAAUAUCUCGUUGGUUCAAUUUUACCCAGAAUAAUAGCAUGUUUUAGUUUAUUAUUAUCUCAGAUAUUUUCUAGCUAAAAACGGUGCAAAAAACAUAAUGUGUAUUAACUUAAAGUGCACUGGAAAAGACAGAAAACGGCCAAAAGAUAUGUGCCCGAAAUACCCACAGCUACACGUAAAACGGUCCAUCCCAGCAGCAAAACACGUAAAAAAUCGCUGGACUGUAAAUACCUGGUCCGCAGCCCACGAUCAAAAUUGGCCCAUUGAGCGCCCUAAGGCCCGAGCCGGUGCUCCCCGUUGCUGUGAGCUGCCCGAUCAAAUCGGACGGUCAGCUUCGCACGUGGUCGGAACAAAACCGCCGCACAGAGCCAACCCUAAUGUCGCUAUGAACGCUUGGCUGCCACAAGCCAGUUAUCCCUGUGGUAACUUUUCUGACACCUCUAGCUUCAAACUCCGAAGAUCUAAAGGAUCGAUAGGCCACGCUUUCACGGUUCGUAUUCAUACUGGAAAUGAGAAUCAAACGAGCUUUUACCCUUUUGUUCCACACGAGAUUUCUGUUCUCGUUGAGCUUAGGUCAUUCUUCCCCUCCUCCCCCGCAUUUCUCGCUCCCAAGACCGGCGGCAGCUUUCAGCGGUGGUUCGAAGCGCACCGGCCUUGGCGGCGCGGCGGCUGCGCUCGCUGGAGGAGCGUGCAGCGGAGUCAUUCCCACGUGCUUCUCUAUCAAGCGUGGCUCUGGCGUUCGUGCGCAUGGCACAUCAGGAGGGCAAGAUGGGGUGUCGGCCACCGCGUCAUGAAGAGGUCGACGGCGGCGUGCGGGGCGACGGCCCAUACACGCGCACGUCCGUAAGAGCGGCAGCAUGGCGCAGGAGCAUUUCGCGCGUCGGCCAGGGCACGACGGCGUCUCUGCCCUCGCACAACGGUGGGCGCUGUGCGGGCCCCGAAGGGAAAAGGCGGCUACGACGCAUUUGGUGAGCAUUUCUUCUCAUUCUCCCCAAAAUCGUAUUCAUCAGUGCUUAAUUGAUGAAAAAAUAUGCCUAAUUGAAAAAAUUAGGGCUCUACCGAAAUUGGGGAUUUGUCUUCUAGGGUUCUUCAACAUGGGGGGUUGCUACUGUAUGUGUACUAUGUAUCCAUCUGCCUUCUAAUUUGCUAAUCCAAACGGAAUCAAAAUACUUAAAAGAUGAUCAAUUUUAAUUAAUAGAAACUUAAUCAUGAGCAUUAAUUCCUCAGCGGCUUAAUUAUGACUGAUUGAGCAUAAUGGCAGUAGAGAUCCGUGGCAAAUUAGAAUACAACAUGAUGAUUUACAAAGGACAUUAGAAAAAAAUAGCAGCAUACAUAUUGGGAUAACCAGGGGCUCAGAUCCCAUCUUAAAACAUAAAACCCUAAUCAUGAGAUUGAUCUACUGAUCAAAGUAGGGUUCUAGUACAAUCAUGUAGGCCACUGAUAACAUUGUUGGAUUAAUUAUGCAUCUAUGGGAUGCCAUUAGUAGGAAUUGAUUGCAACUAGAACACCCAAUUGACAUGAACAGAGAAGGGUUUAGGGAUCCUUUACAUGUCACGGGAGUGGACAUGAUCGCCUGCUCGAUGCAGGCGUGAUGCAGGGGUGAUGUAGUCAAAGCAGAGGUUCUCCUUGACGUCUUGUUUCCUUCAGGACACUACCGACACUGGCCGGGGAUAGCAGCGGCGGCUGGCUUAGGUCUUCCCAUCACUGUAGUGCUCCCCCUGAUCGAGUGGGGUGAGAAUAUCAGGAGGAGAGUAAACCUUACGUGAAUUGUGAUCUCGCAGGUGGCCAGCUCUCUCCCGUAUCCUUUUAAUAUGGCGCUGGCGACAGGGGACCUAAAACCUGAGUUGGUUUUUGGGCGCCCCUGAUCAGGGCGCGUUUGUUUUGAUCGAGGCUCACGUACGUUGGUACGUGGACCCCUUCACUUAUCGUUAUCCCCUUUUUUUGUUAGACUAAUAGAUCUAACUGGCUUGUUUAAGCCGUCAGAUCGAAACCAACCCGGAGAUUUUGACUGGUGUCUACUACACCGGGAGGAAACGCGAAAUGCAGCUGACCAACAGUUGUUCCGCAUUGGCUCGGCAGUGCUCCUCUCAACGUCGAGUACACAAGCUCGUUUUGAGAUGGCGCACGUAGUUCGGAAUUGCACCAGCUCCCAAGACGGUGCAUACAGAUGUGUAUCUUAUGAGGAAGAUGACCAGCGAAUUCUUGGUCUCAAUUUAUCCCAGGAUCUUGUGGAUGUCGCUGGAAAGGCUCUCGGGCUAACAUCACCAUGGUUGGACCGCUUGUUCUUCCAUUCUCAGUCAAGAUUGAUUUUCUGCUCUCGUUCAUCUCACGGAAGGUGCUAAAUGGAACCACCAAGCCAUACGUGCCUGAGUUCCGCAAAGCUUUCGAGUAUUUGUGCAUCCAUGCAGGUGGACGGGUUGUAAUCGAUGUUGUGCAGCGUAGCCUCUGCCUGCUUGAUGAGCAUGUUGAGCCAUCAAGGAUGACACUUCACAAGUUUGGCAACACAUCGAGUAGCUCAGUAUGGUAUGAGCUGGCAUGUUGAGCCAUCAAGGAUGACACUUCACAAGUUUGUGCAUCUAUGGCAUACAGUAUGGUAUGAGUUUGGAUGAUUGGAUUUGGCUCCGGAUACAAGUGUAACAGUGCAGUGUUGAAGUGCAUCCAACCAGCAAAAAGUGCUGAUAAUGCAUGGCAAUAUUGCAUUUAUCGCUACCCAAUAAGUGUUCCUAAGGAGGUGUAGAAAAUGCUAUUAUUUUGGUCAUCUAAGGACUAUAUUUACUCCUGUGGACUUUGUGUUAUCUCGUUGGCAUACCGCAUGGUAUAUGCAGCGAAUAAUUUUAGGUUGGGAUUUGUCGGUUGGUGACGUGUCAAAUGGGAAAAAUGAUUUACUAUGUUUUCUUUUUAAUGUUUGGCAGCGCGUCAUAUCAAACUCAGCUGCUCUUUUGCUGAGUAAUGUACACUUGCCUGGUCAUGGUAACUUGUGGGUUUUG
rnacentral:lncRNA from 1 species